UGGUGUGUUUCUCGGAUAAUUCAUCAAUCCAUAUCCGUUCACUUGCGAGGAUCCAUUCGGAAGAGUAAGUGUAAGACUCACCGGACUUGCUAUGUUAAAGUUGUCUUUCAGCAGCACCACAAAAGAUACCUCAUAAGAUAAAUUUUCAAGCUUUUCUGUCAUAUAGUUUCCGUCAACAUGUAGGACUAAGCUACCAAUUAAUUCAGCACUGUCAGGACUGUACAAAAUGAUAGUAGAAUUAAAGUCAGAAACUUUUGAUAUAAGGAGCUUAAAUUCAUUAGGUGAUUUUAUUGAUUUAUUUAUUUUUUGCUGGAAUAUUUUUAAUGCGAGUCCUUCUAUCUAACUAGACUUCAAUAAAAUUUCUAUAGUCCUUCUAUCACUUUAAUUUAAUGACAAAGUUGCUUAUAUAUCCCUAUUUUUAACUGAAUAAAAUUCAGGUGUUUAAACACAAAUCUUGACCUUUGACGUCAAUUAAGUUAACUAAAUCUUAUUUCUACUUACGUAAACUUCCAGCCUGAAGGGUUGGCAUAAUUGAGUUUACUGGCAGGUACAUAAGCGCCAGAACUCUGAAUAAGACGAGAAAAAAAAAUUCAUAUCAUCCAUUACAAAAAAAUUUCACUUGCAAAAUUUACAAAUAUUAAGGAUUAUUUUUGUUCUAUAGCCAACUUUAGCUAUAUAUAUGAUGUUUGUUUACAAUUUCAGUAGACUUACCUUCUGGCCUAUUCCGCCGUUUUGGAGCAACUCCAUUUCCUUGGCUUGGGACAACAAUGCCUUGAGGUCAACCUCAUUAUGCCUCACUACUUGUGCCAUCUCCUCGAUCGAUCGAUAACUAUCCUUUAAUUCUGCUAUAUAUAUAUAUAUAUAUGUAUUUUCUGUUUCUAUUCUUGAUGUCUAUAUAUCUCUCUUCCAAAGGCUAGCUCUAUUUAUACUGGCACAAACAGAGGGUACUGCGAUUAUUAUAUCCCAUAAUAUCCUAUCUUCAAAUAUUCCUUCCCUUUUCAAAGUAGGGAUCCGAUCCUGAUAAGUUUAACAUCAUCAUCAUCAUCAUCAUCAUCAUCGCCAAGGAUAUAGAGCAGCAGAUUCUGUUUAAUAAUUUUGUUGGAAUAAUUCUUUUCCAUUUCCCAGUUCAAUAGUUCUUUCUUUAGCUUGUUGCGCAGGCAAAAUUCCAUGAAGGCGAAAGGCACGUAGGCAUACUAGUUGUGGGCAAGGAAAUUGUACCUUGCUAGGGUUAGGAUUUCGUGUUGGCUGAGGAGGAGAGAAAUUCACGAAGAGCACGGAAUUGAUUGGUUGAUUGAAGAGGGGAGAACGACAGGUGGGCGAUUACUCCAACGACGUGUGGCAGAACCCCUAGAAUCCAGGAACCGUGUUAGGGUAGUAGGGAUUCCAAGAGCCUUCUUGAGUCCUUCGUUCUUGAGAGAAUGUCUAAACCCCUUUUAGUGCUUUUAGGUGGAAUCUCCGAGCCUUUAAGUCACCAAAAAGGGUUCUUUGAUCUUCCGAGAGUCCAAGUCUUGAGUCUAAAGAGAAGUCUCUUUCCCAAUGGAAUGGAAGGGUAUUUAUAGGGUUUUCUGGAAAGUAGUCAUGUGCGAGGCACAUGCUUUCAGGGAAAUUCCAGAAAUGCCCUUUAGUCAUUAGAAUAAUGCCCAUGUUGCCCUGUCCUUCUAGCCACCAAUCCAAUCCCUCAAUUAAUUCCCACAUCGAGCCGCCUCCACGAGUCUUCUGCCUCGGGACACGUGGAGGCUUCUCCCGGGUCUAGCACAUUUAUUUAUGACUUUUUCAUCUUCAUUCCAUUCGGUUAUGCGAACACUAAUUUGCACAUUUAAUGAGGCCGUGGAACCCUAAUUGCGCAUUUAAUUCAAUUAGGUCAUGUGAACUCUAAUUUUACACUUUGGCCCACAUUUGCCCCCUGCGCGAGAGUCGCAUUUUCAAAUAGACGAUCGUGCAAGAAAACUGCAAGCCUUUGAAUGAUUUUGCGGGACUUCACUUUACAUGUCUUGAAGACAAUAGUCCUAGAAGAGGGAACUCCUAGGGAGCCAAACCCUUAGAGUUAAACCCUAGGAAGGCAAGACCUAGCGAGGCUCUUCCUUGGACAUAUUGAAAAAUCUUCUGAAAUCUUUCUGUAUUUUGCCCAAUAUUUAUUUCCAAUUCCGCAAGCAGAUCAACUGUCCGAGCAGCCUCAAUACGAACAGAAACAGAUUCCGAUAACUUGGAAUGGAAAAUAGAAUUAAGACCAGGCAAAACAUUGAAUAGAGCGAUGUAGAGAUCUAAAAUUUCAAACAACUUGAGAAACGAUGGACGGGUACUACUAACGCCUUCUGCAAAGUUAAUCAAGUGCAAGGCGGAUUCUUUAACUAUACCCAUAAAACACACAUCAAAUGUGGAGUUACCAAGUCCACUAAAGAUUUGUUCACAGAGUUUCUUCUCCUUUAUGAAGAGAUCUUCAAAACAAACACGAGAUGCUCGUAUCCACAAUUUGAUCUUUGGUGCCAACAUAUCCCACUCCAAACUCCGGAACUCACCGAUGCUAUAUUUACCGACGCCGAGGUGUCGAAAUUCUGCAUCCACAAUCAACUUCCUUGAAGUCCUGUAGAAUUCAACGCAGUCGCCAACAUUACCGGCUGAGUUCAAUCGUUCAAUGAUACUCCUAAAACCAUAAACUUCGUCAAUAUGUCCAUCAUCCUGUAAUUCAUAGCUAAAAGUAUCGGUUAUUGUACUUGAAAAAAUGGUAGAACUCCUAUCGGCCAAGAAAGCAUUGUGGACUCUGUUGGUUUGUCGGGUCAAUAUGACCCGAAACUCUAACGGAAGGGUUUCCAUGCCCGUUUAGAUCAUGUUUUGAUGCUUUCAGUUUGGGGAUCUGAGAUUAUUCUCGAUCGUCUGAAGCUCGUCAAAAGUACUGAUCAAUCUCAUGGCGGUCUCCGUCGAAGUCGAAGAUGAUGAAUUUAAUAAUUCCGCCCGAAUAUUUUGUGUUCUACCAAUUCCAUUCAGACAAUACAAAAGAGAUAUAUAUAUCUGCCUAAAAAUUGAAAACCGAAAAUCAUCUCUGAACAGCAGGCUUUGAAAAUUACUCCUACUAGUAGUUUAUAAAUAUAAAUACUUUGAAGAUUGUAAGAAGUUCAUAGCCAUCCACUAGUAAAAGUACUUACCAUUACUAAUUGAUGUCACGUUACCGCAAUUAGGACGGAGAGAGAAAGUCGGACCAACUCUUUUUUUUUUUCAAAUCAAACAUUAAUUUUUUAUUUCCAAAAUCAAAUCUUAAUUUUUAUUUUCAAAAUAAAAUCAAAUCUUAAUUUUUUAUUUCCAAAAUAAAAUCAAAUCUUAAUUUUUUAUUUCCAAAAUAAAAUCAAAUCUUUCUUAAUUUGAAAAGAGAUUUUUUUUUUUUGAAAAUGAAAUAAAAUAAAAUCUCUCUUUUUUUUUUUUGGCAAAUCAAAUCAAAUCAUUUUUUUUUAUCAUUCACGCAAAAGAUUUAAGUGCAUGAAUAAAAUAAAAUAAAAAUGCAUGAAUUUAAGAGUCAUAUAAUCUCACAGAUCUAAUGAAGGGGAAUUGCCACAUGCCUACGACAUUCUCUAUGAAAAAAAUGAUGAAUUAAGGCAAAACGAGAUCCAAUCAUGUAUUAUUUUUUUUUUGAAAAUAAAAUAAAUCUUAUUUUAUUAUCUUUCAAAAAAAUAAAAUAAAAUCUUAUUUUAUUAUUAUUAUUUUUUAAAAUAAAUAAAUAAAUAAAUAAAACAUUUACUUAUCUUAUUUUUAAGAAGUAAGGAGUCGAUGAGAAUGUCUUGUAUCCAUAUUGAAGCCUUUGAUAAUUCUUUGAGCAAAGAUGAUUAUAGCUUUUUGAUGAUUCUGACAUCUUUUAUAUGAGACAAGUCUUCACAUGCUUCCGAUUUUUAUUUGCCAUAAAGAAAGAAUCCAUUAAAGCUUCACAUGCCAGUUGCCACUCCUCUGUUAGCCAACAAAAAAAAAAAACAUUGUUUUGCUGCUUUAUUUGGGUGUUAUAGCCACAGGCAAGCCUCUUUCUAUCCACGCCGAACCCUACUGAUUCAAUUUUUUAUUAUUUUUUUUUUAUUAAAAAAAAUCAAGAACUUUUGGAACACUUAUAUUUAGAAGAAGCUUGUACGUAUGGGAAUUGAUGAUCCAAAAACCCACAACCCAAUUCUUAAUCUCAGUUUCUUUCUUGCUAAUCUUUCUCAGUUGAUGAACCCUUUGGAUAAUAUUAACGAUCCUCUUAGGAGGUUGCAAUAUUCAGAUCCCACUCAACUACUAGCCAAAAUCCAAAUUUUACAUAACCUAUUGCAGGCCAUAAAUGUGAGUCCUUCUUUCCCAAAUAUUAAAGUAGUAAACGUGAAUAAUCUCUUGGGAUCAUAUAAUUAUCUUAGCCAAUUUGAUGGAGUGAUCACGAGUGAAGCUAUCAACCCCAUGAUUAAUCCUAUCCCCAACAACCGGCCUUUAAUAUAUAUACUCCAAUCCCAAACUCAUUUGGAUUCUUUAGCCCACAAAUAUUUAACAAUGUUAAUAGCUUAAGUGGUGUUGCAUGCAAUAUUACUCAUCAAACUGAAAAUCAGCUUCCGGAAAGUUCCAAUACCAAGGAAAUGGACAGUAUGAAGCCUACAAACAUCCCCUCCGGUUCAACCAACUCUGACAAUAUCUUUGAGGUUUUGGAGAAAUUUGUUGAUUGUGAUCAAGCCAAUAGUACUUCCUUCUUGCUUCUUUUUUUUUUUUAUUCAGGUAACUCUAGUCUUUCUUUUGUCUUCCGAGCCCCAUUACCUUGAUCAUAUCUUGGUUUUUUCCCUCGGAUCAUAAAGAAAGAUUGGUAUUUUUUUUUUCUUGCAGGCCCUCCCUGUUGAACAUUCUGCAGACUUGGGAACAACCAAGGAGGCCCCGUUUCUCAAUAAUUGGGGAAGGGAUCCCCUCUUUUGGUCUUUCCGACGUCUUUUGAGAGCGAGUCUAGACUUAUAAUCGUACAACACUUCCUCCGCCAGAGAAGAAAGGCGUGUUUCUUUAUGUCGCGGCUUGCGGAGGUUUGGGUGACUUCCUCCCUUCCGAUCGCAUUCUCCGCAUGUGCAUAGAGAAACAAGAAUAGCCUUUCAGUCCCUUUCGCUUCCUGUCUGACUCAUCUGACCGCCUUCAAGGAUGGCAACAUUGGACCGACUUCCCGUUGUGUGCUCUUCUUCAUACACAUUCAUUACUACUUGGGGGGGAAUUCACCCCUAUUCUAGAGGAUGUCUCUGCCCUCCACCAGUAGGUCGUACUUCGGUUUGCCCCCUGCACGUGAGUCACACCUUUGGUGGGACAACCGUGCAUAAUUUCUCCAGCAUUGAAAUCUUGCUACAAAUUUCUUAAUGAUUCGCGGAGCACGAUGGUGCAAGCCUUGAACAUAAAAUCCCUAGGAGGGGAGACCUGUAGGGGGCGAGCCCUAGAGAAGCUCUCCCUGGCUAUCUUGGAAAAAAUCUUCUAUCUUAUCCUUCCGAAUAUUACUUUCUUUUGGAAGUUCUCUCAUUUUCAAAAUUAAGAAGUCAACGAGAAGGCACCGAGUGAACAUACUUCAAAUUGGGGUGAACAAGCGAUGAAGGAGAUCUUUCCUCUAGGUACCCGAAUCCUGAGCGGCUUCAUUCUGGAACAUUGAUUAACGAGCUAGGAGAAGUAAAAGGUAAGAGGGGAGAGCCUCUGUAGGUGUUUGAACCCCAGGGGCCGAACCCUAGAAGACUGCCUAUUCCUUCACUCUUUUUUUCCUUCUUCCUUUCACUUGAAUCUUGGUCGUGUCCUAGCUUGGUUCCCCAAUAUAGUUGAUCGGAUACAUCUUCAUAGGACCCUUCUCCAGAUUUUCUUGCUCGAUUGUCUUCUGAGACUUAUUCUCGAAAUGCACAUUCUCUCUCUAUUAUCUGUGAGCAGAAGACUUAGAGGUGUUUUAGUUGUGAAGUUGAUGACUUCUCGAUCCUUCUUGGGCCUUGACAUGUCUCCCUUCCGUGCUAAGCUGGAUCUCUUCACUUUCAGUUAUCAUGUCAUUGCACUUUGUUCGGAGGUCACUUCACGUCCUCAUGAGAAUGACUUUCUUUAUGUAAGGGCCUCAGGAGCUUCAGGACGUCAUGGAUAGAUUGAAGGCCAAGCUUCGGGAAAUUGAUUCAUCUGCCCAAGACCUUAAGGAACUGUUAGCCUGAAGUUCGAAAGGCUCGAGAUACUGCCAUUGUCGACUUGGAGGCUUUAGCUAUGCCCCCAGUUCAGUUUGAUGUAUCAUGACCUUUGGAUCAUGACUUCAUGUAGCUUUUAUUUCUUCCAUCACUUUUGAAGAUAAAGUGUAUUAUCGAGGAUUUCAGGGUCAAGUGUCUCAAUCACUUUUGAAGUUGAAAGUAUAACUCUUUUUUUUUUCUGGAUCGAGGGCUGAUUAAUCAGGUGCCUCAUUACUUUUGAAGUUGAAAGUAUAACUUUUUUGGGUCGAGGGCUGAUUAAUCAGGUGCCUCAUUACUUUUGAAGUAGAAAGUAUAACUUUUUCGAGUCGAGGGCUGAUUAAUCAGGUGCCUCAUUACUUUUGAAGUUGAAAGUAUUUUUUUUUUGGGUCGAGGGCUGAUUAAUCAGGUGCCUCAUUACUUUUGAAGUAGAAAGUAUAACUUUUUCGGGUCGAGGGCUGAUUAAUCAGGUGCCUCAUUACUUUUGAAGUUGAAAGUAUAACUUUUUUGGGUCGAGGGCUAAUUAAUCAGGUGCCUCAUUACUUUUGAAGUAGAAAGUAUAACUUUUUCGGGUCGAGGGCUGAUUAAUCAGGUGCCUCAUUACUUUUGAAGUUGAAACUAUAACUUUUAAGAAAUUUGCUCUGAUCAAAAUUUGAUGUAUUUAUUUAACGAUCAAGAUAUAAUACAUUUUUUUUUCAUUUUCUAGUCUGCUAGGGCAGUAGCUUAUUCAGCAUUAUGCUUCUUAUUAUAGUUCGAUUUCACCUGCCGCUAAUUUUUCAUGAUAAAUUCUCCUCAAAUUACGACAAUUCAUGAUGGAAUGUCCUGGGUAUUGAUGAUACACGCAAAAGUCUGAUCUCUUCUUCAUCUCCUCGGUCACAACAAAUCUGGGUUUUGGAGGCUUCACCAUUCCAUUUUCUACCCAUUUCUCAUACAAAUCUUUAAAUAUCUCCUCACCACAAGUGAUAGCUUCGGGCUCUAGCGAAUUUAUAUUCUUUUUGAUUCUUUCCCUCUUGCCCCCCUGUGGCUCUGACUGAGAGUCUGUCAAAGCCGUAGUAGCUGUCCUCUUACUCUUCCAGGUAGCAAUCGGAUGGUUCACAGAUACUGCCAUAAUUUCUCCAUGGUCCUGUGCAAAGGUGGAAAGUGUCGCAAAGGAAUCACAAGACUUAGUGAUCAAGUGGGGCUUGAAGGCGUCGAGGGCGCCGUUGUUGCAAAUACUCACUAAAUUCUUCUCUUCGAUUGGCUCCACACACUUCCGCGCCUGGGCCCGAAAGGUGGAAAGUGUCGCAAAGGAAUCACAAGACUUAGUGAUCAAGUGGGGCUUGAAGGCGUCGAGGGCGCCGUUAUUGCAAAUACUCACUAAAUUCUUCUCUUCGAUUGGCUCCACACACUUCCGCGCCUGGGCCCGAAAUCUGUCAACAUAAUCAGAUAACUCCUCAUUCGAAUUUUGUUGAAUUCUCAUAAGCUCUAUAAUUGACACUUCCUUCUGAACAUAAAAGAAUUUUUUGAAAAACUGGUGUUUCAUAUCAUCCCAAUCUCGAAUCGAACCCUUCUCCAAAUUGUAGUACCAGCUGAAGGCACCGUUAGUGAGCGUCUUGUUAAACUCCCUCAAUAGAAUAUUGUGGUUGCUCACUUCAUCUAUUCCCAACCACGAGGACAUCGACUCCACAAAUCUUGCAAUAUGCUCUCUCGCAUUCCCUUUCUCUCCACUAUACUUAGGGAACUGAAGUGGAUGUUCAAUGUACCCAGCAGGGUAUGGCUGUCUUCUCACAUGCGCCGGGUAUGGUGGGGUGAAAUCCAGUUCCGCAGGCCUGACUGUCUGUCUACGCAUCUGAUUGAUUACAUCCAUCAUGUCUUCCCUUGUCGCAUAUUGACUGGUUUCUGGAGCCUUUUGGGACGUCAUCGCAUACUGGUUUAUCUGAGGUGUAUGUGGAACACAUGUUGAUGCACACUUGCCUCAUGUAAGAUUGGUUGUACUUGCUGGAUUAUUGGUUGUAUAUGGCUUGGGAUGGUUGGUAUCUGCACUUGUGAAAAUGCUGGGAGUGUAAUCGGGAUGAUGUUUAGCUGAGGCUGGCUAGCUUCCAAUCUAAGUGGUGGUACAUCACCACUGUUCUGGGGCUCCAAGUUGAUGACUGGAAUCGGCUGACUCUCCAUUGCUGGAGGUAUAAUCUGAUUCUCUUUGUUGUUGUUGUUGUUGUCCUCCACUUCUCCUGCUCGUCCCCCUUGCGAACUUCCUGGGAACAUGGUCUUGAAAGUGGGGAUUUGCAUCAACUGCUGGCAAAAAUUCUCCAUUUCUUCUUGCUUUCUCUGCAUCUCUAGCAUCAUGGCCAUCAUCAUCCCUUGCCCUUCUCGUGCUUCUUUCAAUGCUUUAAGCAUCUCCAGUUGCACAGCAUUCGUCUGGUCUCCCCCUGCAUCUUCGCCUUGCCUUCUUGCAUUGGUUUGUUGUUGAUUGGCCAUAUGUGGUGAUGUCGAACUCCCUUCCAAAGCGUCUUCAAUAAUUGGUUGGUCAAAAUCCAGGUUUGCGCCUUGGAAAACUUGAGUUACUUGUCUUGGAACUGGAUCCGGUGACGUAAUGCUAUUUGUUGGUGAAGCAGCUCUUCCUGUAAUUCUCCCACUUCGAGUCGUGGGCAUACCCUUCACGAAUUAUACACCUCCCCAGCAGAGUCGCCAAAGAAAUGUGGGCAAGGAAAUUGUACCUUAGUAGGGUUAGGGUUUCGUGUUGGCUGAGGAGGAGAGAAAUCCACGAAGAGCACGGAAUUGAUUGGUUGAUUGAAGAGGGGAGAACGACAGGUGGGCGAUUACUCCAACGACGUGUGGCAGAACCCCUAGAAUACAGGAACCGUGUUAGGGUAGUAGGGUUUCCAAGAUCCUUCUUGAGUCCUUUGUUCUUGAGAGAAUGUCUAAACCCCUUUUAGUGCUUUUAGGUGGAAUCUCCGAGCCUUUAAGUCACCAAAAAGGGUCCUUUGAUCUUCCGAGAGUCCAAGUCUUGAGUCUAAAGAGAAGUCCCUUUCCCAAUGGAAUGGAAGGGGUAUUUAUAGGGUUUUCUGGAAAGUAGUCAUGUGCGAGGCACAUGCUUUCAGGGAAAUUCCAGAAAUGCCCUUUAGUCAUUAGAAUAAUGCCCAUGUUGCCCUGUCCUUCUAGCCACCAAUCCAAUCCCUCAAUCAAUUCCCACAUCGAGCCGCCUCCACGAGUCUUCUGCCUCGGGACACGUGGAGGCUUCUCCCAGGUCUAGCACAUUUAUUUAUGACUUUUUUGUCUUCAUUCCAUUCGGUUAUGCGAACCCUAAUUUGCACAUUUAAUGAGGUCGUGGAACCCUAAUUGCGCAUUUAAUUCAAUUAGGUCAUGUGAACUCUAAUUUUACACUUGGGCCCACACUAGUAAAUGAUGAUUUUCUUCUAACCAGAAGUAUGAGCAGGUUAAAAGUAGAAGAAUAAGCAUCUCGCAGGCCAAAAAUCAAUAAAAAAACGAAAAGAAGAAAAAGAAAAGAAGAAGACAGCAAUAGCAAGACCAUAUUUUUCUUCUUCUUUCUUUUUAUCUUUUCUUUCUUUCUUUUUUGUUUCUUUUUAGACGGAGGGUUUUAUUUCAUCUUUGAAAAUAAACCUAAGAAUUUAUCAAAGGAAAUAAAGGAUAAACGACAAUACAAAUAUAUAUUUUUAUUUUAUUUUCAAAUAUAUACGCAUGCAUGAUAAAGAUUCACAAUUAUACACACAUAUAUAAUAGGCUACAACCAACAAUCUACUAAACAAUUUGUAAACCAUCGAGGUGUUUUAGUGACAACCUACCGUCUACCAAAUCGUUAUUAGUUAACGAGUUAGUGUAAAUUUUCAUUUUGGAAGCUAGUAUAAACUAUCAUCUCUCAAAUUGUUAUUAGUAGAGGAGCUACGAAUGUAAACUAUCGUCUAACAAACUAUAUUAGCUGAUGAACUAGUGUAAACUAUCAUUUACUAGAUGUAUGAGCAUGUUAAGAGUAGAAGAAUAAGCAUCUCGCAGGUAAAAAAAUAGGAAAAGAAGAAGACAACAAUAACAAGGCCACAUUUUUCUUUUUCUUCCUUUUUAUCUUUUUUUUUCUUUUUUGUUUGUUUUUAGACGGAGGACUUCAUUUCAUCUUUGAAAAUGUGGGUAAAGAAAUUGUACCUUAGGUUUUCAUGUUGGCUGAGGAGGAGAGAAAUCCACGAAGAGUACGGGAUUGAUUGAUGAAUUAAAGAGGGCAGAAGAACAUGUGAUCAAUUACUCUAAUGACAUGUGACAAAACUUUUAGGAUCCGAGAACCUUCUUAGGGUGCCAAAGAUCCAGGGAGUCUUCUAGGGUGUGCUUCGGGUUGAGAGAGAAUCUCCAAGUCUUCAAUCUUUCGAAAAGCCCUCUUCUUCAUAGAAUAGAAGGAGUAUUUAUAGAGUUUCCUGGAAAGUGGUCACAUGACAGACAUAUGACCUCGAGCAAAUUCCAAAAAUACCCUUAGUCACCAGAGUAAUGCCCAGAUCGUCCUGUCUUUCUAGCCACCAAUCCAAUUCCUCAAUCAAUUCUCAAAAUGAGUUGCCUCCAUAAGCCUUUUACCAUGGAGGCUCUUCCUUGAUCUCAUGAUACAAAGCUCUUAUUGCUCAAACCAUGCUUACUUGCUCUUCCUUCUUUAUUUAAGAAUCUCGUCGCCAGAAAUCAUCGGAAGAACUCUGCGCAAGACCCGGGAAGCCGCGUGUUACAAACCAGUCCCACAUCGAAAGAUAUGGAAAAAAAUUAGUCUAUAUAUAAGGAAUUAUGUUACUACCAAUAAUAUACUUUUAAGUCAUGACCUUUUGGGUGAGCCUGUGGUGGGAUAAGAUGACCCAAUAAUAUACUAUUGGGUCAGUGGUUUAAGGCCUUGGGAUUCGGACUUGGGAUUUGACCCAAGAUUUGUUUUGGGCAAUUUUACUCAGGUUGUUACAUAUGGUAUUAGAGCCGACUCUCGAAAGCUCGGGUCGGAUCAUCCGAUCGGGUUGCCGGAAGUGGGGACACGAAACCAGCCGAUAUUAUCCCACAAUGGCUAAAGAGGCAAAGAUCUGUGGAACGUAUAUGUGAUCGAUUUUGAUGGAGAUGUCAAAAAUUUAAGUGGGGUAGUUUAUAACACCUCAGUCCCACAUUGAAAGAUAUGGGAAAUACUAUUGUGCAAUGAUUUAAGCUAUCCAGCUAUAUUGUUAUAGUUUGGAUAUAUUCCAGUAUGAGAAUUAACAAACCCUGAAAUGGGAUAUUUUUAUUGCACUCUGGGAGUGGUGACGUUGAACAUGGAAGUUGUUCUGGAUAAGAUAGUAUUGAUUAAUAAAGGGCAUAUAUAAAGGGCUGAUCAUCCAUCGUGCUCAUAAGAUAAGAUGGUUCACAAAUAAAUUUUUAAGAAAACCUUUUCAAGAAAAGAAAAAGCUUGUUCACGGUCUUAUGACCUCUCAGAUGUUCAAUAUUGAUAUGAUAUUCCAGGAAUAUGAAUGAUUCAAGAUUUAAUUGCUUUACAGUUUUGUUUCACUGUUAAAGCAUGUCUCAAAGAAAACAUUUAAUUAUUGUUAAGAUAUUAAAGAAUGCUAUUACUUAUUGAGCAAUUGAAUGCUCAUUCUUGUUUUGUUAUAAAUGUUUUCAGCUAAUCAGGCUCCAACGGAGGGGUCUAAUAGAGACAAAGGAAAAGGAAAAGCUACUGAGUAGUAGGUAUAUGUUGUAAUAAAUAGUUUAUAUGUUUGUAGAUAUUUAACUAUCAUGUAAUAAGCACUUAAUGGUUACGUACCUGGUAUUAGAAGAACUCUGAUAUAAUAAAUCUAUCAAGUUUGAUAUUAUAUUAUGUUGAAUGCUUGAUAUCUUGAAGCACUGAAUAAGGGUUUAAAAUACCCGAAUUUGGGGGCGUCACACGCCCGAUUCGCCUCCUUUGCGUAUGUUUAACAUGCUCAUACAACUUGUCUAAUACUCCAUUGAUUAAUUCUAAGUAUCAUUAUAUUUCAUAACUUUCAUGUUUAAUAACUUAGAAUAACAUAUUUUAUCGUCAAAAGCAUCCACGUAGUACGAGCAUGCCCGACGCCCUCCGAUCGCCUCCGAUCGAAUGCACAAUAGUCCUAAAAAUAGCCAUUUUAGCCCCUUCUCCCGACCUCAAAUCUCAAAACUUAUAAAAUAAAAGUUUUAGGUCAACUUCUAAUAUUUUCGAAUCAUCUUGAAUCACCUCAAUCAGAGUUCGUAUAAAAAGGUUAUGCAUGUUUUACUAAAGAACGUCAAAGCUGACUUUCUGCACUUUUGGUUCAGCGCCCAUCCUAGGCCUAUUUCCAACGCCCCGGGGCUGGACGGCAGUACGUUCUCAGCCAAAAACUUCAAUUUUCAAAAAUCUUCAGUUUUGAAUGAUUUCAACAUGUCUACUUUGAAAUAUCAUAAAUUUCUCCUCCGAUAUCGAAAUGAGCUCGUUCUUAAUGGGUUGAAAAGCUUGCAACACCCUCUACAAAUUUCUCAGGACAAAAUAAUUUUCUGGAUUCUCUAACAAUCCUUUAAACUUUCUCAAAAGUCCAUCGAGACUAAGAUUUUUAUCAUUCAACAUACUUUACCAAAAUUUUCUGCCAUGACUUCGUUUUAACAUAUUUUUACUCCGUUCCAAUUAGAAUAUCUUCAUAAAUUCCUUAUCUAUAAAUCCUUAUUCCCGAAUUUUAUUUAUUACAACCCUAUCAACAAUAUUAAAAUCCAAUUUAAGUACUCUAAAUAAAUAAUGUCUAUCCUUUAAGCUUUGGCCUACGAUUCCAUUCUUGUUACCACUUCUUAUGCAAUUUAACAAGUUAUUUAUCAUGAUCAAAGCACACAUAACUUUAUUUACUCAAGGUCCUUCAUACUCUUUCAUUAAACAACCAUCGCCAACAACUAAUGAUUCAAGAAAGACUUCACAGAAAUGAAAAGAUGGAUGGUUCUUACCUUCUUAGUUAUUCUUCUUCUUCCUAGCUUAUGCUUUGUUAGCAUGAUAUACAUUGUUGGGCCCUCCAUCUACCAACUUAAGCUUUUAAGAUAAGUUGGUUACUUAACAUGGUAUCAAAGCUUUGGGUGUGCAAGGUCUUGGGUUCGAAUUUUUCCAGCUGCACAAUUAUCUUUCUAUUAAUUUAACAGUGCAAAUGCACUUUAAUUUCUCCCUUCUCUAUAAAAAAAAGUUGCGUUUGAGAGGGAGUGUUAGCAUGAUAUACAUUGUUGGGCCCACCAUGCAUCUAACAGCUUAAGCUUUUAGAUGAGUUGGUUACUUUGCUCUUCUUUCUCUUCUUAUUGGUAUUCGGCCUCUCUAUUUCUCUCUCUCUCUCACUCUCUUGUUUUCUUUCUCUUCUCUCUAGUUUGCCCUCUCUUCCUUUUUUUUUCUUGCAAAUGAAAUGAAUUGGCUAAGUGAAAAAUCCUCUAGAUCAAUUGAAUUCUCCACUAACUAACUCAACCAUACUUCUAAGGUUAGGUUAACUCGUGUAGGGUUAGGGAAUGAUAGGAUGACACUUGUAAGCUUAAUGUUUAAGGAUGACAAGAAGAUAUAAGCUAGCAUUAAAUUAAAUUUUCACCUUGCUAGAUGAGUCACACAUACUCUCCCUUUUGCUUCUUUAAUUGGUUGGAUCACCCCUCCCUUUCUUAGCUCAUAUUUUAAUUAUCCCAUGUGGGAUAAACAUCAAUCCUCUCCCUUAUCUUACUUUUUCACCCAACUUAUCUUUUAUGAGAUAACUACUAAGUCUCAUUCCUUAUCUUUUCUUCGAUAAGCCUUGUCAUUAAUCCUUAUCUCUUCCUUGUUUUCCUUCAACCCAAACUUACCAUAAAUAGAAAGUUUCCAUCUCACCUUCUCUCUUCUCCUUGUCCAUAUUCAAAUCCCCACAUGUUUAAUUCUAGCAAAUGACACUUGCCCUCUUAUAACUUUGGCUCCUAGUUUGGCUCACUUUUUGGCUCAAAGACCAAGCCAUGGCUCCUAUCCUUUGACUCUAAGCUUAAGCCACUCAAACCUUAGGCUCAACCCUUAGCUAAGCCCCUUUAAAUUCCUAACCAAGUCAUUUAAACCUUAGGUUUGGUUAGACUAGAAUUAAUUUAAUUUCUCUUUUUCUUUUAAAUUAGUUAGAUUUCCUAAUUUUUUAGUUACAUUUUUCGUAAUAUGCUUGGUUAGCUGACAAUCCGACUUUUGAUUUUCAAAAAUCCAAUUUCGCCACCAUUCCUUCUUUCCCGAAUAAACGCUAUGUAGUUCUUCGAAAUUUUAAAAAAAACGAAGUUGGGUUUUUAGCGUGAAUAGUUUUUUUUCAUACGACUUUUUCUAGAAAAAUAUUUUAUUAGAGAUUUCAUCUCGCCUUCUCAAAUAAACACUAUGAUGUAAUUCAAAAUUCUCGAAAAAGUAUGUUUAUUAGCGUUUUUCUGUGAUUUUAAAAAUAGUAACUUUUUCGUCUUUUUCUCGAAAAAAUUAUAUUCUCCCAAAACUCCCAACACUUAUACAUAAUCACGUAACACGUAAACUAGGUCAUUAAUCGACCUAAAUCAUGUAACACAUAAUAAUAUCUAUAAAAUUUUAUUUUAUUAGAUAUUCACAAAUAAAACCUAUUUUCAAGCCUAUCUGAAUUCUCGGGUCGUCACAUAGUAUUUAUAGAGUUUCAUGGAAAGUGUUCACAUGCCAGGAACAUGACCUCAUGGAAAUUCAAGAAAUACCCUUAGUCACCAGAGUUAUGCCUAGAUCAUCUUGUCCUUCUAACCACCAUGCAAUCCAAUCCCUCAAUCAAUUUCAAAAAUGAGUUGCCUCCAUAAGCCUUCUGCCUUGGGACCCAUGGAGGCUCCUCCUCGAUCUCAUGCUUCAAAGCAAUUGUUGCUCAAACCAUACUUUCUUACUAUUCCUUCUUUAUUUGAGAAUCUCGUCGAUGGAAAUCCUCGGAAGAACUCUGCGCAAGAACCAGGAGGCCGCGCCUUAGGGGGGCAAUCCUUAGGGGGCGGAACCCUAGGGAGCUGAACCCUAGGGGGGCCUCCUUCAGUUCUUUUCGUUCGUUUCAACCUUUCUUGGUCAGUUUUCAUCAUUUUCUCAUGAUUCUUGGUCCUGUAAGAAGCCUUUCUUGUCAUAGAGAUUAUAAGGCUAAUCAUUAUUUGGAGUUUCACAAGAUUUUAGUUUAUUUUUGUAGUCCAGGCUUAUUUCUUUGUCAUUGCAUCGAUGAAACCCCUUCUAGCAUGCCAAUCGAGAAAAUGAGGUAGCAUAUGCCCUAGGGUGCCGAACCCUAAGAGGUAAUUUAGAUUUCUUUUGUCCAUCUUUUGUCUGUUUUCCUUUUUUCAUUACGAUAGUUCCAACCAAAUCCAGUCGGAGAAGAAAUUGGUUUUAUCUUUUCUUUAAGGAGAAGUCAUCUUGGAGUGGUUGAACCAUAGGGUGGCCGAACCCUAAGGGGCCAAAAUCCUAGGAUUUUUCCCUUUUUGCUGAUUUAAUGCUUCGUUCAUUAAUUGAAGUCUUGUUCAUUUACUUUCGUCUUUUCAUUUAAUUCAAUUAAAUCAUAUGUAAACCCUAAUUUGUACUUGGGCUCACAGAAAAUAAACCUAAGAAUUCAUCAAAGGAAAUAAAAGAUAAAUGACAAUACAAAUAUUGCGUUUUGUUUUGUCUUAUUUUUUUAAUUUUAUUUUCAAAUAUAUACGCAUGCAUGAUAAAGAUUCACAAUUAUGUAUAUAUAUAUAUACAUAUAGAUACAUAAUAUGGUAAAUAAUAGGUGGUAGUUGUUUUAUUUAUAAUAUGGUAAAUAAUAGGUGGUAGUUGAUUUAUUUAUUACAUGCUAAUAACAGCCAUGAGUUGAUAGUUGAUUUAUUUAUUAUAUGCUAAUAACAGCUAUCAGUUAUUGGUUGAUUUAUUUAUAUAUCGUGCUAAUAACAACCAUCAACUUGUAUAUAGUUUCUUGAUUUACUGCUGAUCGGAAGAUUACUGAUCGUUCAUUUAGGCGUUGGUGGGACUAAUGUUAACACCAUAGAUAACUAAACCCGUCUUCAUAGUCACGCUUUCAGUCCCGUCAAGAGCAAAUUUGAUAUCUCCAUAGUCAAACUUAUUGAAGAAUUCCCCAGCUUUGAGCGAAAAUGGUGUGUUUCUCGGAUAAUUCAUCAAUCCAUAUCCGUUCACUUGCGAGGAUCCAUUCGGAAGAGUAAGUGUAAGACUCACCGGACUUGCUAUGUUAAAGUUGUCUUUCAGCAGCACCACAAAAGAUACCUCAUAAGAUAAAUUUUCAAGCUUUUCUGUCAUAUAGUUUCCGUCAACAUGUAGGACUAAGCUACCAAUUAAUUCAGCACUGUCAGGACUGUAAAAAAUGAUAGUAGAAUUAAAGUCAGAAACUUUUGAUAUAAGGAGCUUAAAUUCAUUAAUAUAGUACAAUUAAUGCGAGUCCUUCUAUCUAACUAGACUUCAAUAAAAUUUCUUUAGUCCUUCUAUCACUUUAAUUUAAUGACAAAGUUGCUUAUAUCCCUAUUUUUAACUGAAUAAAAUUCAGGUGUUUAAGCACAAAUCUUGACCUUUGACGUCAAUUAAGUUAACUAAAUCUUAUUUCUACUUACGUAAACUUCCAGCCCGAAGGGUUGAAAUAAUUGAGUUUCUCAGCAGGUAUAUAAGCGCCAGAACUUUGAAUAAGACAAGAAAAAAAAAUUCAUAUCAUCCAUUACAAAAAAAUCUCACUUGCAAAAUUUACAAAUAUUAAGGAUUAUUUUUGUUCUAUAACCAACUUUAGCUAUAUAUAUGAUGUUUGUUUACAAUUUCAGUAGACUUACCUUCUGCCCUAUUCCGUUGUUUUGGAGCAACUCCAUUUCCUUGGCUUGGGACAACAAUGCCUUGAGGUCAACCUCAUUAUGCCUCACUACUUGUGCCAUCUCCUCGAUCGAUCGAUAACUAUCCUUUAAUUCUGCUAUAUAUAUAUAUAUAUAUAUAUUUUCUGUUUCUAUUCUUGAUGUCUAUAUAUCUCUCUUCCAAAGGCUAGCUCUAUUUAUACUGGCACAAACAGAGGGUACUGCGAUUAUUAUAUUCCAUAAUAUCCUAUCUUCAAAUAUUCCUUCCCUUUUCACAGUAGGGAUCCGAUCCCGAUAAGUUUAACAUCAGCAUCAUCAUCAUCACCAAGGAUAUAGAGCAGCCGAUUCUGUUUGAUAAUUUUGUUGGAAUAAUUCUUUUCCAUUUCUCAGUUCAAUAAUUCUUUCUUUAGCUUGUUGCGCAGGCAAAAUUCCAUGAAGGCGAAAGGUACGUAGGCAUCCUAGUAAAUGAUGAUUUUCUUCUAACCAGAAGUAUGAGCAGGUUAAAAGUAGAAGAAUAAGCAUCUCGCAGGCCAAAAAUAAAAAAAAAAUCGAAAAGAAGAAAAAGAAAAGAAGCCACCAAUAGCAAGACCACAUUUUUCUUUUUCUUUCCUUUUUAUCUAUUCUUUCUUUGAUUCUUUUUUAUAAUUUUUUUUAGAUGGAGUCUUUGAAAAUAAGCAUAAGAAUUCAUUAAAGGAAAUAAAAGUGUUGAAAGUUGUCUUGCAUUAGUCUUCUCCAAAUUCUGUUCCCCUUAGACUUUAGAAUUUAGCCUUUCCCAAAAUUCUGUUCCCCUCAGAUUUCGGAAUUUUGCUUUCCUCAUUUCUUGUUCUCCUCUCCAGAUUUCUCCUAUAAAAGGGAGCUUUGGUGUAAGACCCCAACUUUUAUGAAUAAAGACGAAUUUUUCUAUAAAUAUAAUUUUUGAUUAUUAAGAUGUGAAUUUGAAAAAAUAUUAUAGUUGUGAGUAAUAUUUAAAAAUUUUACAAAGUAAACAAGGUGUUAUAAAAUAUUCGGUUGGUCGAGGAAUAUUCGUUUUAACAGGGAAUAUUCAUACGACGACACAAUCAUUGGUGGACCCCACAACGAAAGUAUUGUCGGAGUUAGAAAACGACAGAAAUAUCUUAUUAUGAAAAUAAUGGCGAAAAUUUUACCGUUAACUGUUGAAAUACCCGUUAGUAAAAGUACAGUAAUACGUAUGGUUGCAUAGUAGUACACGGUAUUAAUUAUUGAUGCUUACGUGAGAAGUCACUCAGUUAUACUCAAUUAUUGUUACAGUAAUUGUUGUAUCAUAUCUCUUAUAUUAUUGAUUCAAUUAUUGUCAGUAUCAUCUGCAUAAUAUUUUAUAUUAUUAAAUCAAUAAUUGAGACGAUAAAGUUAUUCAUAUUAUUAUUUACAAUAUUGACGAUGUCUAGAAGUUCUGUCAAGGAGAGGUUAGGUCAUUUAAUUGCGCGCCAAUAGGGAGAAAUCCUUAUCGGAAAGCCCCUCUUUCCUGAAAACGAUCUGGUUGUUAAUAUUGCGAGUUAUAAUAAUGAUGAAUAAAUUGAAGGAAUUUUAUGAAAUAUUUGUUGUAAGUUUUGCUUAUUAUAUGGACCCCCAUUUAACCAUUUUUCAAAAUAAUCGGUAAAAAAUUAUUCAGUAUUUUUUUUAAUAAAAAAGGUGGGGCCACAUGUGGGGCCCACUGAAAGAAAAAUGGGGGGGGGGAGAUGUUUAUGUUUGUCAUGGGUGAAGGUUUGAUUAUAUAUAUAUAUAUAUAUAUAUAUAUAUAUAUAUAUUAUAAUAAGUCUUUUUUUUAUGAAAAAUAGAAUAUAUUAAAUUUUAUUUGCAUAGUAUUUUACUAUGCAGUGCACAGUAAAGUUUUGUGAAUUAGAAAUUCGGCGCCCGUGAAAUUUUCGAUUGUUUUGUCCGUGAGAAUUUCAAACAGUACCCCUUCCAUCAUCCUAUAAAUAUGACGCUUAUUUUGAAUUGAAAAUCACACAAGAAUCAGAGAAUUUUUUUCUAUAAUAUUGAGUAUAUUUCUUUCGAGUUUUAGAAAGUUUUGAGUGUAGAAAACAGUGAAAGUUUUUUUCAAGAAUAUCCCCGCUAUACCAGUCGAAAUACUCUUCUUAGGAUGUUUUUUUGUUCAAUAUUCGUAUGAAAUAAUAUUUUCUUCCAUACUCUGUAGUAUGUAAAUAAUAUUAUUUCGUUUUAGAUUUCGAAUUCUAUAUCCAUUUUGUUAAAGUUUUGGCUCCUAUACUCCAUGAAAUUAGUAGAAUAUCCUUAAAAUUUGCGUUUCAUCCAGUAUCUUUUCAUGGAAAUAUUAUUCUGAGCAUUCUUGAUAAGUUUUAAUUUUUUCAUGCCAGAGUACUAUAUACGGGGUACUAUUCUCAAAUUACUAUUCACGGGGUACUAUUCACUCGGUUACUAUUCAUCCGAGGCACUAUUCAUGACAAAAAUUAAUUUUUUUUCGGUCCAAAUCAUUUUUGUUACAAUAUUAUUCGUGAAUUUUACUCCAUAAUGCAGUAUCAUAUUGACAAUUUGGACAUUAUUAAAUUAUGGAUAAAUUAAAUUAUAAAUCUUUAAAAAUUUAUCUUUUGCUUUCAUUUAAUUGAAUUCUUAUAUCAUUGUCAUCAUCCUGAUGCUUAUAUUAUAAUGAAAGUCAUUUGUGGCCCGUAGUGCAUAGAUGGACUUGGUAUGAUUAUGACCAGGGAUUAUUUGGUAUAAUCAUGACUGUAAUAUUACAAAUGAUGUGGUAAAAGUCCUCAUUGGCCCGUAGUGCAUUGAUGAACAGUUGUUUUCAUGAUCAUGACCAUUGAUGAAAACACGAAUAUCUUUGGCCCGUAGUGCAUGAAUAAUUUGUGGUUGUGAUACUAAAGAAUAUCCUUGGCCCGUAGUGUAUGGAUAAUUCAGUGAUGUGUAUUAUUUAUUAAGCUGAGUCUCAGCGAUACAAUUGAUGAUAAACCUUUUAAAUAAUAGAAGAUAGUAGAUUUUAUGCUCUACUUAACUCUUCUAAUAGAUUGCUUGUUCCUCUGCAAUUAAACUUGAUGUUUAUUAUAUUUUAUCAGUUUAACAUUGUUGAAGGCUAAUGAUAAUUUAUUCUGUGUUAUCUUAGUCAUAAUAUUUCUUACUGGCUAGUUGAGCUCACCCUUUACUUUCAUUGUUCUCUUCAGGAAAUGAGAAUAUAGCUGGGAUCGACUAGUCGGGGAACGGAGUGACGGUCCAAAUGAUAACAUUAGUAGUCCUCACUAUUCUGUGAAAUAGUGUGAUAAUAAAUGUAAUGAGGACUUAUUUUGAGUUUGAAUACUGUCUAGAAGACAAUAUUUGUAUUAAAACUCACAACUCAUGUUAUAUAUUUAAGUUUAUAUUUGUAUUCUGUACCAUGUAUUUAACGAUUCAAAAUGGGUGAUGUAUACCUAUUCUGGGGGCGUCACAGUUGGUAUCAAAGCUUGGGGAUAUGAUCCCUGGCUGAGAUGAGAGACUAGAACUAGGAGGGGAGAGUCAGGUAAUUCCUUUGCUAGUAUGACCUACCUAAGUUUAUUUGUUAUUUAAUUAGUCGGUCAGAAUAUAGGGAUAAUAUGUUGCAUGUCAAUUAACCCUUGUUUUGUGGCAGUAUUUGAAAAUGACAUCCGAGAAUGUUGAGAAUAGCAAUGGAGUACAUGAGACCGUUGAAUCACCAACGAUCAAUAACCAGGAUAAUGUGCAUCAGGAAGGCAAUAAUCCUCAUGCAAACAAUAACUCCAACAAAAUAAUGAACGACAAAAUGUUUAUGAGCUUUCUUCAAUUCAUGCAACAUCAGGCAAGAGAGACUCCUGUUCAAAAUGUAGGUGGAAAUACCGGCAACUCUCGAACGGUCACCGCUAAGCAAUUCAAGGAGCUGGGACCACCGAAGUUUUUGGGAAAGCCAAAACCACUUAAGGCGGAGACAUGGUUAAAGCAGAUCACUAAGAUAUUUGAUGUCUUUGGAUGCUCCGAGGAGCAAAAGGUUCCCUUUGCCACCUUCAUGUUGCGAGGAGAGGCAGAUCAUUGGUGGAAAUCUGUAAAAUGUACCCAGCUUGCCACAUUAAAGAUGUCUUGGGAGAAGUUUCAAGAACUGUUCAACGACAAGUACUUUUUCGAAAGUAUUCGUUAGAUGAAGGAGGUGGAGUUCAUCAGGUUGGAAUAAAACAAUAUGACCAAGACGCAGUACGAGGCUAAGUUUGCGGAGUUAUCCCGGUUUGCAUCUCAUUUGGUUGUUAAUGAGGAGAGAAUGACGCGGAUAUUUUUAAGAGGUUUGAAACCUGAGAUAUGUCAAUAUCUCAUUCUCACAAACUUUGCUUGUAUUCAGAUGUUGUGAAUAUUGUAAUAACUCGAUAUUUUCUAUAUAAUUAAAUCAGAAAUUUUACGUAUGAAUUUUUUUAUUUAAUUAUUAAAGUUGGAAAUAUGUGCCAGGUAAUGUGUAUAUGUAUAUAUGUGAUAAAUAAAAUAUAUUUAUUACAUGAAUAAUUACCAAUAGUUUUAUUUUAGAAUUAUUGCUCAUUAUAAAUUAUAUUAUAAUAAUAAUUAGUUUUAUACUAAAAAUGUUUUCAUUAAUUCUAUUCUAUGAAAAUAUGUUUAUAUAUUAUUUAAAAAUUAUAUGAAAUGAUUAUAUAAUUAUUAUAAUGAUUAUUCUAUUUUAUUAUAUGAAUUUAGUUCAGAUUAUUUAAGUUAAUUAUUUUAACUUAAUUAUUAUUGUUAUGUAUGCAAGAUAAAUCAGAUAUGGAAUCCAAACCCUAAUUUUGGAUUUUGAACAAGGAAUGAGAAUAUUAAUAUAAUAUUAAUUAUAUUUUUAUUUUUCAGUGCUAUAAAUAUAUAUGUUAUGUUUGUAAGGUUAAUCUGGGGAGCAAUUUUCUUAUGACCUGAUAAAACCCUAAUUUGAAAGUCAAUUACGACUGUAAAAUUUGUUAAGUCAUUGUGAUAUGUGGUCUAUGAUUUGUAUUAUAAGUAUUAAUGUUAAUUCUAUAAAACCCUAAUUAGUAAUUUAAAACUCUAUUUUUCUUAAAUUAGGAACCCUAAACAGUACUUAGCUAUCCGCUAAGUGAAAACCCUAAUUUAAAACUCAGCUAUGAGUCGAGACUGUUAUGUAACUGUAUUAUUAUGUUUAAGGUUAAGUAUUAUAGAAUUUUAUAUUAAUUAAAGAAACCCUAAUUAACAUUUAGAAAUUCUAAUUUCUAGAAACCCUAAUUUCUAAAUUAGUAACCCUAAUUUGCUAAAACAAAACUCUAAUUGUUAAUUUGGCACGCUUAAUGAUAAUUAGUAAAAUUUAAACCUAAUUUUCAAGUCUAUGUAAUGAGGAAACCAAAUUAAUUAUGAAACCUUAAUUUGUAUUUUUAGAAACUAAAAAUUUCAAUUUUUUUAAAAUUAGAAAUCCUAUAACACUUUGUGCUAACCCUAAGGGUCAAACCCUAAGGGUUUGAUAAGUUACUAGUUUGCCCUUAAAUUGAUUAGCCAAAUGACAAAAAUACCCCUCUUGCAUUAUUGGACAUAACUUGUAAGACUAGCCAAUUUUGAGUUGCUCAACAACUCUUACCAGCCCCAUGUGACUAAAAUGCCAGCAAUCAAGCUCUAGAUAUCAGCCAACUUGAUUUCAUGUUUUAUAUAUAUAGACAUCAAGAGAGAGAAAUUUCAUUUAUUAGCCACAUUUGUACACAAACUCCUUACCAACUCUCUCUCCCAAAACCCAUGAAAUGUUGUAGUAGAUCAGUCCCGUAUUGAAGCCCCACUAACACACUUAAGCAAAUCAGCAGCCAGAAUCAAGAAUUGAUGCUUAAAGGUAUAAAAUCCUAAGUCAAAUUUUGAUCUUGUAUGCUAUAUUGGAUUUGUGGUUUUAAUGUUUAAUCAUGUUGAAUAAGGUGUUAAUAGGUGAUCUGGGUUGGCACAUGUUAGAUCCAUAACAUCAAAGUGCUCGAAAUCUAAGUUUUUCAAAAUAUGGAAAUUUUUGUUUUUGUUGUCUGACAGCGAAUGUCAGGCCUUGUAGAUCUGUGCUUAUUUAUUAUUUUGAUGAUUUAAAUGUUUGAAGUGGUAGUCUGGUAUGAGGUCUUUCAUAUGAAAAUGGAAUCACUGUUAUUGGAUGUCUAGAUCGAAAAUUAUUGAUGGUCAAAGGUCGUUGACUGACCAUGACCGAGUAUGAAUCUGGGCAACCUUGAAAGCUUUUUCAGCGUCUGAAAAUGUUUUGGAAGGCUUAGAUCUGUCAGUGUGUAAAUGAUUUGAUGAUGUUAUAAUAUCCAGUUUAUAGCUUGUCAUAUGUAAUUUAUAUUUGUGGCUUUAUAUCCUUUAAACAAACAAUUGAUCGAACUUAGUGGAUGGUCAAACCUGGCCCCUCGGUCACGAUUUCAUUUCUGGGAAUUUCCAGAAAAUCGAAAGAACAGCCCUCUGACAGGGUUUGACCGAGUAAUAUCUUGUAGAUCUGUUGAUGUUAAACUGAUUUGUUGUUAUAUUAUUGUUCCUGGACAUAAGGACUACAUCUUUGAGGCAUUAGAUCACUUGAAUCAUGAACGGAACCUAGAUUAAAUCGAGGAUGAAAGUGACUGGUCGACCACCUGGGUUUCUGGAAAACCCAGGAAUGCUCUGACAACAUAUUUGCAAGCCUAGAUCUCCUUGUGUGUUUGUUGUAUGACCUAGAUAUUGAUUGCUAGUUAUAGUGUUGUAUAAUGACUUCAAUAUUGAUGCUUAAGUUUGCCCAAAAACGAAUUAGACAGAGAAUUAUUAGUGGUCAAAGUUGACCCCUCAAACACGAAGCUGUCAGUGUUCUUGAGCUCAAGAACACCAACAGCGACGCUUAGUGUCACUAAAGGCCAAUAGCGAUGGUUUCUAAUAUUUUUAAUUUCUGAUUUUCUAGAAAAUACUUAAAAAUAGAAAAUAAAUUAUAAAAAUUACAAAAAUGGUUUUAAAAAUUAUUUUAAAUUAUGAAAAUUAACUUUUAAUUAUUUGGGAUAUUUUUUAUUAAUAUUUAUAAUUAUUUGAAUAUUAUUAAUAUUUAAUUUAUUUAAUUAGUGUAUUAAAUAAAUUAGAGAAAAAUGAUUUUAAUGUUAUAAAAAUCAAUUUAAAUAAGAAUAAAGUGUUUAAAAAUAUUUUUGAGUUAUAUAUGUAACUUUUAAUAUUUUUGUGAUGAAUUUCAUUAAUUAAUUAAUAUUAAUGAUAAUUAAGUUAUUUAAUAAAUGUAUUAAAUAAAUUAUGAAAAAUAGAAAUUAUGAUUUAAAAAUCAUAUAAAAGUGAUUUAAAGAUUAUAAAAAAAUAUUUUAAGUUAUAAAAUAUAACUUUUGAUAUUUUGUCAUGAAAAAUAUUAAUAAUUUUAUAUUAAUAAUAUUAGAUUUAUUUAAUGAUUAUAUUAAAUAAUUUAGUUUAAAAUGAUUUUAUUAUUAUAAAAUUAUUUUAAAUGAAAAUAAAGUGUUUAAAGAUAUUUUAAGUUAUAAAAUAUAACUUUUAAUAUUUAAAGGAUAAUUUCAUUAAUAAUUUAAUAUUAAUGAUAUUAAUUUAAGAUUUAUUGAUAUUAAAUUUAUUCAAUAAUUAUAUUAAAUAAAUAGUUUUAAAAUGGUUUUAUUAGUUUAAAAAUUAUUUAAAAAGGAUAUAAAUGAAUUAAAAAUAUUUUAAGUUAGAAUUAAUAACGUUUAAUAUUUGGAUAAAUAGUAGAUUAAUAUUUUAAUAUUAAUGGUAAUUAUUUAAAAAUGAUUUUAAAUGUUUAAAAAAUUAUUUAAGGGUAAUAUUAGCACUUUAAAAAUAUUUUGAGUUAUUAUUAAUAACUUUAAUAUUUUGGCAAUGGUUUCAUUAAUAGUUUAAUAUUAAUUAAAUAUUAAUGAUAAUAUGAUUAUUUACUAUUUAAAUCAUUUAAUUAUGAUUCUAGUGUUUGAAAAUUCAUAAUAAAUUAUAAUAAAUGUUUAAAAAUUAUUAUAAGUCAUUUAAAAAUAAUAUGACUGAUAUUUGUAGAUAUUGAGAUACAGGAUAGAGUCUUAGACUCGAUAUUUACCUGAUAAAGCCGUCGGUAGACCGACAUGUUUCAAAAAUUGAUCUAGACUUAGAUAUUUUGACUGUAUUAAUAUUUGUUUGUGAUUCAAUGACUGUUGAAUAUGUGUGACAAUGUGAUUAGGUUAUAUGCUGACUGCAAUAAGCAGUGCUAUGUUAUUCUAAUCGAACGAAUGAUCUUAUUAAUGAUAGAUUUUGGUAUUAAAGAUAAAACUAAGUUGCGUAUUGUAAGCAGCAGACCAGGCAAGUAUCAUAUAUUUGCAUUUUGUUUAUGUGACGCCCCCAAAUCCGGGUUAUCUUUAACUCGGGUUUGGUGCUUACGAUUCUAGAAUACCCAUUCAUACUAAAAAUAAAACUGUCUUAUAUUACAUAAACAUUGAACUUAAAUCCCAGGUUCUAGAGACCUUUACAUACAAGCCAAAUAUUAUUACAUCAUAGUGCUACAGUAUUUAUUACAUGCACUACUUAGGUUCAUUUAAGCACAUGCGCUUAAUAAUUGACUACUCAACAACCUUGCCCUUUCCUUUGUCUUUUCCAGAUGGACCGGCAACCUCAAUUUUAACUGAAAACAUUAUAUUUAACGCAAGGGUGGGCAACAAGUUUGCCCAGCAAGGAAAUAAGCAGCUAAAUAUAAGAGAACAAAAAUAUUACAGUAAUGGGGAUAUCAUACAGAAGGUAUAGAACAAAGUAAUUCUUAAGAGUGUUGAGUCAAAAGUCAGGAUUUAUCAUGCUGUAAGGUCAAAUGACCAGUGAACACUAUACUAGAAUUUACAGUAAUAAUACUGCAAUCUAUGAAUACAAACAGUUAUAAAGCUGUUUUAUAUCCUAGACUCGUACUUCAGGGGAUCAGCCUAAGUACCCUAUAUUGUGCACAACAUAACAGUCUAAUAAAACUUUACAUGUCCUUCAGAAUCAUAUAUACGGUACAAUACGCCCCUAAAAAAGGGUUGUUCGUUCACAGCAUUAUAUAAGAAUCCAUACCACAAUAACAAAAUGGUUUGGAAAGAAUUAACUGAUAAAUUCAUAAACAAUAUCAAUAUAUCUCAACCUUUGUCCAAGCGAAGUAAUGGUAUUGACAUACUUUCAAUAUAACUUUUAUUCAAGAUAGAAAAGUUGAUAUACUAUUCUUUUGAAGCUGAUUGGAAUAAAAAGGCUAUUUAACCUUAUAUUAUUCAUAAAUAAGGACAAACAGUUCAGAAAUUAAAGAACCUGUCCACUGCAGAAUAUUUGCUCAAUAAAGAGUAAGGAUUAGAAACUUGCCUUGUUUGUAGUCUAUCGUUUAGGAUUUCAGCUUAAUUGAAGUAUUUCUCAAAGUCCUACACAGUUAUUUGUAUUAACAAGCAUGUUAAUCACAUAGCUAUGUUAUAUAGUUUGUAAGCUCACAUAUCACAUAAUUUCAGUGAUUAUGGUUGUAGUUAAAUUAUUAUUUUUGAUACAUUUUUCAAAUAUCUCAUCCAUGCUUUCAAGAGACAUUUUUCACUUUGAUGGGUUUCAACAAGCUUUCAACAAGUAAUAGAAAUCAUAUUACAGUCAUCAUUUGCAUUAACCAAGUAUGUUAGCCACAUAGCUAAGUCAUAUAUCAUGUAGUUUUAAUGGUCAUGGUUAGAUUUCCUAUAUUUGAUACAUUUUUCAAAUACCUCAUCCAUGCUUUCAAGAGACAUUUUUCACUUUAUUAGUGUUCAAUAUGCAAUACUUUACAACUACCAUCUCCAUUUCCUUAGUAACAUAGUAUAUAAUCAUUUUAUGUUUCCUUUACUUAAUUUCUAGCAUAUAAGGUGUUUUCAUAGCUUAUUGUCGGUUUUGAAGGUAUUUCUUAUAUGUAUGGUUAACCUAUAGUCUUCCUCAUAGUUUAUAGAUUCAUUUUGACACACCAGUGUAUCAAUUAUCACUGUUUUCACCUAUGAUGCUAAAACAGCCCUUUGAGGCUUUAAUUUUUUUAAACAUGACUUAAUGAUCCCAAUUUAGGUUUACUGUUUAUAUUAGAUUUCAUUUAGAAUUUUUCUCCUACACUUGCUUGCAUCAUAACUCUACUCAUUUAGAGAAACAUAAUCUAUCCUUUAUAGAUAAUCUGGUUACUAAAACUAAAUUUGGAUUCAAACAUGAAUUUUACAAAACAGUCAUUAUUGUAGCUGCUAUACCACAACUGUUGUUUCCCAUUCUACUUGUUGUGGCUAUUGGUAUCAGCUAUAUGCUGCCACUAUUAGGCAGUAAGUCACAUCACUCAUGCCCAAAAAUGCUUCUAAAUUAACCUUUUCAGCUGGCUUUGCAGGCUUUGCAGCCCUUAAUUGAGCCUUACAGCUCAAUAAUCUCUGUAACACAUUUCAGUUAUUAGUCUUAUCUUAUAACUUGCUAUUCCAUUAACAUUUUCUAUGUAUGAAUGCACUGCCAACUGCUACUGCUGGUGUUGCUGUUGCUGCCAAUGGGCAGCGACUAUUAUUUUCUUACCAUAAGCUGUUUGGUCUGUUUCAAGUGCUGCAGUCACAUGUCAUCAUGCUCCAUCAACUAGAGUAAACAAAAAUGCAUGAACUUAACUUACUAACUGCAGCCCAAGAAAAACAAACUCAGCUGUCAAAAUGACAGUGCAGUCAUCUACUUGAAGUUGCCAAGGACAACAGCUAUCCGAAGCUUUUUGCUACUGUCAUUAGCAGCCUCCCUUGCUCCUUAACCCAUUCCCAACAAUCCUCUAACCUCAGUUUUGCUAUAUUUCUAGGAAUAGGCCUCAUGGCUAUAAUCUUUUAGAGUUAUAAGGUUAUCCCAGUUGGCCUAUUAAGCUUUGGCUCCUUGGUUUAGUGACUGUUUCAACAGAGUAGGCAAAGGAGUUUGUCAAGCUAGAAUUACUUAGCCUAAAAACUGAACUAUGCUAAAAAUUUCUAUGCCAAAACAUUACAGUCAUCACAUAUGUUGGGUAAAUCAGGUAAAUAGUGUACUAGUUCUACUAUUCAGUUUCUUUUUACUAAAACAGUCCUCUUAGGUCUUUUAUCAAACAGUUGGUGGGCAUGGUUAUAAGCUACUAGUUCCAUAGCCAUUUGUUUAUAUUCCAACUCAUAUUUUCCCCUUAUUACUCCACAGCCCACUUAUCUCCUUGUGCUUAAAUUAUAACAAUAUCAUAAUGGCAUAACAAUCAAUGAAAUGUUACAACAGUUUAUAUAUAGCAGCUUAACACCCACAUAGCAGUCCUCAAAUCCAUACUAGGCCUUUUAGGCUAAAUGAUCAAAACAGUCCUUAAGUUUUUAACACAAGGAUUAAUAUAACAUGUACAUACUAUGUUUUAUGGUUUAAAGACCCCAAUACCAACCAUCCUGUCUUGACACUAUAACAGCUUUAGACUAGCAAUUUGGUCAUGGUUUAUCACACCAAACCAAUAGCAAGCACUGAUAUGUAUGCCUUUCUAACACUAAAACAUUUUACCUACCAUAUUUUCAUGGUUUAAAGCAUCUAGAGGCAAGGUCCUUAAGUUUAAAAUCAAAACAGCCUCUCAUAGGCUUUUAAAGUAAUAUAAGAUAGCAUGCUUGGGCAACAUGAAAACAAGGACUGCCUACUAUGAAUAUAUUAGAAGUAAGGCAUGAUCAUCAUAAUAAACUUCUAAUAACAGUCCACAUAAUGCAAUAACAGUUCAUAUAAGGCAAUAAUAAUUUAUAUAGCAACUAAAGUCCUUCUAACAGUCAUUUAUGCUUAUUCUAGUCACCACAACAAGUAUACUGUCUUAGUCCAUUCUGUAUACUAGUUCUGGGCAUGGUAAUAUAUUUUACAAUCAUAAAUAACCAACCAUCUUGGACUCCUUUCCAGCCACACUGUUUUGCCAUUAUAGCAGUUUUAGACUAGCACCUUAGGCACAGUUCAUCACAGCAAAACAGUAGCAACAUAGCAUAGCGUAUCAGUCCAGUUAUUACAAUAACAGUUGGUAUAUCACAAGGAUGAUGCUACAGCUAUUCAAGUCUCUUUUAGGCCAUUUUGGCAAGGUUUUAGUAAUAAGUUAUCAAAGCGGUCAUUAGUGUGCAAUACAAAGAUUAUUACCUCAUGUACAUGCUAUAGAAUAUAUGUUCAUGUUUUAAGAGCCUAUAUACAAGGUUUCUUGCUGUUAGUUCAUAACAAUCCCUUAUAGGCUUCAAUUUAAUACACGGAAGCAUGAUCUGAAAAAUUUAGUUAUCAAAAUAACAUGUUUAAACAUAAACAUAUACUCGAGGUAUUCUUUUUCUUUCUAUAUAAUCAAGUAGACAUGCUAUUAGGCUCUAUUUACAGCUAGCAUACCUUGAUACCAUAACAGUCCAAUUAGAGCAAUAUUUUAGGCAUGGUCUAUUACAACAAAAUGGUAGCAAGCACUGACAUGUUUUCCUUUCUAACACAGGCACCUUUUAUUUAUCAUAUAUUCAUGAUUUAAAACAUCUAAAGGCAAAAUCUCUUUGCUUUAAGCCAACACAGCCCUCUUUAGGACCCACUUUCCAAAAAUAACCAUGGUUUACCCUUAUGUUUACAAGGAUAACAUGGAUGUGCAACAUAGAAGUUUAGACUAUCUUCUUUAUAUGGUAUUUAAGAUGCAAAAAUAUAUUUGGAUGUCAUAGAAUGCCUUACCCCAUAUAUAUCAGUCCUUAUUAAGCCUCAAAUCUAGCAUACCAGUUUCUCAGAAUAGUGGCCAAGUCUUGGUUAAUUGCUUAGAUUACAUAUAUGCUAGUAUACAAUAGUUAUACCCAAUACAUCAUGCCACAUAUAACAUAUAAGCAGUCCUUUAUUAAUAAUCAUAGCAUAACAGUCCAUUUAACAUCAUAGCAAUUCAUAUGGUAACACAGAUCAUGCUAACCGAAAUCAUAAUAUCAUUAACUUUUUAGCAGCUCCUUAGCUUGACAAAUUAUCAAACACCUAGAGUGCAGUCUAUAUACUUGCACUUAAUACAUAAUUUCUAGCCCUCUGCCCCCAGCCGUAUGGCUUAAACAAUAUCAAGCAUAAGACCACACUUAUCAGUACCAAACCCAGCAGUUCAAAUAACAUGAAAGCAGUCAGUUAUCAUAACAGCCAUACACGUUUUUGGUCAUUGACAAUUCAUUUUACUAAUUAAUUUAAUAGCCAUCCUAAUCAUUUAUCAAUUCAGUUGUUACCCGGAAUGAAUGGAAAGAUUAGAAAGGCCAGAAUUGGCUUACCUUGCUGAUUCGAAGGUAUCAAGUGGUUGAGCUGCUUAAUUCCUUUUCCCCUCUAGCCGAACUCUUCACUCUUACUCUAUAUGACCGUUGCUGCUAAUUCUUUUGGACUCAGUUAAGUGAUGAGGCUAAUUGAUUUUGGGUAAUAACCUGGCCUUUUUAUGGCUGAGCUUAGCUUCCUUACAGUUGAUCGCAUCACCUUCUACUUGCCCCCUAACAUAUAAUCUAUUACCUCUAGCAGUUAGACUGCUCUGCAGCCACCCUACAAGACCCUAGUCUCUCUGCCAUGCCUUAUCUGUUGCUAACCUGUCUACUAACUAAUAACUGACUAACUUAUAGACUAACUACUGCUAACAACAGAACAGCCUCAGCUCCUAAGUUUACCCCUGUGGGCUGUUGGAAAAAAUCCUAAGGCAAGGCUGGGCAGUGGUUUCAUUUUGGGCCUAGUCCCUUUAACCCAAAGUUUUACUUGUUAAUUUGCUAUACUCCAAUGGGUUUACAGGAUUGGGUUUUGGACAUCCAUUUCACUCUUUAACACUUGGAGCUGCCGAAUUGGGCUAGCAAAUAGACUACAUGCAACGAUCAUGGCAAAAUUAUUAAGGCCCAAUAUUUUAAUAUGGACUCUUGUUACAUUAAAACACAUGGACUAUUAUUUUCUCUAGCAACAAUAGUUAUAACAUAUAUCAUUAAAAUGACUAUUCUAUGUAAUCUUAAAUAAUUCAUGAUGGCACAUAAUUUCUUUGCCCUUUAUAACUCAAGAUGCUAAACGAACUAUUAAAUAAAUAAUAUUUUUAUCACAAUGAGAAUUAACAUAUCAUAAAAAAAAAUUUAUACUCAAAAAUUGACAUUACAAUAAUUAAAUAUUACAUAGGAUGAACUACAGGCCAAUGAGGACUUUUACCACAUCAUUCGUCACAUUACGGUCAUUAUUAUACCGAAUCAUCCCUGGUCAUAAUCAUACCAAGUCCAUCUAUGCACGUAAGCCAAAGAUGACUUUCAUCACAAUAUAAGCAUGAGGAUGAUGACAAUAAUAUAAGCAUUAAUCAAACGAAAAUAAUGAUAAAUUUUAAAGACUUUAAAUUUAUCCAAAUGUUUAUCAAUCACUUAAUAAACUCAUAAUCUAAUAUUAUUAAUAUUAUAACAAUAUUUUAAUCACUUCUUGAACUUAUAAACAAUUUAUUCUAAUUGUUUACACUUUCCCAAAUAAUACAUUUUAAUCAUUCAAAAAUACCAUACUCAUAAGAUUUCAUCACCAAUGAUCAAAUCCCUUAUCAAAAAUCUGCAUAUACCUUAUAUAGGAUUUCCAAGCCAUAAAAUCCAUUUUACCAAUUUUUCAACUUCACAUAACAUAUUUAAUUCAUAUGUUCGUAACUAAACUAUUUUCAUGAAAAAUACCAAAUCAGUCCAAAAAAUUAUUCUUUUUUGGGAUUUAGCAGAAUAUAGUCCCAUAUUGAACAUAUAUUUUUCUCAUAAUUUUUAAAAUUCAUUUACUAUUUUUCAUAUGGCCAAAACUGCCGAAUAUUUAGACAUUUAUCAUAAAUUGUACUUUUGUCCAAAAAUUCCGAAAUUUACAAGGUAUACUCCUAUUAUAUAUGUGUACUCCCAAUAAAAAUUUAACCAAUUUUGGAGUUAACCACAAGGAGUUAUAAGGGUUUACUUUUAAAAUAGUUUUUUCCCAUAAAAUUCAUAACUCCUAAUCUAUACAUCCAAAAAUUGCCAUUUUUGGACACAAUCUAGAAAUCUCAACAAACUAUCAUUUCAAAUGUUUCCAAAAUUUUUGAGGGUCAGAAAAAUUACGAAACUGCAAAUAGAUUUUCACCCGUCAUUCGGUAAUCCAGGUAGACAGAUCAUUUCCACAAUUUAAUAAGGAAUGAAUACAAAGGAUCAUUCACCAUGCAUGCGGUAAUCCACAUAGACAGGUUAUUCCAACAGAAUAAUAAAAAAUAGAAUAACAACAGAAUUCACCAGGCAUACGGUAAUCCGCGUAUACAGGUUAUUCCAAUAGAAUAAUAAAUAAUGGAACCAGGUCAUGCGUAAUCCGCAUAGACAGGAUAUUCCAACAGAAUAAUAAAGAAUGGAAUAACAACAGAAAUUCACCAAGCAUACGGUAAUCCGCGUAUACAGGUAAUUCUAACAGAAUAAUAAAGAAUGGAAUAACAAUAGAAUUCACCAGGCAUACGAUAAUCCGCGUAUACAGGUUAUUCCAACAGAAUAAUAAAGAAUGGAAUAAUAGAAAAUUUUCACCACGUAUGCGGUACUUCGCAUAGACAGGUUACUCCAAUAUAAUAAUAAAGAAUGAAAUAACAAAAGAAUUUCACCAUGUAUGCGAUACUUCGCAUAAACAGGUUAUUCCAACAUAAUAAUAAAGAAUGGAAUAACAACAGCUCUCUUCAUGAAUACGAAAGAAAUAAUAAUACCCCUUACCUUAGAAGAAACUGGAUACUGGAAUAGUGAGGUAGCAGGCUUCUCUUCUUCUUUCUCUCUAUAAUUUCUCUCUAUAAUAAUUGCUCUAUAGCUUUAGUGAAUUGGUGAGAAAUGAAGGAAGAAUGAGCUUCUGUUUAUAGGAAAACAUAGUUUCAAUAAUUGCACAUUUUGGGGCUCGAAAUAUUACAUUAUAAUACCUUCCUCUUUUUCUUUAUUUUUAAUUUAGCCCUGCAAGUAUUAUCAAACUUGCACCACCUCCUCUAAUAGUAAAUCAUGUGAAUUAAUAGUAAAUCAUGUGAAUCAAUAGUUCUAGACAUGUGAAAAUACGAAUUACAGUAUAGUACCUCCAUCUAUACCUCUAUUUUUAACUUAGUCAUGCAAGUAUUAUCAAUCUUGCACCAACUCCCCUAAUAGUACCAUAAUGUGAAUCAAUAGUACACACAUGUGAACAAAUAGUUAUAAUCAUAUGAAUUAAUAGCAAUUAAAAGCUCAUUUAUCCGGAUAAUUACCCGAUUGGUCAAUAUAACCUCCAGACAUCAAUUAUCAUCGAAAUAAAUGUCGAUUCCCACUAACACUAAUAAUUCCAACACAAUGGAACUAUCAAUUUCAUCUUUAAUCAACACAAAUUUAUUCAUCAUUAAUAUUAUAACUCAUAAUAUUUAACAACAAGAUCGUUCCCAGGAAAGAGGGGGCCUUCCGGUAAGGAUUUCUCCUCACUGGUGCGCAAUUACCUAACCUCUCCUUGACAGAACUUCUAGACAUUGUCAAUAUUGCAAUUUAAUAAUAUUAAUAAGUUUACCAUCUUAAUUAUUUAUUUAAUAAUAUAACAUAUUAUGCAGAUGAUACUGUGACAAUAAUUGAAUCAAUAAUAUGAGAGAUAUGAUGUAAUAAUUACUGUAGCAAUAAUUGAGUAUAACUGAGUGACUUCUUACGUAAGCAUUAAUAAUCAAUACCGUGUGCUACUCAAUUCGUCAGCUACCACGUUCGCUCUUUCAUGAUGAUAUUGAAUGGUACGAUCGUAAUCUUCUACAGCUCAAGCCAACGUCUUUGGCACAUUAUACGAUUAUUUUAGGUAAAGAAAUAUUUGAGGGUUUUAGAAAUGAGUUUUGUACUUGGGUCAAUACAAAAUAUGAUUUCACGCUCUGGGGUAGGCAAGGAAGUUCUUCGAGAAUACGUCAGAAUAUUUAUUAACAAUAGAAAUAUCAUUUAAAAACUGUGACUCUCAUCCAAGACUUGGACAACACAUGAAAUGAAGGUUUCUACUAACGAAGUUUCAACCAAUAAGUCAAAGUCUAACUUCUCUGGGGUCAAAUUUAAAUGUUGAGCGCAAGCAAGAGAGAUAAAAGAAUGGGUAGAACCGGUAUCUAAUAAGGUAUAGACUUCGCAAAAAUUUAUAAUUAACUAACCCGUGCUAACUUCGUUCGGGUUACUCGCUUUUUGAGAAGUCAUGAAAAACGCUCUUCCUGAAACCACCGACUUUGUUUUGUCCAUAUCCGCCUUUGGUGCCACCGUCCCAGCUGGACUUGACUUUGGUGCACGACAAAAUCGGGCUAAGUGUCCUUUUCCAUAAUUAUAACAUGUUUUGGACUGCAUCACGCAGUUUGGACUGAUAUGUCCCUCCCCUCCGCAUUUGAAGCAUACAAUUGGUGGUCGUUCUCCUUCCUUGAAAACGGGUGUUGGUGCUGCUGUCUUUGCAUCUUUGUUGAACCUUCUCUUCUUGAAAUUUCCACUCCUAUUAUCUUGGUCAUGAUUACCACCGAAGUGGUUACCAUUCUUGGUGUAAGACCCCAACUUUUAUGAAUAAAAAAUGAAUUUUCUAUAAAUAUCAUUUUUGAAUAUUAUGGAGUAAAUUUGAUAUAAUGUUAUAGUUGUGGGUAAUAUUUAUAAAUUUUGAAAAGUACGCAAGUUGUUAUAUAAUAUUCGUUUGGUCGGAAAAUAUUCUUUUUGUCGGGAAUAUCCGUACGACGACACAAUCAUUGGUGGACCCCCACAACGGAAGUAUUGUCGUAGUAAGAAAACGACAGAAUUAUCUUUUUAUAAAAAUAACGGCUAAAGUUUUACCGUUAAAACUGUUGAACUACUCGGUAGUAAAAGUACAGUAAUACGUGUGGUUGCAUAGUAGCACACGAUAUUGAUUAUUAAUACUUACGUGAGAAGUCACUCAGUUAUACUCAAUUAUUGCUAUAGUAAUUGUUGCAUCAUAUCUCUCAUAUUAUUGAUUCAUUUAUUGUCACAGUAUUAUCUGCAUAAUAUGUUAUAUUAUUAAAUCAAUAAUUGAGACGACAAAGUUAUUAAUAUUAUUAAAUUGCAAUAUUGACAAUGUCUAGAAGUUCUGUCAAGGAGAGGUUAGGUAAUUGCGCGCCAAUGAGGAGAAAUCCUUACCGGAAGGCCCCCUCUUUCCUGGGAACGAUCUUGUUGUUAAAUAUUAUGAGUUAUAAUAUUAAUGAUGAAUAAGUUUUGUUGAUUAAAGAUGAAAUUGAUAGUUCCAUUGUGUUGGGAUUAUUAGCGUUAGUGGAAAUCGACAUUUAUUUUGAUGAUAGUUGAUGUCUGGGGGUUAUAUUGAUAAAUCGGGUAAUUUAUCGGAUAAAUGAGCAAUUAAUUGCUACUAAUUCACAUGUUUAUAUAACUAUUUGUUCACAUGUGUGUACUAUUGAUUCACAUUCUGGUACUAUUAGGGGAGUUGGUGCAAGAUUGAUAAUACUUGCAUGACUAAGUUAAAAAUUGAGGUAUAGAUGGAUGUACUAUACUGUAAUUCGUAUUUUCACAUAUCUAGAACUAUUGAGUCACAUGAUUUACUAUUAAUUCACAUGAUUUACUAUUAGGGGAGUUGGUGCAAGAUUGAUAAUACUUGCAGGACUAAAUUAAAGAUAAAGAAAAAGAGGAAGGUAUUAUACUGUAAUAUUUUGAGCCCCAAAACGUGCAAUUAUCAAAACUAUAUUUUCCUAUAAAUAGAAGCUCAUUCCUUCAUUAUUUUUCACUAAUUCACUAAAGCUAUAGAGCAUUUAUUAUAGAGAGAAAUUAUAGAGAGAAAGAAGAAGAAAAGUCUACACUUCACUACUCCAGUAUCCAAUCUUCUUUGAGGUAAGGGGUAUUAUUCUUUCGUAUUCAUGAAGAGAGUUAUUUUUUUUCAAUACUCGUUAUUCCAUUCCUUAUUAUUAUGUUGGAAUAACAUGUCUAUGCGAAGUACCGCAUACAUGGUGAAAUUCUUCUAUUAUUCCAUUCUUUAAUAUUCUGUUGAAAUAUCUUGUUUGUGCGUUUUACGCAAGACCUGGUUCCAUUAUAUAUUAUUCUGUCAGAAUAUCUUGUCUGUGCUUUACGCAUGACCUGGUUCCAUUAUUUAUUAUUCAGUUUGAAUAACAUGUAUACGCGGAUUACCGUAUACCUGGUGAAUUUUGUUGUUAUUACAUUCUUUAUUAUACUCAGUUGGUUAAAGUUUUGGCUUUUAUACUCUAUGAAAUUAGUGGAAUAUCCUUGAUAUUUGCGCUUCAUCCAAUAUCUUUUCAUGGAAAUAUUCUUCUGAGCAUUCUUGAAUUUUACAUCACAAAGCAGUAUCAUGUUGACAUUUUGGACGUUAUUGGUUCCUGGAUAAAUUAAUUCUUGAACUUGUUUUAUUGAAUUCUUAUAUCAUUAUCAUCAUCCUCAUGUUUAUAUUCUGUUGAGAGUCAUCUGUGGCCUGUAGUGCAUAGAUGGACUUGGUAUGAUUAUGACCAGGGAUUAUUCGGUAUAAUCAUGACUGUAAUAUUACAAAUAAUAUGGUAAAAGUCCUCAUUGGCCGUAGUGCAUUGUUGGACAAUUGUUGGUAUGAUCAUGACCAUUGAUGAAUACACGAAUAUCCUUGGUCGUAGUGCAGGGAUGAUGUUGAUUAUUUAUUAACCUGAGUCUCAGCGAUGAAAAUGAUGAAAAACCUUUUUAAAUCAUAGAAGAUAAUAGAUUUUAUGCUCUAUUUGACUCUUUUAAUGGAUUGCUUAUUUUCGCUGCAGUUUUUGAUCUAAAACUUGUUGUUUAUUAUAUUCUAUCAGUUGUUAUACUGUUGAAGGCUAAGGAUAAUUUAUUCUGCAUUAACUUAGUCAUAAUAUUUCUUACUGGGCUUGUUGAGCUCACCCUUUUCUUUCAUGGUUCUCUUCAGGAAAUGAGAACGUAGCUGAGACUAGUCAGGGAACAGAGUGACGGCCCAGAUGUUUGCAUUAAUUGUCCUCACUAUUCUGUGAAAUAGUGUGAUAAUAAAUGUAAUGAGGACUCCAUUGAGUGUGGAUAUUGUCUAGAUGACAAUAUUCUUCUUAAAACUCUUAGAUUAUGUUUUGUCGUAUUUUACACGACUGUUGUAUAAUUAAGUUGUAUUUGAAUUUUGUACCAUAUAUCCGGCGACUCAAGAUGGGUGAUGUAUACCUAUUUUGAGGGCAUCAUAGUUGGUAUCAAAGCUUAGGGAUAUGAUCCCUGGUUGAGAUGUGAGAUAAGAACUAGGAGGGGAGAGACGGGGAAUUCCUUUGUUAGUAUAACCUACCUAAGUUUAUUUGGUAUUUAAUUGGUCGGUCACAAUAUAUGGAUAAUAUGUGACAUGUCAAUUAACCCUUGUUUUGUGACAGUAUUUGAAAAUGGCAUCCGAAAAUGUUGAGAAUAGCAAUGGAGCACAGGAGACCGUUGAGUCACCAUAGAUUAAUACCCAGGAUAAUGUGUAACAGGAAGAAAAUAAUCCUCAGGUAAACAAUAACACCGAUGAAAUGGGGAACGAUGGGAUGUUCAGAGGCUUUAUGCAAUUCAUGCAACAUCAGGCGAGGGCGGCUCCUGUCCAAAAUGCAGGUGGAAACACUGACAACUCUCGGACGGUCACCGCUAAGCAGUUCAAGGAGCUGGGACCACCGGAGUUUUUUGGAGAGCCAAAACCACUUAAGACAGAGACGUGGAUAAAGAAGAUCAACAGGAUAUUUGAUGUCUUGGGAUGCUCCGAGGAACAAAAGGUUCCUUUUGUCACCUUCAUGUUGCGAGCAGAGGCAGAUUACUGGUGGGAAUCCGUAAAGCGUACUCAACUUGCCGCACUGAAAAUGUCUUGGGAGAAGUUCCAAGAACUGUUCAACGAAAAGUACUUUCCCGAAAGUAUUCGUCAAAUGAAAGAGGUAGAGUUCAUCAAGCUUGAGCAAAAAAAUAUGACUGUGGCGCAGUACAAAGCUAAGUUUGUCGAGUUAUCUCGGUUUGCGUCCCACUUGAUUGAUAAUAAGGAGAGAAUGACGCGGAUGUUUUCAAAGAGGUUUGAAACCCGAGAUACGUCAAUACCUAAUUUCUCACAAACCGUGUUUGUAUUCAGAUGUUGUGAAUAGGGCUCAGUUAUUGGAGCGCGAUAAUGAAUCAACCCAACCAAGAGAGAGCAGCCGACAAGUCGAUAAUACCAGUGGUAGCAGUCAUCGAAGCGGUGACAACAAGCGUGGAGGGAAUCAACAUGCCAAAAAUGGUAAUCACUUCGGUGGUAAUCAUGGCCAUGACAAUAAGAGUGGACAUUUCAAGAAGACGAGAUUCAACAAUGAUGGAAAGACGUCAGCACCAGCACCUGUUGUUAAGGAAGGAGAACAAUCGCCGGUCGUAUAUUAUAAAUGCGGAGGGGAGGGACAUAUCAGUCCAAACUGCGUGAUGCAGUCCAAAGCAUGUUACAAUUGUGGAAGAGAAGGUCACCUAGGCUGAUUUUUUCGUGCACCAAAGUCAAGUCCAGCUGGGAUGGAGGCAUCAAAGGCCGUCCCAGACAAGACAAAACCGGUAGUUCAACGGAGAGCGUUUGUCGUAACCUCCCAAAAAGUGAGGAAUCCGAAUGAGGUGAUCACGGGUAAGCUAAUCAUAAACUCUAGCAAAGUCUAUACCUUAUUUGAUACCGGCUCUACCCAUUCUUUUAUUUCUCCUAUUUGCGCUCAACGUUUAAAUUUGACUCCGAAGAAGUUAGACUUUGACUUAUCGGUUAAAACUCCAUUGGGAGAAACCUUCAUUACAUCCACUAUUUAUAAGUCUUGUUUGAUUCAAAUCGGUAACCGUACAUUACCUGUCGAUCUUUUUUCUUUGAAAAUACUUGCAUUUGAUGUGAUUUUAGAGAUUAAUUGGUUAACUACUCAUCAUGCUAAAAUCGAUUGUUUUCGUAAGGUUGUUAGCUUUCAUAUUCCUAACCAACCUAUUAUGCGAAUUCAAGCAACCAAACAACUAAAAUCAAUCACUAUCAUAUCAAGCCAUAAAGCUAUUCAUUUAUUAAAAAAUGGAUGUCAAGCUUUCUUAGCCCAUGUCACGGAUUUAAAUAAAAAUACGUCAGAUUUGAAUGAUAUUUCUAUUGUUCAUAAAUUUCCUGACGUAUUCCUUGAAGAAAUUCCUGGCCUACCCCUAGAGUGUGAAAUUGAAUUUUGUAUCGACCUUGAAUGUGGUACAAAACCCAUUUCCAAAGCCCCAUAUCGAAUGGCUCCUAUUGAACUUCAGGAGUUAAAAACCUAACUACAGGAAUUAUUAGACAUCAGUUUCAUUCGUCCUAGUACAUCUCCUUGGGGUGCUCCUGUUCUAUUCGUGAAGAAGAAAGAUGGAAGUAUGCAACUUUGUAUUGAUUAUCGGGAGUUGAAUCAUGUCACCAUCAAAAAUAGGUACCCGUUGCCUCGCAUUAAUGACCUGUUUGACCAGUUGCAAGGAGCUAAAUUCUUUUCAAAGAUUGAUCUUCGUUCCGGAUAUCAUCAGUUGAAGAUUAAAACUGAUGACAUUCCAAAGACUGAUUUCAGAACUCGGUAAGGGCAUUAUGAAUUUCUAGUCAUGUCUUUUGGAUUGACUAAUGCUCCUGCUGCCUUCAUGGACAUGAUGAACCGAGUAUUCAAGGAAUAUUUGGAUCACUUUGUGGUCGUCUUUAUUGAUGACAUCCUCAUAUACUCCAAAAGCCGUGAAGACCAUGAUCAACACUUGAGGCUGAUACUUCAAAAACUUCGUGAGAACAAGCUUUAUGCCUAGUUAAAGAAAUGUGAGUUCUGGCUUGAGGAAGUUGCAUUCCUUGGGCACGUGAUAUCAAAUCAUGGAAUAUCUGUUGAACCAGCAAAGAUUGAAGGAAUCCAAAGCUAGGAGCAACCAAAGUCAGUGACUGAAAUACGUAGCUUUCUUGGCUUAGUUGGUUAUUAUCGGAGAUUCGUGGAAGGAUUUUCUCGAAUCGCUACUCCAUUAACUCAGCUGACUCGAAAAGAUACAAAGUUCAGUUGGAGCGAGAAAUGUGAGAAGAGUUUUCAAGAACUCAAGAGAAGACUCAUUUCAGCACAUGUUCUGACAAUACCAUCUGGCUCGGAGGGAUUUGUCAUCUACAGUGAUGCUUCAGGCAAAGGGGUUAGGAUGUGUUCUCAUGCAACAUGGAAAAGUCAUAGCCUAUGCCUCACGACAACUCAAAGAAUAUGAGAGGAAUUAUCCUACUCAUGAUCUAAAGUUGGCAGCAGUCGUUUUUGCGCUUAAGAUUUGGAGGCAUUACCUGUAUGGAGAGAAGGUGGAGAUCUAUACGGAUCAUAAAAGCCUCAAAUAUUUCUUCACUCAAAAGGAACUCAACAUGCGGCAAUGACGAUGGCUUGAGCUGUUAAAAGAUUAUGAUCAUACCAUCCAAUACCAUCCUGGAAAAGCGAACGUAGUAGCUGACGCAUUGAGUAGAAGAUCAUAUGCGGGUACGAGUGCAAUAUUGUCAACGCUAAGACCCAUUUUGUAUGACUAACGAAGGAUGGAGAUAGAGUUAAAAACUCCAGGGACCCAUGUGAUAAUGACGGAUAUACGAGUAGAACCGACUUUAAUCAAUAAAGUUAAAGCUGCUCAAGCUACAGACCUGGAGCUGAUGCAUAUGAGGAAGAAAGUGCAAGAAGGUGCUAUUCCAGAAGCAAGAAUCGAUGAAGAAAGAAUACUUCGAGUCAACUCCAGACUUUGUGUUCCUAACGAUUUUGACUUGAAGUAUAAAAUCAUGAUGGAGGCAAACAACACACCGUUUGCAAUCCAUCACGGGAGUACCAAAAUGUAUCGUGAUCUUCGACAUACAUUUUGGUGGAGCAAUAUGAAGAGAGAGAUAGCGGGGUUUAUCUCAAGGUGUCUAACUUUUCAACGAGUCAAGGCGGAGCAUCAAGUGCCAAAAGGUCCAUUGCAACCACUUGAAAUUCCAGAAUGGAAGUGGGAGCACAUUACCAUGGAUUUCGUUACUGGUCUUCCCAAGGUUUCCCAAGGCGUAGAUGCGAUUUCGGUCAUUGUUGAUAGAUUGACCAAGUCUACUCAUUUCUUACCGAUACGAGAAACUUAUACACUUGAACGUCUUGCUAGUAUGUACAUAAAUGAGAUUGUAAGAUUGCAUGGCAUGCCAGUAUCCAUAGUUUCUGAUCGAGACCCAAGAUUCACUUCAAGAUUUUGGGUUAGUGUGACGCCCCCAAAAUAGGUCCACACGAACCAUUCUGAGUCGCCAGAUAUCACACUAUAAAAAUCAAAUACAAACUUUAUUUAUACAACUGUUGAACUGUCGUGCAGAGUACGACAACAGUUAACUGUGAGUUUUAAUACAAAUAUUGUCAUCGUAGACAGUAUCCAAACUCAAAUUGUUACAAUGCCAUAUAAAAUACAGCAGCAAAUAUUUUAAGACCCCAAAGAAGAACGAGAAGAUUACUAUCAUAUUCAUUCUAAUGAGGUGCACUUUUGACGCUUUCAAAGUCGGGUUCUCAUCACCCUUAUUGUUGUUCACCAACAUCAAUUAUUAAGUGACGUAUAAAAUACAACACACACAUCUUAGGUCUUUAAUACAAUUAUCGGUUGCAUAUCAUGCCGUUUUAUAAUGUAUUGAGAAAUUUCGACAGUCUCGGACCAUCACACUAUUUUCCUGUUAUCCCCGCUCGACCCAGCUACACUCUUAUUACCUAAAAGGAAUUGUGAAGCAAAAGGGUGAGCACAAUUAGCCCAGUAAGGAAUAUCAUGGCUAAGAUAAUUAAUUUAUCAACAGCCUUUAUCAGAAUAAAUCAGAGAUUUAGAACAUAUGGUAGAUAAUAAAACGUUUCAACCAUAGUUGCAGCGGAACGAGUAAUCCAUUAGAUGAGUCAAGUAGAACAUAAUGUCUACUAUCUCCUCUAGAUUAAAAGUCCAUCGUUGAUAUUUUAUUCCUGUAAUACUCAUCAACAGUUCUUUGUUAUACUUAAGACAAAUAAAACUUUCAACACUUGUCUUCACCUGAACCACCAAAGAUGUUAGUUAAAUUCACAAUUCAUAUUUAUAAUAAUGUGAAUUAACAGUUCCUUCUUUCCACCAAGACUUAAUAGAAUGUUUACUCAAUAUCUUUACCCCAAAGGCUGAAGGUAUUCAAAUGUAAUAACAAUGAUCAUACCAAUCAGUUGUCUAUCUUUGCAUUACGGGCCAAAGAUAUUCAACUAUAGAACCAAUGGUCAUGAUCAUACCAAUCACAUCAUUGAAUUAUCCAUGCACUACGGCCAAGGAUAUUCGUUAGUAUCACUAGUGGUCAUGAUCAUGUCAUACACCUGUCCAUCUUCACACUACGGGUCAAAGCUAUCAAAUAACAGAUCAUCUUUGCACUACAGGCCAAAAAUAUUCAACAACAUAUCGUCUUUGCACUACAGGUCAAAGACAUACUACUGUAAAACCAAUAACCAACAAUAUAAUAAAGAAUGGAAUAAUAAAAGAAUUUCACCAUGCGUGCGUAAUCCGCACAGAAAGGUUAUUCCAACAUAAUAAUAAAGAAUGGAACCAGGUCAUGCGUAAAUGCACAGACAGGAUAUUCCAACAGAAUAAUAAAGAAUUGAAUAACAACAGACUUCACCAAGUAUACGGUAAUCCGCGUAUACAGGUUAUUCCAACAGAAUAAUAAAGAAUUGAAUAACAACAGACUUCACCAGGUAUACGGUAAUCCACGUAUACAGGUUAUUCCAACAGAAUAAUAAAGAAUUGAAUAACAACAGACUUCACCAGGUAUAUGGUAAUCCGCGUAUACAGGUUAUUCCAACAGAAUAAUCAAGAAUGGAAUAACAACAGACAUCACCAGGUAUACGGUAAUUCGCGUAUACAGGUUAUUCCAACAGAAUAAUAAAUGGAACCAGGUCAGGAGAAAUUCGCACCGACAGGAUAUUCCGACAGAAUAAUAAAGAAUAAAAUAAUAGAAGAAUUUCACCAUGUAUGCGGUACUUCGCAUAAACAGGUUAUUCCAACAUAAUAAUAAAUAAUGUAAUACAUAAGGAUUUCACCAAGUAAAGGGUAUGACGCUUAUACAGUUUAUGUAUAGGGUAUGCCUCAUAUACAGGUUAUUCCAACAGAAUAAUAAAGAAUGGAAUAACAGAAGUUCUCUUCAUGAAUAAGAAAGAAUAACACCCCUUACUAUAAUAAUAUUAUCCCUUACCGUAAAAAAACUGAAAAUAGAGGUAGUGAAGUAGCAGAAUAGUCUUCUUCUUUCUUUCUAUAAUUUCUCUCUCUAGAGUUUCAGUGAAUUCGUAAGAAAAUAAUGAAGGAAUGAGCUUCUAUUUAUAGAAGAAUGGAUUGCAUAGUAACUAACUCAUGAACGGUCCAAAUUGAUUUACUUUAAUCUGACGGUCCAUAUUUAAAGCAAAAUCUUUUAAAUAAAAUAUAAUAUAUUCUAUUUAUAAUCUAAUAAAAUAAAUAACUUUAUGUAAAUACUAUGCAGGCACUAUGCAAAUACUAUGCAUAAUAAAAUAUAAUAUAAUCUAAUUAUUGUCUAAUAAAACGAAUAACUUUAGAAAAGUAUUAUGUUUUAUAUAAAAAGAUUUUACUAUUAGUCUAAUAAAAUGAAUAACUUUAUAAAAGUAUUCUGUUUUAUAUAAAAAGUUUUUCUGUUUUAUUACGUUAAUAAUACGAAUAAAACAAAACUUCAUCAUCGCUUACUUUGAAAAUUUUUCAAAUGUCACCCUUAACUUUAAACUUUUAUCAAUUUAAUCAUUUACCAAAAUAGAAAAAUUGAAUACUUUUAUUUCAUAAAAUUCGGGGUCUCACAGUUAGUUUGCAAAAAGCUAUGGGCACGGAUUUACGAUUUAGUUCGGCAUAUCAUCCUCAAACGGAUGGGCAGUCGGAAAGGACUAUUCAAACUCUUGAGGAUUUAUUAAGAUUAUGUGUCCUUGACUUCAAGGGAAGUUGGGACAAGUUCUUACCAUUGGUGGAGUUUUCCUACAACAAUAGUUAUCAAGCAAGUAUUGGCAUGACUCCAUUUGAAGCGUUGUAUGGAAGAAAGUGUCGUUCUCCAGUAUGCUGGGAUGAGGUGGGUGAAGCAACGUUGUUGGGACUGGAGUUGGUACGUAUGACUACGAAAAAGAUUCAAACGAUCCGACAACGUAUAAAAACCUCACAAGAUNNNNNNNNNNNNNNNNNNNNNNNNNNNNNNNNNNNNNNNNNNNNNNNNNNNNNNNNNNNNNNNNNNNNNNNNNNNNNNNNNNNNNNNNNNNNNNNNNNNNUAUAUAUAUAUAUAUAUAUAUAUAUAUAUAUAUAUAUAUAUAUAUAUAUAUAUUGUCCAAAAUUAAUUUUUAGUUUUUGAGAUGGCAUGUAACCAUCACAUAUAUAUUUCUCCUUAAUGUGAUUGCAUUUAAGCCAUAACAAAGAAAAAAGUUUAAAAUAAUCUUUGGUGACAGCCAAGACCAUCACGAAAAGAAAACCACAUGUGAUGGACCUUUAUGAUUACAUUUAAAGUAAUCUCAACAAAUGGUAUUAUAUGAUGGACUUUUUCAACAAUCACAAAAUAAUAAUAUACAUGACGGCUCCUAGUAGUGGUUAUUUUUUCCAUCACCAUAAACUAUUUGUGACGGACAAGACAAUCACUAAAAAACAAGCAUAUAUGAACAACAAAUAUAUUAGGCGAGGAAUUUACUAGCAAUCACAAAAUAGUAGUAUAUAUGGUAGAUGUUACUCAAUGUCUAAUUGUGCCAUUAUUAUUAAAUAUUUAAGACAAUCAUUACAAUCACUAAAUUUUUCGCGUAAAUUGUACAUCUCUUUUUUAAGUCCCCAUUAAUCUUUAUUUUGCUUUGUUCUCUUUGUAAACUCAUUGUUUUUAUUGUGAAUUCAAAGGAUUUAGAGUUUAUCUCGUUUUUAUAUAACUAACUAUUUACGUUUGUUCUCUUUGUCUCGGUUGGUAUAUAUCUACUUCUUUCUAUGCAAGAAGUCUAGAGUCCAAAUCUCCACCCAAAAAAGAAACAGUGCAAAUGAUGGAGCAAAAUUCUUGCUGUUGGGGAAGAGCAGAUGGACUAAUUGAUGUAACCUUCAAAUUGGUGGGAAGAAAUCUGAAAUGGAAGGAGCAGUAAGCAGGAUUUUUUUUUUUACUAAAUUUAAAUUGUAUUAAAGGAGAAAGAAUGUACAAAAAUCAUGGGAAAACCCAAUCAGAAUAUAGUAUAUACAUCACCUCAAUCAGAAUAUAACAUAGACAUCAUAGGACAUGCCAUAUGAUGUCAUGACUAAAAAAGAAAAUAAGGCCAGAUGCCCAAACAAAAGAGAAACAAUCUCAACAUUCAUGAGAAUACAAUGCAUAGAAAUCAGACACAAAACCAAGAAAAACCUCAUCCAAAGUAGCAGCAGCCCACAAUAGCAGCAAAAGAAAAAUCAGUCCAAAGACCAAAAGGCAUCAUCCAUAACAGAACCGAAAGAGCCUACUGCAGACUAGCAGCACAAUAGAGCACAAGGCCCAACAAGAGAAGCCAACAACAGUUUAGCAAAGCAAAACAGCAGACAGGACAUGGAAAGCAAGAGCAACAAACCCCAAGAGCCCAAUGGCAGCCAUAGAAGUGCAGCAGCUGCAGCCGACAUCAAAUAAAACAGCAGUAAACGAUAGCAGCCAUAAGUACAGCACCACCCCCCAAAUCUGCAGCAUCAAGACAUAGAAAUAGUCACAAUACUGCAGACCAAAACACGCAAACAAUGCAGCAUAAGCAACAAACAGAGCAGCAAAUAGGUCUAUUUUCCUGCUUGUUUUCAAGGUUGUGUAGUAUUUAUUGUCAUUUUAGUAUUUUACAUAUAUGUCCAUUAUGGGUAAAAUAAGUUGUUUGGCAUGGGCAAUGAUGCCAGUGAAGGUUUUCUUUCUUCAGUGCUUGAUGGAAGCUCUCGAGCUGUAGUCACUACAAAGAUGAGGAGAUGCUGAAACCAUUUUCGAGCACAGUGAGAUAUAAUAGUUACAUAUAUGAAUAUGCCAUCUCAGAUGAUCAUGUUGGUGUAACACAGAAGCAUGUCUUCCAUGUGCUGGUACCAUUUCUCCUUCCUUUUCUGACAGUAGGCCUAUGAUUUCUUCUGGGAGUGCUGAGAAAGAGACUGCUAGACUAGAAUAUUGUAUACGGCACUAGAAAUAGGGCAGUCUUUCUGUAAACUGCAGAGCUAUGGUUCCUUGGAAUGAUCAUUGCUUUACAACGCAUUGAGUUUUUUUUUUCUACAUUUCUUUUUCCUGGAAAAGCCUAUUUGAGGGAGGAAAUAGGAGAAGUAGAAAUUUGUUGUGGGUAGAGAUGUUUUGGAUUUGUCCUUGGUUUCAGUAAUUAAACAUCUGCCAUUUUUAUUUGCGAUUAUAUCCGGAGGAAGCUUUUAUAUACUAGAUUCAUAAAUCAAGAAGUUCAAUAUAGGGAGCACCAGCUGCAACAGCAGCAGAGCAUGAGCAGCAACAUUAAUGUAGGUGGAAGCAUUGAAAGGACGUUCUAUUUGUUCAUGCCAUUUAAUCAUGGCAAUCAUUCUAUUUAUUCAUGGUAAUCAUUUUAUUUGUAUAUGCUUGUUCUUAUAUAGCUUAUAUUGACAGAAAAUUUAAAUGGAAGCUAUGAGAACCACAUUUUAUCAAGUCUUUCAGGUGGGUUAGCCUCUGCAUAGCUCUUACUAUUUCUUGCAGCUCGAGGAGCUAAAGCUUCCUAAAGUAUAGAAAUCACAAAACCAAGCAAAUAAGUUUAAAAAAAAAAAAGAACUAAAGAUAGAGUCGCAUGUCUUUCAAAUAUGUUUCAAAAAAAAAACACAUUCUCUAAAACACUGGUAACAGAGCUUCUCUAAAACUGAAUUUCAUGUCCAAGUUCAUGUUAUCAACUUAUAGUCUUAUAUGUAAUCAACAUAACUCAAACGACUUCCUCUUUUUCUAAUAAUUAAUAACAGGGAAAAAAUUUAAAAAUAUGGGUGAAUUGGAGAAAUAUAUCUUACAAUAACAAAGAAAAAGGGAAUCCUAGUCCAGAAACUUGUGCGCGCUCUCACGAAAGAUGUCUCAUGAGUAAGCCUGAAUCUUGACGGAUCUGCAUGUUCAUUGUAGGAGAAAUUUAACAUAAAGAGAUAGCCUCAUGUACACAAAUAUUAAAAUGAAUACUAAAUUCAAACUACAGAAUGAUAAAUAGUCAUUUCUUGAUCGUGCAGCGACAUAACAAUGGAAAACUCGGUCCUGAGAGGCAGUUUCCUGCUCCCAGACCUUCCAGCCACGAAUCUGUACAAGUUAAAAACUUAUUAGCAUUAUAUGUAGAAUCAAUCAGGUGAUAAUAUGAAGAGUGAUAGUGUUUUAUAGAAAAUGAAAAUAUUCGAAAAUUGUUUCGAACAUAUAUUAAAAUAAAUUAUUGUCCUUUUAUUUUAUUAAAUAAAAUAUUAAAAAAAUCAUUGUCUUCUUUAAUGCAGUUUAUAAAGAAACACGGGAAAAUGAAUAUAGGCCAAGUUAGUGAUAAAAGAAAGUGAAUGACAGACUUGGCAGGAACUCUAUUACUGUAGAAAAAUAAAGCAACAAUUGAAAGGAUUCUUAUUUCGAUAAUGAAAGGAAAUAAUAAUCGACUGAUAAUUAUCUGGAACAUGCCAACUACUAUAUAUAUAGGAAAACAUAACUAAAAAACUCAGCUACGUAGGCCUAAAUAUCAUCAUCUUCUUCUUCUUCUUCGAAAUAUUCAUCAUCAUUAAAAUAUUCAUUAUCAUCUUCAUCUUCAUCACUACAUUCUCUAUCUUCAUUUUCUGCUUCCGCUAAUGAUGGAUCCACUUCCGCCCACAUUAGGAUUACUCGUCAAUGGUUGAUCAAAUUUGAUAGAUUCGCCUUCUGAAACAAGAAGUUCUGGCCCUGGAGGGAUAAUAUCAACCACUUGACGUCCAUCCGAUGCAUCCGUUAUGGUUAUUUCGUAACCCCCCUUUUCUUUUCGUAUUAUUUUGCCUACUAUACCUGCUGCUGUAGCAUUAUAAACCGUAUUGUUACUCUUGCUCCCGUCGGGAUAAAUCUGACCCCUUCCCCUGUUUCCGCCUACGUAUAUAGGAUAUUUUAAGAAGUGAACAUCUUUCUUAGUAGCGGGGUCCGGGGAAAGAAUAGGAAAGGUGAUUUCACUAUAUUUUUGACCAGGAACAGGGCCUAUCACAAGAAUAUUUUUUUUAGUGGGGCGAUAGCUCUGAAAAGAAAGAUUGCCUAUCCUUUCUUUCAUCUCGGGAGAAAUCCGAUCAACAGGAGCUAAUUCAAAACCCUCCGGUAAAAUAAGAACAGCCCCUACAUUCAAAGCCCCCUUUUUACCAUUAGCAAGAACUUGUUUUAGUUGCAUAUCAUAAGGGAUUCGAACAACUGCUUCAAAUACAGUAUCAGGAAGUACGGCUUGUGGAACUUCAAUAUCCACGGGCUUAUUAGCUAAAUGGCAAUUGGCACAUACAAUACGCCCAGUCGCUUCUCGUGGAUUUUCAUAACCCUGCUGUGCAAAAAUGGGAUAUGCACUUGAAAUGGAUGUCCGAGUUAUGAUAUAUAUCAUGAGCGAUGCGGAAAUGGAUCGAGUAAUCUGUUCCUUUAUCCAAGAAAAAGUCUUUCUAGUUUGCAUGGUCCAACCAUUGAUCCCGAAAAUUUCUACAAUAAAUUGGGUAGGUCGCUAAUAUAGUUCCCUAUCCGCGAUUCUGCUAUUUACUGGAAUAAUAUAUNNNNNNNNNNNNNNNNNNNNNNNNNNNNNNNNNNNNNNNNNNNNNNNNNNNNNNNNNNNNNNNNNNNNNNNNNNNNNNNNNNNNNNNNNNNNNNNNNNNNGAGAAUCAUCAAGCAAUAUCAAAUUCUGAGUUUGCUCCUCAAUAUUAUAUAAGUCAAAAUCAUGAAACUCUUCCUCUUGAUAUGUCUCUUCAUUACUAUUUUCGGCAACAUCAUAUGUGUUUCUUGCUUUUGUUGUGAUUACAGUAGACCAACCUUUAGCUUUAGUCGACACUGGAUUAGCAUAGAACACUUGUACAACUUGUGAUGCAAUAACAAAUGGCUCAUACGGCUUGUGCCUUGAAUUUGUAUCAAUUGUAGUUAUCCCGUACUUGUUAAUAACUACCCUUUUUUCAGAAUCAUACCAUUCACAUUGGAACAAAAAUACUGAAUUCUCUUCUCCAUAGUAUUCUAGUUCAACUACUUUAAUUAAUUGUCCAUAAUAGUCUCGUUCUUGGCCUUCAAAAGUACAUCCCUAGACUAAAACACCACUAUUUUGAGUUACCUUUCUUGACUCCAAUUCUUUUGUAUGGAACCUAAAGCCAUUGACAAUGAAUCCAUCAUAACAUGUUACCUCUCUAGACGGACCCAUAGCGAGCGCUUUUAGACGCGUAUCAACGACAUCAUCAUUCUUGACUCUCUUUUCAAACCAUUUUAUAAAUGUCGAAUUAUGUUCCUUUUAUAGCACUUUAUCCGACAUGUUUGGACGUAAUUCUUUCAAUAAAUGCUUGUGCUCCCUAGAAGUAAUGAAAUAAAUUAGUAGAUAUAGAGUAAUGAUUUACAUAUCUAAAAGUAAUAAACUUUAUAAGAAUUAAAAUGUCAUACUCGAUGAAAUCAAAGACUUCCUCAUAAUUAGACAAGAUGUAUAAGGUUGCUGCCUCGAGUUCUUUAUCAGAUAGAUCUUCACGUUUUCGUUUUCCUCCAAUUGGACGACCAGGCCUAGGGUGGCUAAAUAUUGAUAACUUUCCAUUAGUUUCAGCUUGACCGCCAUCGUCAUUUCGAUCAGCUCGGUUGAACUUGGUUUGCACCCUAAGAUCAAAAUAUCGAGAAGAAAAGUAAACUAGUUCGUCUAUUAUGUAUGCCUCAGCUAUUGAACCCUCGGGGCAAGCCUUGUUACGCACCCUUUUCUUCAAAGAACACAUGCACCUAUAAUUAUAUUGAAGUUAGGUAAUCACUUUAACUAUAAAAAAGCCUUGGCAAGAAAAGAGAUAUAAUUUAUUAAAACAUCACCUCUCGAAAGGGUACAUCCAACGAUAUUGUACUGGCCCUCCGACCUUGGCUUUAUAUGCCAAAUGAACAAGUAGAUGCUCCAUUGAAUCAAAGAAAGAUGGUGGAAAAAUCAUCUCAAGAUUGCAUAAUAUUUCAGCAAUAAAUAGCUCAAGCUUCUCUAACUCAGCUAACUUAUACACCUUAGAGCAUAUGUCUCGAAAGAAUUUGCACAAAGCAUUUAUUGGUUCCCAUAUAGAGUUUGGUAAGAAAUCACGAAAGGCCAAUGGCAAGAAUCUCUGCAUGAGAACAUGGCAAUCAUGGCUCUUUAGCCCAAUUAUUUUGCAAUUGUCAAGGUUAAUACAAUGAGAGAUAUUUGAAGCAUAACCGUCUGGAACUUUCAACGAUUUAAGCCACUUGCAAACUUGCUUGACUUCUUCGCUUUUUAAAGAAUAUUUAGCUUUUGGCAAUUUAAAUUUCCCAUUACCACUCUCUUCAGGAUGUAAUUCAAAUCUUAUACCAAGCUCUUGCAAAUCUAAACGAGCUUUAAGGUGGUCUUUUGAUUUUCUAGUAAUGUUCAUCACAGUGUAAAAUAAAUUAUCAAAAAUAUUUUUCUCAAUAUGCAUCACGUCUAAGAAAUGUCUUAUUAGAAGCAAACUCCAAUAAGGCAAUUCAAAGAAGAUACUUUUCUUUGUCUAGUUAUGCUCGAUUCCAAACCCAGGAGUCUUAUCGGUACUAUUGUUUUUAUCCUUUCCAAAGAUGACCGAACUAAAUUGAGAUACAAAAUUUAACUCCUCAACACCUGUUAGUCGAGGCGGGGGAUUUCUCCGUUCGGUUUUAUUAUUGAACUUACUCUUCUCAGCUCGAUAUUUAUGAUUACGCUUCAACCAACGACGAUGGCAUCCAAAAUAACUCGGCUUCCUCCCAUGUUUAAGGUUAAAAGCUACACUUGGAUCCAUACAAGGACAUGACAAGGCCCCAUGUGUACUCCAACCCUUCAAUAUGCCUAGCGCAGGAAAGUCACUGAUUGUCCAUAUUACAGCUGCUUUCAUAUAAAAAUUUUGCUUUGAGAAAGCAUCAUAUGUAUCAACUCCAACAUCCCACAAAGUCUUUAGUUCUUCUAUAAGAGGUCGCAAAUACACAUCAAUCUCUCUUCCAGGUCCAUGUGGACCUGGAAUAAGCAGUGACAUAAACAUGUACUCCUCUUUCAUACACAUCCAAGGGGGGAGAUUGUAUGGAACAAGGAAAACUGGCCAUGUCGAAUGAGGUUUGCUAGAAUGCCCAAAAGGAUUAAAUCCAUCAGUAGCUAAGCCAAGUCUUAUACUACGAGCAUCUUCAGCAAAAGAUGGGUAAUUGAGGUCAAAAUAUUUCCAAGCCUCACUAUCAGCAGGGUGCCUUAGCUCACCUGGAAUAUCACAUCAUUUUUCUUUGUGCCACCUCAUAGGCUCGGCCGUUUUUGAUGACAAAUAAAGCCUUUGAAGCCUUGGUAUAAUUGGUAAAAAAACUUAAGACCUUCCUUGCUAUUGGUUUAUUCUUUUUCCCUUUAACACUGCCAUGGUUUUUAUACCUAGAUUCGUUACAAAUUGGGCAAGCAUCUAAAUCUGCAUAUUCUCCUCGAAACAAGAUACAAUCAUUAUUACAUGCAUGUAUUUUUUGUAGAGGUUGCCCAAGGUCCUUCAUUAAGGCCUUGCAGUGAUAAAAUGACUCGGGUAAUUUAUUCUUUUUAGGCAACAUUUCCUUGAAAGCUGAAAGAAAAGCAUCAAAUCCAGCAUUAGACAAACAAUACUUGGAUUUUAGGUGCAACAACAAAGUUACGGCUAAUAACUUGGUGUGAUUUUGACAACCAUCCCACAAGGGCUCGUCUGCAGCCUUUAGAAGGUCAUAGAACUUCUUUGAUUCGCUAUUAGGAUCCUCAUCAAAUUUAGGGCUAAUGCAGCUUGUAAUAUCCCUUAACAUGUCUUUAGGCCAAUUUGCAAUUCCCUCAUCAAUAUCGUCAUCUUAAUUCCCUACUUUCUUAAGUGACUCCCCAUGCUCCGUCCAUGUAGUGUAGUUUGGUACAAAUCCAUGCUUAUAAAGACACAUUUCUACAUCUUCACGUGAUUUAUAGUUUAUGAAAUCACACUUGGCACAAGGACACCGAAUCAUGCCAUCAUCUACGCACUCAGGAUUAGAAAAUGCAAAAUCAAGAAAUGUAUUGACCCCACUCAUAAAUUCAUGUAUAUGUUUAGACUUUUUCCCAACAUGCCUAUACAUCCAACUUCGAUCAUCCAUCUACCAUUUGUAAUUCAAAUAAUUGAAAAAUGUUCAUUUAUGGUGAUAAUUAACCCUUUUAUGAAAUAGAAAAGAAAAAAAAAACUGUACUGACUUUACAACUUAUUUUCUAGCACACUGUUCUUAACAUGGUCACAACUUAUAAUUAAAGAAAACAACAUAUACUACCUGAAUUCAAGAUAAUAUUGGUUAUGAGGUAGUAAAUCAAACAGAGAAAGCGUAAUCAGAGAAAGCAUAUUAGAUUUUCUAAUUAAUGUUCCUAAUUAGUUUUAUAUUAGAUUUUUUACAUGCUACACAGGAAUUGGGGCCAAAUUCGAACAGAGAAAGCAUAAUCAAAAUUCUAAAAUAAUUGGGGCCAAAUUGGAACAGAGAAAGUAAAGAGGGAGACAAUAAACACCCAAGGAAGAGAGGAUUUACCUUCAAAAUCACAAAGCUUAACUUGGAUCACAACUUUGGUACGUAGAAGAAAGGGAGAUGGUUUUAGUUACCGUCUAUGGAGAAGAUGGGAAGAGUUGUUUAGAGCCGCAGAGAGCACUGGGCAGAGGCCGUCGACUGAGAGGGAGUAGUCGACUGUCGACUUUGUCAAGAAAGAGGCAAGCAAGUAGCAACUGAAGCAAUCAAACAAAGAGUGAAGAAGGAGAACUGAAGAUAAGGGCUAGGGCAAAUGUCAAAUGUGAAAGUGAAAUCAGAAAUGGACCGCCGACUCGGUCACUUAGGAUUAUAGAUAGGAGUGAGAUAUAAUAAUAUUAUAAAAUUGUUUUUUUUAAGAAUUACGGUUCGGUUAUUCGGGUAUCCAAAUAACCAGUUUUUGAACACCGAAUCUGUAAUCGAAUACUAAAUAAUAAUUCGGAUAUAACUGAAAUUGUAAAAAAACCGAAAAACCGAAAUAAUUCGGUUAAAAAAUUUCGAUUCGGUUCGGUAAUUCGGUUUUAUUCGUUUUUUGCUCACUCCUAGUCACUGGACAUUUAAUUUUUGUUGGCUUGUUGUUGCUGACUUGCUGUAUUUUGGACAGUUAAUUAGGCUUGCAUUAUUAAGUCAUAAAUUUCAUGUUGGCUUGUUGUUGCUGCUGGACAAGUAAGUUAACAGUUGCUGCCUGCUGGGCAGUUAAUUUGCUAAAUAGUUAACAGGGAAUUUAUGUUGUAUGAUAUUUCGGUUAUUACCCGAAUAUCCGAAAUUACAAUUCGGUAUUCGGUAAUUCGGUUAUUUUCACAUUUCGAUUAGAAUUUUGGAUAGUGGAAUUGUCAUUAAUUCGGUUUUCGGUUAUAACCGAAUAGCUUAUUCGGUUCGGUUAUAACCGAAUGAUCACUCCUACUAAUAACUUGGUAUUUUGAAUCAAAUAUCGGCAUCGACACAUAAGGCUGUAAAAUGAGCAAACAGUUCGGGGUCGAUUCGUACUCGCUCGACUAAAAGUUCAAUUCGAGCUCGACUCUAAAUAUAAAUGAGUCAAAUAUGAGCAAAUUUUAAAGUUCUAUAAAUUACUCGAACCUCCUCAAAUUAUAAUUUUCUAUUGAUACUCGGAUCAUAUUCGUUCGAAAAGUUCAAACUGUUCAGGCUCGAUUCGGAAUCGUACUCGACUCGAUAGCUAAAUGAUCCUCAAUCAAACCUUAUAAUAUACUUGAUAAAAUUUGUGAACCAAAUCUGAUAGAAAUACAUUACGAAAAUUUAAAAAGAUUAUAAAAUGAGUUUUAGUUUUAGUUGGACCAGAUUAAGUAAUCUCAAGUACAUGAAAUUAAAAAUAAAAUAAAAUUAACAAAUUGAAAAAAACAACAACUAGUAGACUCGGGCGUAAAUUAACUUUUAAGGGUUUAAUACACUAUUUGUACGUUCCAAAUUUUAUAUUUGACUUUGUACCAUUGACAUUUAUUUUUUCGUGGGCAUAUAUUUUUAUUAUUAUUAGUUAUUGUCAAUUUUGGUGGAUAAAUUAUUUAAUGUUUGAAGACUAUUUGGGGGAUAUUAAAUAUAUCAUUACUCAUAAUGAUAUUAAAUAUAGUGGGUGCAGAUGAUAGUAAUGUUAUAAAAAAAUUUCAGGCUUCACAAAGAAGAAUAUAAGUUAUUGUAUUAAGCUUCAAUACUUUUUGUAAGAGUAAUAAUUGAUAUUAAAACAUCAUUUUUAUUAAUAAUAUUAUUUUAAAAUAAUAAAAGAGAGGAGACUUAAUUUGUAGCUUAAUCUAAAGAAAGUAUAUAAAUUUUUAAUAUUAUUUUAAUUUAUUUUACUUUUUUGAAUAACAAAUUUGUACUUAAUUACUAGUGGAUCAAUUAAUUCAUAUCUCACAAAUUUACUAAAAAUAAUAAUUAAAUGAUACUCUUUUUUUUGUAGAACAAAGGGUAUAUCAAAAGAUAAUUAAAUCAAAAGAAAUUUAAGCUAAUUAAAUUUAAUUAAAAGAUAAUUAAAAUUUAAACAAACAAAAAUAGACUAAUUUAGUGGCAUAUUCCACUCAUUUUGAAGAAAUGGCGGGAUCUCUGUUUCUAUCUUUAAUUUCAAGUACCAUUGUAUAAACUUCCCCAUCUUUUCCAUAGGCAGCAAACUGAAACCCUACAUCCAUCUUCUACCAAAAUUGUGAUCCCAGUUAAGGUUGUGAUUUCAAAGGUAAGUCCUCUCUUUGGGUGUUUAUUCUCUCCAUCUUUCCUUUCUCUGUUCUAAUUUGUCCCCAAUUCUUAUUUUAGAAUUGUGAUUAUGCUUUCUCUUUUCGAAUUUGGCCCCAAUUCCUGUUUUUAUAGAGAUGUUUUACGAACUGUUAUUGACAAUUUGAUUGUUCAUGUGUUUGUGGAGAUUUAAUAUAUAUAUAUAUAUAUAUAUAUAUAUAUAUGAUUUUGAUAGCGUAUUUACUAAUUUUAANNNNNNNNNNNNNNNNNNNNNNNNNNNNNNNNNNNNNNNNNNNNNNNNNNNNNNNNNNNNNNNNNNNNNNNNNNNNNNNNNNNNNNNNNNNNNNNNNNNNNNNNNNNNNNNNNNNNNNNNNNNNNNNNNNNNNNNNNNNNNNNNNNNNNNNNNNNNNNNNNNNNNNNNNNNNNNNNNNNNNNNNNNNNNNNNNNNNNNNNNNNNNNNNNNNNNNNNNNNNNNNNNNNNNNNNNNNNNNNNNNNNNNNNNNNNNNNNNNNNNNNNNNNNNNNNNNNNNNNNNNNNNNNNNNNNNNNNNNNNNNNNNNNNNNNNNNNNNNNNNNNNNNNNNNNNNNNNNNNNNNNNNNNNNNNNNNNNNNNNNNNNNNNNNNNNNNNNNNNNNNNNNNNNNNNNNNNNNNNNNNNNNNNNNNNNNNAUAUAUAUAUAUAUAUAUCCCUCGAUUUAUAUAUGUAUGUUAAUUAGGUACGUAUAUGUAUGCAUGAAUAUAUAUGAAACUUUGUUAGUUAAUUACUUUGGUUGAGAAUGGAUUGUAGUUUGUAAACAAAUCUAAUAUGAAACUGAUUAGGAAAAGACUUAAAUUGGAAUUCUUCUUUUGGUUGAAUGGAAGGGUUACUCAUUACUUCAUUAAUUUGACAUUAAUUUUGUAUUAUUUUGUUUAAUUAUGUUUUGGUUGGUUAUGUUUUUCAUUUAUUUUAUUCUAUUCCAAGUCAUUAAGAGCACAUGAUGUUUUAGGUAAAACACUGAUUCUACUGGACAGAUGAUUCAUGUACAAAACCAAAGUUAGUGCACACACCCUAUUAUUUAAUAUUCAAAACAUUGGGUUGCUGUUGGGGUGGGUCUGUAGGAGGGCAGGGGUGGAGUUGCAGGGGAGGCGAAUGGAAGAGGGCAAAAGUGCUGGAUGAAGGAGGGACGUUGGCAUGUUCUUGAAUGAUGGUAACCCAUUCUUUAUACAUUUUGAAUGAGAGUGGUUAAUUGCAAAAAAGCACUUGCAAUAGCUACAUUGAAAUUGGUUCCAUUUAUGAGGGACAAGAAAAGCAGCAGUGGGCAGUAAGGAACUGCUAUAACAGUUUUGGGUAUAUCAUUCUAGCUCUAGAAUCUAGUUUGAAGACUUAACCAUAGAGUUUUAGUUUUAGUUGGAGCUGUACAUUCUUUACCAUUAAUGAUUAGUGAUUCUAUUCAAAGUUACCAUGCUUUUUUAAGUUCUCACUUGGGUUUUUGUAAAUGGGUCAAGCUUUGCUUAUUGUGUGCAAGAAAAUCUGAUAUCGCUGUGAAAUCUAUAGUAAGAAAAUUAAAAAUGGUCACUUUGAUAUACUUGCACUUAAUUGAUGCCCACAAUUGUCGUCUUUAAUUGUACUAAUCCAUCAAAGGAGCAUGUCAAUAUUGUUCUAUUCAGCAGUACUAUGAUUUAAUUGAUGCCCUCAUAGUAUCCAUCAAAAGAACAUUUAAUCUUGAUGUAACCAGCAUGCCACGGAACCUGACAUGUGUAGCAAAAAAGCUUUUUACAGUUCAGACAUAUUAGAAAUGAUUGUUCCAUUGAAAUGAUUGUUUGGCAUAUUAGAGGAUCUAACAAGUGAUUACAGUCCAAAGUGGACGACAUUUAAUGCUGGCUACAUUGUCUUCAACUUUUACUUCGAUGUACUUGGUGAAGCAAUCCACACAAAAAGGAUGAAAACAUUCAUCAUUCUUCUUGAAAACAUUCAAUGCAUAUCUCACAAGUGAAAGUUGAACUCUCUUCUUCACCUGAUUUAUCCUCUUCUGUUUUCGCCAAACUCACCUCUUGUUUUUAGCUGUGUGUUCCCCAUUGUUUGUUCUGUUUCUGUUGCAAAAAAAUCAUCAGCUCAUGUGAGAAACAAUUAGAGAAAGUGGAAUUGUACAACAGAAACAUGCAUGAAGUUGUAUAUUAUUGCAAAAUAAAUGGCAACUCUUUCUACAAUUACAAAGAAAAUGCCAAACACAUUUUGAAUUUGCAGCUACAACUAUUACAUGUGUUAUACAAGAGAUGAGAAUACAUUUUGAACAUGCAUGUGUCAAUUUGUGAUCUACAACACAUUUUGAAAAUGCCUAACACAUUUUGAACAUGCAUGUGUUCUACAAUUACAUGAAUUAAUUUGCAUGUGUUGUACUUUGUGUUGUGCAUAUAGUAAUAGGUUCAAUUAAAUGUUGUGUCAAGUGAUAGUGCUAAUUUAUUUAUUUUUUGAUAAAAAAAUGUACAUGCUUGUGGUAUAAUUUCAAACUAGUUUUCCAAUGAGUCAUGAUUAAUUAUUGCUGAUUAAUAUGUUGGGUAUAUAAAUUGUUCUUUGUACGGUUGAAUGUUAUUGUCUUGACAGGUAAGAUGCUAAUUGAUUUUGGAGCUAGUAGAGUAGUGAAUAAUUUUGAAAUUGUAUUACAACAUCAUCUUGAAUAAUUUCUUUUAUUUAUCCUAUAUUUAAUUAUAAGUUUUUUUUCUUCUCCAGCUAUGGUGAGAACUAGAGGUGGGAGUAGUCUUUCCGGUAGGAGAUCAACUCUUCCUCAUAAUAGUGGCGAGACUGUUAACAUGAACAGAAUGAGAGAUGAGCCUAUUGUAUCUCAUGAUAGUGGUGAGAGUAUUGAUAGGGCUACACCGAAUACUACACAAGCCGAAAGGUUAUCUCGUAAGAAAAGGGGGCCAACUCUAGGGAUAAUAAAGCCUAAAACAGGCCAAACAAAGAUGCUUGUUAAUAUCAUUGGACAAAAGUAAGUUUUUACUAAUCUACUCGUGCUUGUCAAUAUGCAAGUUACAUACAAUCAAUUCUGGAUACGUUAAAGAUUCAUUUUCUGACACAUAAUAUAACGUCCGUUUUAACUAUAACAGGGUAAUCUAUGUAGCACAAUGUAAUCCAAAGAACAUAAAAGCAACUAAUCAUAUCAUGUUACUAUAAAAAGCAAUUAAUAGGGGUUCCAUUUAACAAGAUUUGAUUAAUCCUAUUGUGACAACUUUGUUUCUACUUUUCAUUAUUGUUGUACUAAUCAUAUCAUGCUAUGUUACCAUAUCUUGUAAUUAGCUUCCUUGAACCUGAAGCUCGAAGCAAGACUCACAUAUUAUUUCAAAAACGUUUUAAAGAAGCUCGAACCAAAUUCGAGCAAUGGCCAAAACAUGAAAUUGAACUUCUUUGGGGAGAAUAUUUGGUAUGUUUUAAUGAACACACAUUUUAAUUGUAGAAAAAAGUUUAUCAAAAAGUGUAUUAUUCAUUAUAUAUUAAUUAUUAUUUUUACUUGUGGAUGGUGUUAUAGAAAUAUUUUCGUUUCUCUUCAUCGAAGGAGGAGGGAAGGGGUCGAAUCAUAUGGGAGGAAAAUGCACGAAAAAGCUACCCAAACUAUUUAUGGAGAUGGAAAGAUGAUGCCAUUAAGAAGUUUGGCUCCAUUGAGGAAGCAAGGGAUAAAAAGCCUAAUUGGACAACUCUUGAUGUGUGGCAGGAGAUGUGUGAUUAUUGACUGAGUAAAGACUUUUUAGACUCUAGUGAGCUACAAAAAAAGAACAGAAACAUAACUACGUAUGUUCCUCACACAUCAGGCUCCAUAUCGUACGCCGUUAGGAGGGAACAAGAGGUAAAUUAUAAGUUGAUAAAAUCAAAUUAAUAAUAUGCGUAGUCGAUAAAUGCACAUGAUAAUGGUAAAAGAUUCAUAUCAUGAUGCUCUGUUUGGAGUUUUUAAGUGUUCAUGUGGUAUGUAUUGCUUAUUUUUAAUAUUAAUGUUUAUAAUUAAAAUAAUUAUUAUUUUGCUUGUUUUGUCUUAGAAACAAAGACUGCAUCGUCCGCCAACGCAAUAUGAGUUAUAUAAACAAACUCAUAUGAGGAAGGAGAAGGGUAGCGAGGAAAAAACGUGGGUUUGUGAUGAAGCAAAGAGGAAUUUGGUAUGAUUUUCUCUUGUAAAAUUAUAAACUUUGUUUACUCAUGCGAAAGUGAAGAUUGUUGUUCGUUCUUUUCAUAAUUAGUUAUGAGUAUUGUUAAUUAUAUAUACAUAUUUUAUGCAUUGUAUAGGAUGAUUAUGAGAGAAGACUCUUAGCCAAACAUGGUGAUACAGAUAAGCCCGUGAAUGAGUUAGAUGAUCCAAAUUUGGAGACAUGGCAGAAAACUGUUGGAGGCGUCAAAAAGGGUAGACUUGUUGGUCGACCAGGGGAAAAAUGGAGUUCUCGUCGUGGUUCGUAUUGUCCAUCUUUGGUUGCAGAUGAGAACUAUAUUAAAUUAAAGAAAAUGGAAAGCUACAUGACUUAUAUUCAUCAAUACACAAAAAAUAUGGCCGAAACACUUGCACUUGAUCCUCCUAUAGACUUUUGUGAUUUGUUUGCUUCAUCAAAUGCAUCAGCUGAUAUUCCAACGAAUAACUCAACCACGCAUGCUGAGAAUGACAACGGAGAUGAUGACGACUCUCAAGAAAACUUCAUGGAGAAUUCAGGAUGAUUUAGCUCUGCUUUACUUAUCAAUUUUAUUAGUUUAGGGUUCUUUGAUAGAUGUUGGGUUUGUUAAUUGUUUGAUGAACCUAUGACAUGUAGUUACCUAUUUAAGUAGUUGGUAAUGAAUUUAUUUUUAAUUAAAUGGAUCAGAUUUCUUCAUUUUAAUAAAUUUGUAUGAUUUUACGUUUCAAAUUUAUUGUAAUUUAUGUCAUUUAUAAAUUUGAAAUAUAAAAUUGGCAAUUAAAUAUAUUUUAAUAUAGGAAUUUGGUGAUGGCUUUACUAUCACCAAAACGUAUAAAAAGGUUACAAAAAUAGGAAUAAUUGUGAUUGCUUUAGCCAUCACAAGAGACUUAUGCCAUCACAAAAGAAUGUGAUUGUUUUGGCCAUCACAAAUAAUUGGUGAUUGUUUUGGCCAUCACAAAAAGAUGUGAUUGCUUUGGCCAUCACAAAUAAUUGGUGAUUGUUUUGACCAUCACACAAAGAUGUGAUUGCUUUAGCCAUCACAAAUAAUUGGUGAUUGUUUUUACCAUCACAAAAAGAUGUGAUUGCUUCGGCCAUCACAAAUAAUUGGUGAUUGUUUUGACCAUCACAAAAGAUGUGAUUGCUUUGACCAUCACAAAUAACUACUAUGCUAUCGAGAUUACUUUCGCCAUCACAAAUAACUUGUGUGAUUUCGUGAUGGUCAAACUAAUCACAAAAUACAUGUGCGCUAAUGUGACUGAUUUAGUCAUCACAAAAGGAUCGAAUGUUUUGGUGAUUGCCAAAACCAUCACGUAAAACCUUUCAUGAUGGACGUAUACAAAACGGCCAUCGUGAUGCUUAAAAUCAUCACGUAAACCUUUCGUGAUGGUUUUUUUAGUUUUUGUGAUGGAUUUUUGCCAUCACAAAUGACCAUUUUUUUAGUAGUGAUCGAAAGGACGUGGAAUUUAAUAUUGGAGAUCACGUGUUGUUACGUGUUGCUCCAUGGAAAGGAGUUACGAGAUUUGGAAAGAGAGAAGCUCAAUCCUCGAUUCAUUGACCCAUUUUUAAUCCUCGAGCGAGUAGGAACUAUGGCCUAUAGACUCGCCUUACCGCAAAGUAUGUCUCGUGUUCAUAACGUUUUUCACAUAUCUAUGUUACAUAAAUAUGUGAAAGACCCGAACCACAUUAUUGAAUUAGAACCAGACAAGAUAGAGGAAGAUUUAACAUAUGAAGAGUUACCUAUUAAAAUCUUGGAUAAGAAGGAUCAUAUUCUACGCUCCAAGGUUAUACCUCAAGUCAAAGUUUUAUAAGAGAAACCACGAUGUGGAGGAAAUGACCUGGGAGUUAGAAUCUGAGAUGAAGUCAAGAUAUCCUCGUCUCUUCGAUAUACCAGGUACGUACCCUAGUUUCGAGGAUGAAAUUUCAUAAGAAGGGGAGGUAGUAAGACCCCAACUUUUAUGAAUAAAGAAUAAUUUUCUCAAAAUAUAUUUUUGAAUAUUAUGGUGUGGAUUUGAUAUAAUGUUAUAGUUGUGGGUAUUAUUUACAAAUUUUGCAAAGUAAGCAAGUGGUUAUAUAAUAUUCGAUUGGUCGGGGAAUAUUCGUUUUAACAGGGAAUAUUCGUACGACGGUACAAUCAUUGGUGGACCCCACAAAGAAAGUAUUGUUGUAGUUAAAAAACGACAGAAUUAUCUUUUUAUAAAAAUAAUGGCGAAAGUGUUGCCGUUAAAACUGUUGAACUAACCGGUAAUAAAAGUACAGUAAUACGCGUGGUUGCAUAGUAGUACACAGUAUUGAUUAUUGAUGUUUACGUGAGAAGUCACUCAGUUAUACUCAAUUAUUACUAUAGUAAUUGUUGCAUCAUAUCUCUCAUAUUAUUGAUUCAAUUAUUGUCACAGUAUCAUCUGCAUAAUAUGUUAUAUUAUCAAAUCAAUAAUUGAGACGACAAAGUUAUUAAUAUUAUUAAAUUACAAUAUUGACAAUGUCUUGAAGUUCUGUCAAGGAGAGGUUAGAUAAUCUAAUUGCGCGCCAAUAGGGAGAAAUCCUCAUCGGAAAGCCCCCUCUUUCCUGGAAACUACCUGGUUGUUAAAUAUUAUGAGUUAUAAUAUUAAUGAUGAAUAAGUUUGUGUUGAUCAAAGAUGAAAUUAAUAGUUCCAUUGUAUGGAAAUUAUUAGUGUUAGUUGAAAAUCGACAUUUAUUUCGAUAAUAAUUGAUGUCUGGAGGUUUUAUUGACCAAUCGGGUAAUUAACCGGAUAAAUGAGCAAUUAAUUGCUAUUUAUUCACAUGCUUAUAACUAUGUGUUCACAUGUGUGUACUAUUGAUUCACAUGCAUGUACUGUUAGGGGAGUUGGUGCAAGAUUGAUAAUACUUGCAUGACUAAAUUAAAAAUUGAGGUAUAGAUGAAGGUACUAUACUAUACUUAAUUUUUUCACAUGUUUAGAACUAUUGAGUCACAAGAUUUACUAUUGAUUCACAUGAAUUACUAUUAGGGGAGGUGGUGCAAGUUUGAUAAUACUUGCAGGACUAAAUUAAAAAUAAAAAAAAAGAGGAAGGUAUUAUACUGUAAUAUUUUGAGCCCCAAAAUGUGCAAUUAUUGAAACUAUAUUUUCCUAUAAAUAGAAGCUCAUUCUUCCUUCAUUUCUUACCAAUUCACUAAAGCUAUAGAACAAUUAUUAUAGAGAGAAAUUAUAGAGAGAAAGAAGAAGAGAAGUAUGCUACCUCACUACUCCAGUAUCCAGUUUUCUUCUAAGGUAAGGGGUAUUAUUUCUUUCGUAUUCAUGAAGAGAGUUAUUUCUUUCAAUACUCGUAAGGGUUGUUAUUCCAUUCUUUAUUAUUCUGUUGGAAUAACCUGUAUAGGUGGAUUACCGAAUGCGGUGUGAAAUUCUUCUGUUAUUCCAUUCUUUAUUAUUAUGUUAGAAUAACCUGUCUGUGCAGAUUAUGCACGCCUGGUGAAUUCUUUUGUUAUUCCAUUCUUUAUUAUUUUGUCGGAAUAACCUGUCUGUGCGGACUACGCACGCCUGGUGAAUUCUUCUGUUAUUCCAUUUUUUAUUAUUCUGUUGGAAUAACCUGUCUGUGCGGUCUAUCGCAUGCCUAGUGAAUUCUUUUGUUAUUCCAUUCUUUAUUAUUUUGUUGGAAUAACCUGUCUGUGCGGUCUAUCGCAUGCAUGGUGAAUUCUUCUGUUAUUCCAUUCUUUAUUAUUCUGUUGGAAUAACCUGUCUAUGUGGAUUACCGCAUGCAUGGUGAAUGAUCCUUUGUAUUCAUUCCUUAUUAAAUUGUGGAAAUGAUAUGUCUACGUGGAUUACCGCAUGGCGGGCAAAAAUCCAUUUGCAAUUUUAUAUAUUCUAUUAUACUCAGUUGCUUAAAGUUUUGGCUUCUAUACUCCAUGAAAUUAGUAGAAUAUCCUGGAUAUUUGCGCUUCAUCCAAUAUCUUUUCAUGGACAUAUUCUUCUGAGCAUUCUUGAAUUUUACUCCACAAAGCAGUAUUAUGUUGACAAAUUGGAUGUUAUUAAUUUCUGGAUAAAUUAAAUUAUAAAUCUUUAAUAUUUAUCCUUGAACUUGUUUUAUUGAAUUAUUAUGUCAUUGUCAUCAUCCUCAUGCUUAUAUUGUGAUGAAAGUCAUCUUUGGCUUACGUGCAUAGAUGGAUUUGGUAUAAUUAUGACCAGGAAUUAUUCGGUAUAAUCAUGACUGUAAUGUGACGAAUGAUGUGGUGAAAGUCCUCAUUGGCCUGUAGUUCAUUGAUGGACAGUUGUUGGUAUGAUUAUGACCAGGGAUUAUUCGGUAUAAUUAUGACCAUUGAUGAUUACACGAGUAUCCUUGGCCAUAAUGCAUGGAUGAUUCGAUUUUAUUUAUUAAGCUGAGUCUCAGCGAUAAAGUUGAUGAAAAACUUUUUAAGUCAUAGAAGAUAGUAGAUUUUAUACUCUAUAAUUGACUCUUCUAAUGGAUUGCUUAUUCCGCUGUAGUUUUUUAUCUAAAACUUAUUGUCUAUUAUAUUCUUUCAGUUGUUAUACUGUUGAAGGCUAAGGAUAAUUUAUUUUGCAUUAUCUUAGUAAUAAUAUUUCUUACUGGGCUUGUUGAGCUCACCCUUUUCUUUCAUGGUUCUCUUCAAGAAAUGAGAACGUAGCUGGGACUAGUCGGGGAACAGAGUGACGGUCCAGAUGUUUGGAUUAGUAGUCCUCACUAUUCUGUGAAAUAGUGUGAUAAUAAAUGUAAUGAGGACUCCAUUGAGUGUGGAUAUUGUCUAGAUGACAAUAUUCUUAUUAAAACUCUUAGAUUAUGUUUUGUCGUAUUUUACACGACUGUUGUACAAUUAAGUUGUAUUUGAAUUUUGUACCAUGUAUCUGGCGACUCAAGAUGGCUGAUGUAUACCUAUUUUGGUGGCGUCACAUUAACCCUAUUGUUAUAUAUAUUAUAUCCGAUUAUUGUUUAUCAACAUAAUAUUAUACUAUAUAAUUCAGAUAUAUAUUCUGUUCAUUAAUUUCUAAAAAUGAUUAUACAAGUGUCUCCACCUGGAUAAUCAUUGUAUUUAAUCACAUGUUGAUAUAUAUAUAUAUAUAUAUAUAUAUAUAUAUAUAUAUAUAUAUAUACCUAUUGAACCCCAGUAUGUAUACAUUAAGUAAAAGUCGUCUAAGCUAUUCGACCAGCUAGACACAAAUUUAGUUAUAUCGUUUAAUAUGACAAAACUUUUUUGUAUCCAAUCAAAUUAUUUUGGUUCGGAUUCCAGACUAAGUAUGAACAUCCCGAACAUGAGAAAACUUUUAUGCGCCCAAGGCGGACAGAGUAAACGAUAAUAUCUUUCUUUCAUGCAGUAUUGAUCAAUACAGGGUCCAUGGGAUGUAUACCCUCGUGCCCGUAAGUUAUGACGGUUUGCAGAUGAAGUUCUGUUUAACCUUUUUGAAAAUAGAAAACAAUGUGUAUGUCACCCUAACCCUAUAUAUAGUCAAUACAUAGUUUCAAAAAUGUGAGAUAGAGUUGAUAUGUUAUUAUUAUCAGUUUAGUUUACUUCACAACUAUUGAAUCGUUGUAGAAGUAAUGUACAAAGAAAACAUUUAAUUCUUUCAGAUAAUUAUAUUUAUAAUUGUUAUUACUUGCUGGGCACUCAAAUGCUCAUCCUUGCUUAAUUUAAAUGUUUUCAGCUAAGCGUGAUCAACCUGAAGGUUUAGACAAUAAUAAGUGAAAAGGAAAGCAAACAGAAUAUGUUUAACGGUAUCUUUUGUAAUAGUUAAACUGUAUUAAGAUAAUGAUAUGUAUUAUCUAUCAUGUAAAGAAUUAUAGUAAAUGUUGCGUACUUGGGAUUAGACUAUGAUAUUUGUAAAUUAAGUUUGAUUUUUAUAUUAUUGUUAUUAUUAUUAUUAUUAUUAUUCUGCUCAUAAAAAUGGUAUCGUGAAGCACCGAGUUCGGGUUUCAAGUACCUAAAUUUGGGGGCGUCACAGUAUGGUAUUAGAGCUAUAGGUUAGAAACCUUAGGUGGGUUAAACCUUAGGCUAUAACCUUAGAACAGAGGGGAACGUUGAAAAUACAAAUAACUCAUAUAGAGUUUAUAAGGAGAUGAAUUUAAUAAAUUCAUCGUGAAACAAAAUAAAAGAUAACUAAUAAAACUAUUAUUUGCUAUGUGUUUAUACUUAGUGUUAAUCCGGAUAAUUUAUUUGUAUAGAUGUCAGAUAGAAAAAGAAUUAGAAUACCCUCAGAUCAUAAAGAAAGAGCAAAUCUCCAUGACCGAGCCAAUAUUAAAGCUAAUAGCUGAAAUAGAGGCACACAUUGAAAACUACCUCAAAGAGGAGGUUAUUUUGGAAAGUAUAAUACCAGAUCCAGAGACGAUAGUAUAACAGAUAGGUUGAGUGUAGUUAAAGAAUAUAUGGUGAAGCUUGAGUUCUUAAACUCAUUUAUUUGUGGUAAGUUCUUAAACUCAUAAUGUGUAGUAAGAAAAAGGGAAGUAUUUUAGAAUACCUCAUAUCAUUCUCGAAUUACUACUUCAUCUCCUCACCAGCUCUUGAACCCUUGACCUCUAGAAACUCAAUAAUCAAACGAGUACCAAAUGUCUACAAGGAGGACUAGUAUAGUUAUGUGUUAAUGGAUUAUUGAGGAUAAUAGAAUAUAUAGAAUGCUAAGCAAUUGAUCAUUAGUAAAGACGUAAGAAAUAGAUAGUGUUAGUAUUACUUGAAUAGGUAUGAUUCUAUGUGGUGUAAAUGAUAAGUAUGUCUGUGUAAGGAAAUAUUCUCAACUUUUGUAUAAGUUAUGGCUGCGAUUCCUGACUUGUGUGUUAUAAAGGAAUAGCGGAUGUUUAAAGCAGUAUGUGCUAUGGUAUGUCAAGUGAUAUGAAUAUGAGUCUAUGUUGGAUUAACGAAAUAAGUUGAUAUAAAGAUAGUAAUUAUUUAUCUGAACACUGGUUAAUACAGUAAACCGAAUUUUCAAAAUCUAAAAUUUUGAGUACAUGAUUAUUUGAAUAGAAAGUUUUGCGUUAUUUGAGAUGCAUGUACGAUAAGGCUUAGAAUGUAAGUUAAUAAGAAUAAUUUAUGAUAAUGCCAUCGAGAAGAAGAACCUGUCAAUAAAGCUAGAAGAUAACCAGACCCGCCAUAUAAUUUUGCGAAUGUGGACGCUCAAGCUAUGCAGAACGGAAUCCCAGCCGCGGGAAAUCGGCCAGAUAAUCGAUCGACAAACUUUAGAGACUUCAAGGCAAUCGUACUGCCAAGAUUUAGAAGAUCAACUGAUCCUGUUGACGCGUUUGUGAUAGUUAGGGUAACAUAGGGGCAAAAAGACAGCUUUUGCCACCUAUACGAUGAAAGGAGAUAGUUUUGAUAAUACCUGAAAUAAGCCAAGAGUGUGAUGGAAAGGAAAGUUUGUGUGUUGCAAAUGUGGACAGGAGGGAUAUAUCUCUCCUAACUCUCCCAAUCCAAAAGUGUAUAGUGGGUGUUUUAUUUGUGAGUUAAGGGAGCAUAAGGUGAAAGACUGUUUAAGAAAGAGAAGGGAGGCAAGGAAUGCGAAUACGAGGAGAGGCAGCAGGACAUUGACGACAACGAGACCAACUUCAACAAACAAACUGACGGAAUCAACCGCAAGAGUCAUCAACAUGACUGUUUAGGAUUCGGUAGCAGCCGGGGAUGCAACUCCAAGUAUUACUCGAACCAAUUUUAUUUUCUUAUAUAUGAUUUUCUUAUAUAUAUAGUAAAUUAUUUUAUAAAUUAUUUUGAAGGAGGAAUUUGAGUUCUUUUAGAAAUCAAAUUUCUGUUUAUGAAGAUAGAUAAGCUUUUUGCUGAAUAGUUAAAGAUCAGUUAGAUCAAUUAUGAUCGAGAUCUACUUGCAAUGAUUGUAUAGGUUAUGUACCCUUAUAUGUAUAGGUUUUAAAACGGUGAUUCCGGGGACGAAAUCUUUAUAAGGGAGGGUGAAUGUAAUAACCCGAUAUUUUCUAUAUAAUUAAAUCAGAAAUUUUGUGUAUGAAUUUAUUUAUUUAUUUAUUUAUUAAAGUUGGAAAUAUGUGCCAGGUAAUGUGUAUAUGUAUAUAUGUGAUAAAUAAAAUAUAUUUAUUGCAUGAAUAAUUACCAAUAGUUUUAUUUUAGAAUUAUUGCUCAUUAUAAAUUAUAUUAUAAUAAUAAUUAGUUUUAUAGUAGAAAUGUUUUUAUUAAUUCUAUUCUAUGAAAAUGUGUUUAUAUAUUAUUUAAAAAUUAUAUGAAAUGAUUAAAGACUUAUUAUAAUGAUUAUUCUGUUUUAUUAUAUGAAUUUUAGUUCAGAUUAUUUAAGUUAAUUAUUUUAACUUAAUUAUUAUUGUUAUGUAUGCAAGAUAAAUCAGAUAUGGAAUCCAAAUCCUAAUUUUGGAUUUUGAACAACGAAUGAGAAUAAUAAUAUAAUAUUAAUUAUAUUUUUAUUCUUCAGUGCUAUAAAUAUGUAUGUUAUGUUUGUAAGGUUAAUCUGGGGAGCAAUUUCCUUAUGACCUGAUAAAACCCUAAUUUGAAAGUCAAUUACGACUGUAAAAUCUGUUAAGUCAUUGUGAUAUGUGGUAUAUGAUUUGUAUUAUAAGUAUUAAUGUUAAUUAUAUAAAACCCUAAUUAGUAAUUUAAAACUCUAUUUUUCUUAUAUUAGAAACCCUAAACAGUAAUUAGCUAUCCGCUAAGUGGAAACCCUAAUUUAAAACUCAACUAUGAGUUUGAGACUAUUAUGUAACUGUGUUAUUAUGUUUAAGGUUAAGUAUUAUAGAAUUUUAUAUUAAUUAGAGAAACCCGAAUUAACAUUUAGAAAUCCUAAUUUCCAGAAACCCUAAUUUCUAAAUUAGUAAACCUAAUUUCUAAAUUAGUAACCCUAAUUUACUAAAAUAAAAUCCUAAUUGUUAAUUUAGCACGCUUAAUGAUAAUUAGUAAAAUCUAAACCUAAUUUUCAAGUCUAUGUAAUGAGGAAACCAAAUUAAUUACGAAACCUUAAUUUGUAUUUUUAGAAACUAAAAAUUUCAAUUUUUGUUUAAAUUAGAAAUCCUACAACACUUUGUGCUAAACCUUAUGGUCAAACCCUAAGGGUCAAACCCUAAGUGUUUGAUAAGUUACUAGUUUGCCCUUAAAUUGGUUAGCCAAAUGACAAAAAUACCCCUCUUGCAUUAUUGGACAUAACUUGUAAGACUAACCAAUUUUGAGUUGCUCAACAACUCUUACCAGCCCCAUUUGACUAAAAUGCCAGCAAUUAGCCAACUUGAUUUCAUGUUAUAUAUAGAGAGAUCAGGAAAGAGAAAUUUCAUUUAUUAGCCACAUUUGUACAAAAAACUCCUUACCAACUCUCUCUCUCCCAAAACCCACGAAAUGUUGUAGUAGAUCAGUCCCAUAUUAAAGCCCCACUAACACACUUAACCAAAUCAGCAGCCAGAAUCAAGAAUUGAUGUUUAAAGGUAUAAAAUCCUAAGUUAAAGUUUUGAUCUUGUAUGCUAUAUUGGAUUUAUGGUUUUUAUGUUUAAUCAUGUAGAAUAAGGUGUUAAUAGGUGAUCUGGGUUGGCACAUGUUAGAUCCAUAACAUCAAAGUGCUCGAAAUCUAAGUUUUUCAAAAUCUGGAAUUUUUUGUUUUUGUUGUCUGACAGCGAAUGUCAGGCCUUGUAGAUCUGUGCUUGUUUAUUGUUUUGAUGAUUUAAAGGUUUGAAGUGGUAGUUUGGUAUGAGGUCUUUCAUAUGAAAGUGGAAUCACUGUUAUUGGAUGUCUAGAUCGAAAGUUAUUGAUGGUCAAAAGUCGUUGACCAACCAUGACCGAGUGUAAAUCUGGGCAACCCAGAAAGCUUUUUCAGCGUCUGACAAUGUUUUGGAAGGCUUAGAUCUGUCAGUGUGUAAAUGAUUUGAUGAUGUUAUAAUAUACAGUUUAUAGCCUGUCAUAUGUACUUUAUAUUUGUGGCUUUAGAUCCUUUAAACAAACAAUUGAUCAAACUUAGUGGAUGGUCAAACUUGGCCCCUCGGUCACGAUUUCAUUUCUGGGAAUUUCCAGAAAAUCGGAAGAACAGCCCUCUGACAGGGUUUGACCAAGUUAUAUCUUGUAGAUCUGUUGAUGUUAAACUGAUUUGUUGUUAUAUUAUUGUUCCUGGACAUAAGGACUACAUCUUUGAGGCAUUAGAUCACUUGAAUCAUGAACGGAACCUAGAUUAAAUCGAGGAUGAAAGUGACUGGUCGACCACCUGGGUUUCUGGAAAACCCAGGAAUGCUCUGACAACAUAUUUGCAAGCCUAGAUCUCCUUGUGUGUUUGUUGUAUGACCUAGAUAUUGAUUGCUAGUUAUAGUGUUGUAUAAUGACUUCAAUAUUGAUGCUUAAGUUUGCCCAGAAACGAAUUAGACAGAGAAUUAUUAGUGGUCAAAGUUGACCCCUCAAACACAAAGCUAUAAGUGUUCUUGAGCUCAAGAACACCAACAGCGACGCUUACUGUCGCUAAAAGCCAAUAACGACGGUUUCUAAUACUUUUAAUUUCUGAUUUUUCGAAAAAUACUUAAAAAUAGAAAAUAAAUUAUAAAAAUUACAAAAAUGGUUUUAAAAAUUAUUUUCAAUUAUGAAAAAUAACUUUUAAUUAUUUGGGAUAUUUUUCAUUAAUAUUUAUAUAUUUUUUAAUAUUAAUAAUAUUUAAUUUAUUUAAUUAGUGUAUUAAAUAAACUAGAGAAAAAUGAUUUUAAUGUUAUAAAAAUCAAUUGAAAUAAGAAUAAAGUGUUUAAAAAUAUUUUUGAGUUAUAUAUGUAACUUUUAAUAUUUUUGUGAUGAAUUUCAUUAAUUAAUUAAUAUUGGUGAUAAUUAAGUAAUUUAAUAAAUGUAUUAAAUAAAUUAUGAAAAAUAGAAUUUGUGAUUUAAAAAUCAUAUAAAAGUGAUUUAAAGAUUAUAAAAAAAUAUUUAAAGUUAUAAAAUAUAACUUUUGAUAUUUUGUCAUGAAAAAUAUUAAUAAUUUAAUAUUAAUAAUAUUAGAUUUAUUUAAUGAUUAUAUUAAAUAAUUUAGUUUAAAAAUAAUUUUAUUAUUAUAAAAAUCAUUUUAAAUGAAAAUAAAGUGUUUAAAGAUAUUUUAAGUUAUAAAAUAUAACUUUUAAUAUUUAAAGGAUAAUUUCAUUAAUAAUUUAAUAUUAAUGAUAUUAAUUUAAGAUUUAUUGAUAUUAAAUUUAUUUAAUAAUUAUAUUAAAUAAAUAUUUUUAAAAUGGUUUUAUUAGUUUAAAAAUCAUUUAAAAGGAUAUAAUUGAAUUAAAAAUAUUUUAAGUUGGAAUUAAUGACGUUUAAUAUUUGGAUAAAUAGUAAAUUAAUAUUUUAAUAUUAAUGGUAAUUAUUUAAAAAUGAUUUUAAAUGUUUUAAAAAUCAUUUAAGGGUAGUAUUAGUACUUUAAAAAUAUUUUGAGUUAUUAUCAAUAACUUUAAUAUUUUGGUAAUGAUUAUAUUAAUAAUUUAAUAUUAAUUAAAUAUUAAUGAUAAUAUGAUUAUGUACUAUUUAAAUCAUUUAAUUAUGAUUCCAGUGUUUGAAAUUUCAUAAUAAAUUAUAAUAAAUGUUUAAAAAUUAUUAUAAGUCAUUUAAAAAUAAUAUGAUUGAUACUUGUAGAUAUUGAGAUACAAUAUAGAGUCUUAGACUCGAUAUUUACCCAAUAAAGCCGUCGGUAGACCGACAUAUUUUAAAAAUUGAUCUAGACUUAGAUAUUUGACUGUAUUAAUGUUUGUUUGUGAUUUAAUGAUUGUUGAAUAUGUGUGACAAUGUGAUUAGGUUAUGUCCUAACUGCAAUAAGAAGUGCUAUGUGUUAUAGUAUGUUAUUCUAAUCGAACAAAUGAUUUUAUUAAUGAUAGGUUUUGGUAUUAAAGAUAAAACUAAGUUGUGUAUUGUAAGUAGCAGACCAGACAAGUAUCCUAUCUUUGCAUUUUCAUUAUGCAAUGGACAUGAGUAAGAAGUUUAGAACUGUAUUACUACUGUAUCAGAUUAUUAACCCUAUUGUUAUAUAUGUUAUAUCCGAUUAUUGUUUAUCAACAUUGUGACGACCCCAAAAUAGUUAUACAACACCCAUUCUGAGUCGCCAUAAUACAUGGUACAGAAAGAAAACUACAACUUCACUAUUACAAUUGUCAUGCAAAAUACGACAACACAUACUGUGAGUUUAAAUACAAAUAUUGUCUUCUAGACAAUAUCCACAAUCAAAUAAGUCCUCAAUACAUUUAUUAAUACAUUAUUUUACAAAAAUAGUGAGGACUGCUAAAAUAACUAUCUUGAAUCAUCACUCCAUACCCCGGCUAGUCCCUGCUAUAUUCUCACCUCCUGAGAAGAAAAAUGGAACAACAAGAAAAAGGGUGAGUUCAACUAGCCCAGUAAAGAAUAUUAUGACUAAGAUAAUAUACAACAAAUUAUCAUUAGUCCUCAACAGGGAAAAAUCUGAUAGAAUAUAAUAGACAACAAGUUUUAGAUCAGCAAAUGCAGCGGAAACAACAAUCCAUUAGAAGAGUCACGUAGAGAAUGAGUUCUACUAUCUUCUAAGAUUUAAAAGUCCAUCAUCAAUAUUUUAUCCCUGUAACAACAAUCAAUAUACAUCUUUACACUACAGGCCAAAGAUAUUCAUUUAAAUCACCAGUCGGUCAUGUUCAUCUCAACACCUGUUCAUCUUUGCACUACGGGCCAAAGAUAUUCAUCAGUUUAUCAUUCAUCUUUGCACUACAGGCCAAAGAUAUUCAGUAAUAUCAUCAUUUAGGACUGAGGAUGAUGAAAAAUAUUUUUUUUUAAAGAAACGAAUCCAGUGAAACAAAAGGACAAGGAUUAAGAAUUCGUACUUUAGUUUGUCCAAAUUCAAAAAUACUCCAUAAUAAACAAUUAUGGGACAAAUUUUAAGAAUGAAGAUCAAAACAUGGAUAUAAUCAAAGCUAGUAUCAUAAUGGACAUUUUGGAUAAAAAGGAAAUUUUUUAUUUUUCGGUGAAUAAUGUCGUAUUCGUGAAUAGUGCUGUAUACGUGAAUAGUGCCGUAUACGUGAAUAGUAACCCCGACACAAAAAGUUCCAAAUUUGAUAAAAAGAUCAGAUCAAUAUUUCGACGUAAUGAUAUUGACGAAAAUAAUAUCAUUCAUGAAGAAAAUAAUAUUCCUUACCUCAAAGAAGCAGUACUUCGGAAUGAAAGGUCGGAAGUGAUGCUGAAUGAAACUUGUACUGAACAACAACUCUCAAAGUAUCUAAAUACUCACAAAAUACGCUCGAUAAUAUAGAGAGAAAGAGAGAAAGCUUAUGUUUCUUGUGUGAUUUUCAAUUCUAACUUAGCCAUCUAUUUAUAGAAAAAUGUUAACCCGCCGAAGCAGACUUGACCUGCUACCUGAUGGCUUUACCUGUUACUAUUGCCACCCACCACAUUUAAAAUUCAAUUUGAGCACAUUUCUCACCAACCACAAGUGGGGCCCAUUCAAUUCUAGAAUUUUCCACCAAAAUCAUUUAUAACCCUAAUUUCCGAAGCAGUCACCUCUUAAAAUUCAUAACAAAUCAUUCGUUCAUUUUUAACGGUUCAAAAUUUGUGGACAUAUACCCAACUUAUAUAUGUAUAACAUAACCAAAAAUCACAACAAUCCAACGGUCAGAGUAAAAAUUAUAACUCACGCAAUAUAUCGUAAAAAUACUGAUUUGAUUUUUAAUACCUCCAUUCCGACAAAAAUAUAGAUAAAACACCUCAACAUUAACUCCUUCAAUUAUAAUCACAUAAAAUAAACAAAUCCAUCAUUUAUAUAAAAUAAAUAUUUCCUUAUCAUAUAAAUCAAUAAUUAAUUAUUCACAAAUAAUAUUAUAGAAUCACAAUUAUGACAACCAAGCCGUUUCCAGGAAAGAGGGGGCUUUCCAAUAAGGAUUUCUCCUUACUGGCGCGCAAUUAGAUGACCUAACCUCUCCUUAACAGAACUUUCUAGACAUUGCCAAUAAUGCUAUCUAAUAAUAUUAUUAAAGCAAUAUGAAUUAUUGAUCUGAUAAUGGGAAAUACUGUGCAGUAACAAUAAUUGAAAUAAUAAUAAUAUAAAAUAUCAACGCAGCAAUUAUUGAAUCAAUAAAAUAAAAUAUUAAACAGUAACUACUGUAACAAUUAUUGAGUAGUGCCUUCUUACGUAAGAAUCAAUAAUUCAACUAUACUGUGUAAUACCGUGUGCUACUGUGCAACUACGCGUAUUACUGUAUUUUAACCACCAGGUAAUCCAACAGUGUUAACGGUAACAACUGCGCCGUUAUUUAUAAAAACACAUACUUGUCGUUUUCCUUCAUCCAACCAUUUUUCAUUAUGGGGCCCACAAAUGGCUGCGCCGUCGUACGAAUAUUCCCUGACAGCAAGAAUAUUCCACGACGAAACGAAUAUUCCCCGACAACAAUGAAUAUUUUAUAACCACUUGCUUAUUUUGCAAAAUUUGCUUAUCUCAUCCAUAACCAAAAUAUUAUAUCAAAUUAACACCUUAUUAUUCACAAUAAUAAUAAUUAGAGGAAAUUCAAUUUCAUUUAUAAAAAGUUGGGGUCUUACAAACAUGAUAUUAUAUUAUAUAAUUCAGAUAUAUAUUCUGUUCGUUAAUUUCUAAAAAUGAUUUAAUCACAUGUUGAUAUAUAUAUAUAUAUAUAUAUAUAUAUAUAUAUAUAUAUAUAUAUACCUAUUGAACCCCAGUAUGUAUACAUUAAGUAAAAGUCGUCUAAGCUAUUCAACUAGCUAGACACAGAUUUAGAUAUAUCAUUGAAUAUGAUAAAACUUUUUUGUAUCCAAUCAAAUUGUUUUGGUUCGGAUUCCAGACUAAGUAUGAACAUCCAGAACAUGGGAAAACUUUUAUGCACCUAAGACGGACAGAGUGAAUGAUAAUAUCGUUCUUGCAUGCAGUAUUGAUCAAUACAGGGUCCUUGGGAUGUACACCCUCGUGCCCAUAAGUUAUGACGGUUUGCAAAUGAAGUUCUACUUUACCUUUUUGAAAAUAGAAAAUAAUGUUCAUAAUAUGUCACCCUAACCCUAUAUAUAGUCAAUACGUAGUUUCAAAAAUGUGAGAUAGAGUUGUUAUGUUAUUAUUAUCGGUUUAGUUUACUUCACAACUAUUGAAUCGUUGUAGAAGUAAUGUACAAAGAAAACAUUUAAUUCUUUCAGAUAAUUAUAUUUAUAAUUGUUAUUACUUGCUGGGCACUCAAAUGCUCAUCCUUGCUUAAUUUAAAUGUUUUCAGCUAAGCGUGAUCAAUCUGAAGGUUUAGACAAUAAUAAGUGAAAAGGAAAGCAAACAGAAUAUGUUUAACGGUAUCUUUUGUAAUAGUUAAACUGUAUUAAGAUAAUGAUAUGUAUUAUCUAUCAUGUAAAGAAUUAUAGUAAAUGUUGCGUACUUGGGAUUAGACUAUGAUAUUUGUAAAUUAAGUUUGAUUUUUAUAUUAUUGUUAUUAUUAUUAUUAUUAUUAUUCUGCUCAUAAAAAUGGUAUCGUGAAGCACCGAGUUCGGGUUUCAAGUACCUAAAUUUGGGGGCGUCACAAAUAUGGCUCAGUUAUUGGAGCGCGAUAAUGAGUCAACCCAACCAAGAGAGAGUAGCCGACAAAAUGAUAAUACCAGUGGUAGCAGUCAUCGAAGCGGUGUCAACAAACGUGGAGGGAAUCAACAUGCUAGAAAUGGUAACCACUUCGGUAGUAAUCAUGGCGAAGAUAAUAAAAAUGGAAAUUUCAAGAAGAGGAGAAUCAACAAUGAUGGAAAGACGUCAGCACCAGAACCCGUUGGUAAGGAAGGAGAACGACCAGCGAUCGUAUGCUACAAAUGCGGAGGGGAGGGAUACAUCAGUCCAAACUGUGCGCAGCCGUCCAAAAUGUAUUAUAAUUAUGGAAGAGAAGGUCACCUAGCUCGAUUUUGUCUUGCAAGGAAGCCAAGUCAAGCUGGGAUGGAGGCACCAAAGGUCAUCCCAGAAAAGUCAAAACCAGUAGUUCAAGGGAGAGCGUUUUUCGUGACCUCCCAGAAAGCAAGGAACCUGAACGAGGUUAUCAUGGGUAAGCUAAUCAUAAACUCUAGCGAAGUAUAUACCUUAUUUGAUAACGGUUCUACCCAUUCUUUUAUUUUACUAUUGGCACUCAACGUUUAAAUUUAACUCUGGAGAAAUUAGACUUUGACUUAUCUGUUAAAACUCCGUUGGGAGAAACCUUCAUUACAUCCACUGUUUAUAAGUCUUGUUUAGUUCAAAUCGGUACCCUCACAUUACCUGUCGAUCUUAUUUCUUUAAAAAUACUUGCAUUUGAUGUGAUUUUAGGGAUUGAUUGGUUAACUACUCAUCAUGCAAAAAUUGAUUGUUUUCGUAAGGUUGUUAGCUUUCAUAUUCCUAACCAACCUAUUAUGCGAAUUCAAGCAACCAAACCACUAAAGUCAAUCACUGUCAUAUCAAGCCAUAAAGCUAUUCAUUUAUUGAAAAAUAGAUGUCAAGCUUUCUUAGCCCAUGUCACAAAUUUAAACAAAAAUACGUCAUAUUUGAAUGAUAUUUCUAUUGUUAAUAAAUUUCCAGAUGUAUUCCCUGAAGAACUUCCUGGCCUACCCCCAGAGCGUAAAAUUGAGUUUGUAUUGACCUCGAACUCGGUAAAAGACCCAUUUCCAAAGCCCCAUAUCGAAUGGCUCCUAUUGAACUUCAGGAGUUAAAAACCCAACUGCAGGAGUUGUUAGACAUCUGUUUCAUUUUUCCUAGUACGUCUCCUUGGGGUUCUCCUGUUCUAUUCGCAAAGAAGAAAGAUGGGAGUAUGCGACUUUGUAUUGACUAUCGGGAGUUAAAUCAUGUCACUAUCAAAAAUAGGUACUCGUUGCCUCGCAUUGAUUACCUGUUUGACCAGUUGUAAGGAGCCAAAUUCUUUUCAAAGAUCGAUCUUCGUUCUGGAUAUCACCAGUUAAAGAUUAAAACUGAUGACAUCCGAAAGACUGCUUUCAGAACUCGGUACAGGCAUUAUAUAUGAAUUCCUAGUCAUGCAUGUCCGUUGGAUUGACUAAUGCUCCUGCUGCUUUCAUGGAUAUGAUGAACCGAGUAUUCAAGGAAUAUUUGGAUCAUUUUGUGGUCAUUUUUAUUGAUGACAUCCUCAUAUACUCCAAAAUCCGUGAAGAUCAUGAGCAACACUUGAGGUUUAUACUUCAAAAGUUUCGUGAAAACAAGCUUUAUGCCAAGUUGAAGAAAUGCGAGUUCUGGCUUAAGGAAGUGGCAUUCCUUGGGAACGUGAUAUCAAUUCACGGAAUAUCUGUUGACCCAUUGAAGAUUAAAGCAAUUCAGAGCUGGGAGCAACCUAAGUCAGUGACCGAAGUACGUAGCUUUCUGGGCUUAGCUGGUUAUUAUCGGAGAUUCAUGGAUGGAUUUUCUCGAAUUGCUACUCUAUUAACUCAGCUGACUCGAAAAGAUACAAAAUUCGGUUGGAGCGAGGAAUGUGAGAAAAGUUUUCAAGAACUCAAGAGAAGACUCAUUUCAGCACCUGUUCUGAUAAUACCAUCUGGCUCGUAGGGAUUUAUCAUCUACAAUGAUGCUUCAGGCAAAGGGUUAGGAUGUGUUCUCAUGCAACAUGGGAAAGUCAUAGCCUAUGCAUCAUGACAACUCAAAGAAUAUGAGAGGAAUUAUCCUACUCAUGAUCUAGAGUUGGCAGCUGUCGUUUUUGCGCUUAAGAUUCGGAGGCAUUACCUGUAUGGAGAGAAUGUGGAGAUCUAUACGGAUCAUAAAAGCCUCAAAUAUUUCUUCACUCAAAAGGAGCUCAACAUGCGACAACGACGUUGGCUUGAGCUAUUGAAAGACUACGAUCAUACCAUUUAAUACCAUCUUGGAAAAGCGAACGUAGUAGCUGACGCAUUGAGUAGAAGAUCAUAUGCGGGUACGAGUGCGAUAUUGUUAACGCAAAGACCCAUUUUGUAUGACUUACAAAGGAUGGAAAUAGAGUUAAAGACUCUAGGGACCCAAGUGAUGAUGGCAAAUAUACGAUUAGAACCGACUUUAAUCGAUAAAGUUAAAGCUGCUCAACUUACGGACCUGGAGCUGAUGCGUAGUAGGAAGAAAGUACAAGGUGCUAUCCUGGAAGCAAGAAUCGAUGAAGAAGGAAUACUAUGAGUCAACUCUAGACUUUGUGUUCCUAACGACCCUAAUUUAAAGUAUAAAAUCAUGAUGGAGGCGCACAACACACCGUUUGCAAUCCAUCCUGGGAGUACCAAAAUGUAUCGUGAUCUUCGACAUAUAUUUUGGUGAAGUAAUAUAAAGAGAGAGAUAACAGAGUUUAUCUCAAGAUGUUUAACUUGUCAACGUGUCAAGGCGGAGCAUCAAGUGACAAAAGGUCCAUUGCAACCACUUGAAAUUCUAGAAUGGAAGAGGGAGCACAUUACCAUAGAUUUUGUUAUUGGUCUUCCCAAGGUUUCUCAAGGCAUAGUUGCAAUUUGGGUCAUUGUUGAUAGAUUGACCAAGUCUGCUCAUUACUUACCUAUACGAGAAACCUAUACACUUGAACGUCUUGCUCGUAUAUACAUAAACGAGAUUGUAAGACUGCAUGGUAUACCAGUAUCCAUAGUUUCUGAUCGAGACCUAAGAUUACUUCACGAUUUUGGGUCAGUUUGCAGAAAGCUAUGGGCACGGAUUUGCGAUUCAGUUCUUUGAUGCCCCCAAAAUAGGUAUACAUCACCCAUUUUGAGUCGCCAGAUACAUGGUACAAAAUUCAAAUACAACUUAAUUAUACAACAGUCGUGUAAAUACGACAAAACAUAAUCUAAGAGUUUUAAUAAGAAUAUUGUCCAUCUAACAAUAUCCACAAUCAAUGGAGUCCUCAUUACAUUUAUAAUCACACUAUUUCACAGAAUAGUGAGGACUACUAAUACAAACAUCUGGACCGUCACUCUGUUCCCCGACUAGACCCAGCUACGUUCUCAUUUCCUGAAGAGAACCAUGAAAGAAAAGGGUGAGCUCAACUAGCCCAGUAAGAAAUAUUAUGACUAAGAUAAUGCAAAAUAAAUUAUCCUUAGCCUUCAACAGUAUAACAACUGAUAGAAUAUAAUAGACAACAAGUUUUAGAUCAAAAACUGCAGCGAAAUAAGCAAUCCAUUAGAAGAGUCAAGUAGAGCAUAAAAUCUACUAUCUUCUAUGAUUUAAAAAGUUUUUCAAAAUUUUUAUCGCUGAGACUCAGCUUAAUAUAUAUAUAUAUAUAAAAGCAAUAAACGCACCGGAUGUAGACUUACAGUGGACUGCCAAAGUAGACUUCUUGGACUGCAAAUGGAUGAACACUCGUCUCUCGCCGGACUAAAAGUAGCUAUAUACGAGCUAACUAGUGUUUAAAGAAAAGGAAACACUCAAAAGAUGUGUAUGCAGAGCUAAACGGACAGGGCUUCCUCGCCUUUUUCCCUCUCUUCCUUCUCUCAAAUGGCUGACCCCCCCUCUAUAUUUAUAGACGGAUGGCCGCAGGUCUACCUGCGGCUGGUCGUGGUGGGCCCGGGCAUCGCGGGUCUCGUCGUCUUGUAGUACGUGCACUUGCGCACGGUAAUGUCCAAUCGAACUUUCAGAACUUCAAUCCUAGCAUCCAAACGAAGCGUGUCUGUACUUCUUCGGACCGCUGGUGUCGAGAGUUACGUAAUGACAUGGAUUAGAGGUUGUACGAAGUCAGGAAGCGGGGUAUAUGCCCAUGGUCUUCAGGCUUCAAAUUCUAUCCAAAGUAUUGUCACAGGUAAUAGUCACUCGGGAUUGUCAUUCCUCGGUUAUUUGGGACAUUGUUGUAUGUAUGUAUGUCUGAAAGGUUGAGACGACGUGCCAUUUGUUGGACGAACAAGAUGAUGUUUGACUCUUUGCCGGAGUUAUCGCCUGGUUGAGCUGAAAGUAACCGUUGCUCAGGUUACAUCUGAGAUUGGACUACUUGUUGGUAUGCUGCUAUAUCAUCUUGUUACGAGAUGACGUUGGUGACUCCUCACCGGGUUUAUCGCCGGUUUAAGCGGAAAGCAGACGUUGAUCAGGGUUACAGCUAAGAUUGGACCGCCUAUUUGUAUGCCUCACUGUCAUCUGUGAUUGAAGCUGAUUGCAUGUGUUUGCAACAAGCAAUUCUGGAGUUAUCGCCGGAACUGCGAUGGCAUCACUUGGGGUUAUCACCAAGGAUGGGACUACUACUCCCAAUGUUGUCUCUGGGACUGGAACUGAACGUCGCGGUGUCAUCACCGAGACAGGACUGUCCUCUCCGGUGUUGUUGCCGGUCUUUUGAUCUGCACAUCUCGGGGUUAUCUCCGAGAUUGGAAAUGACGUGCCCGGUGUGUGUUCCGGGUUUGGAACCGAUGCUCCCGGUUUGUGUUCCGGUUUGGAGCGAAACUUCCGGUAGUAUCUGGACUUGUUGUGAGCUGUCUUUCAGGGUUAUCUCCAAAAGACGAAUCUACCCUCCUGCAAUGUUAGUAAUAGGAGUGCAGAAAAUUUCGAGUGUCUACAACACCUAGCAACCCAGAUCAUCACUAUAGACUAAAAACAACAUAUUCUAACACCCAAACAUAACAUUUAACAACAUAUCAAAGGUCAGAUUUUUAGGUUUAGUGUUAUACCUUCUUGCUCAAUUUCUUGAUUUUAUGUUACUGAUUUGUUAUGGGAUUUCGUGGGGCUUGAAAAUGGGACAAAAAUGCUAUAGAUUUUCGUUGGUUCUAGUGAGAGAAGCUCUUGGUUGAGUGUUGUGCAAUUUUUAGUGAACAAAUGCAUUUUCUCUAUCCUUAAAUCUAUUUAUAGACAAAUUAGAUACAUGAAUGGCUGAGCUAGAACUUGUUGUUGUCAAUUUAGUGUCACAUGGCUACUCUAGGGUUAGCCAACCACUCCAUCUAGACCUAUUUCUACAAGCAAGCUUCAAUAAUACAAUAGGGCACAAAAGUCUUUUGGCUAGCAAUUUUAAGGGCAUUUUUAUAACUUGUCAAACCCUUAGGGUUUAACCCUUAGGGUUUAGCACAUAACACAAAUGAUUUUUAGCAACUUAGGGUUUGAAUAAAAUAAAAUUAUUUUAGCUUCUAAAAUUUGAAAAUCAAGAUUUGUUAAUUAGAUUAAGUUAGUAAUUAUAUUAUACAUGAACAUUAGGGUUUAGUACCACUAAUCAUAAUUAACCUUGCCAAAAUAGCAAUUAGGGUUUAAGAUUUUAAUAAUUAGGAUUUCUAAAACUCAAUUAGGAUUUUCUAAUUAUCCAAUUAGGGUUCUGAACAUUAGGGUUUUAAUUUAAUAAUUAUGUUUACCAUAAUUAGCAAUUAAAGUCUAUUGUACGUGUUAUUAAUCACAGUAACAUAAUUUUUGACAGAUAAAAUUCUUCAGUUUAAGUUUUGAUUUAGGGUUUCUAAUAUCAGAAAUUCAAAUCUAAUUAGGGUUUGACAUUUAUAAUUAGGGUUCCCUAAUUGGCAUAUCAUUAUGUAACACAACAUAUAACACAGUUAUAUAACAGUCUCAAAUUUCCCAUUUAAAUUGAAAAACAGGGUCAAACCAAUUAAUGCUAGGGUUUGGUCAAUAUACACCAUAAUUGACCAACCAUCAACAGUACGUACAUACAGUACAUAUUUAUGGCACUGAGAAAUUAAAAUAUUAUAAUAUUAUAUAUUAUUCUCAUGCCUUGAUCAAAACCCAAAAUUAGAGUUUGGAUUCCGUAUCUGAUUUAUCUGCCAUAAAUAACCUUAUUAAUUAAGUUAAAAUAAUUAACUUAAUAAUCUGAACAAAAUUCAUAUAAUAAAAUAAUUAUUAUAAUUAUUCUAACAUCAUUUCAUAUAUUACUUAUAUUUUCAAGGAAAAUAAUUAAUAAAACAUUUCUAAUAUAAAAUUAACUGUUAUAAGAAUAUAAUUUAUAAUAAUUAAUAUUUCUAAAAUAAAUCAAUUUGUAAUAAUUAAUGUAAUAAAUUUUAUUUAUCACACAUAUAAUUAUACACAUAUUACCUUGGCACAUAUCACCCAUAUUUAUUUUAAUAAAUAAUAAAAAAAAAAUUUAUACGCAAAAUUUAUGAUUUAUUUAUAUAGAAAAUAUCGGGUUGUCACAUUCUUCACAUUCAUCAGAUUCGGGUGUGUAGCUUGAGCGGCUUUAACUUUAUCGAUUAAAGUCGAUUCUGCUCGUAUAUUCGUUAUCUUCACGUGGGUCCUUAGAGUCUUUAACUCUAUCUUCAUCAUUUGUAAGUUAUACGAAAUGGGUAUUUGUGUUAACAACAUCGCACUUGUAAACACAUACGAUCUUCUACUCAAGGCGUCAGCUACUACGUUCGCUUUUCUACGAUGAUAUUGAAUGGUAUAGUCGUAAUCUUCAAUAGCCCGAGCCAACGUCUUUGGCGCAUGUUACGUUCGUUUUAAGUGAAGAAAUAUUUGAGGGUUUUAAAAAUGGGUUUUGUACUGGGGUCAAUACAAAAUUUGAUUUCACGCUCUAGGGGUAGGCUAAGAAGUCUUCAGGAAUACGUCAGGAAACUUAUUAACGAUAGAAAUAUCAUUCAAAACUGUGACUCUCAUCCCAAGACUUGGAUAGCCCGUCAUAUUGAUACCUAUCAACUUGCCACCGUUAUUCACGGCGUCCCCUACGGAUAGUCUGGCUUCGGUGUAUUCCAAGACUUGGAAGUCAUCAGCGAAAGGCUUAGGUCUCUUUACUUAUGGCUUGAUAUGACAAUGAUUGGCUUUAGUGGUUUGGUUGCUUGAAUUCGCAUAACAGGUUGGUUAGGAAUAUGAAAGCUAACAACCUUACGAAAAGCAUGAUGAGUAGUUAACCAAUCGACUCCUAAAAUCACAUCAAAGGCAAGUAAUUUCAAAGAGAUAAGAUCGACAGGUAACGUGAAAGUGUCGAUUUGAAUUAAACAAGAUUUAUAAACAGUGGAUGUAAUUAACGAAGGUUUCUCCUAACAUAGUUUCAACCGAUAAGUCAAAGUCUAAUUUCUCCGGAGUUAAGUUCAAACAUUGAACACAACUAGGUGAAAUAAAAGAGUGAGUAGAACCGGUAUCUAACAAGGUAUAGACUUCGCAAGAGUUUAUGAUUAACUUACCCGUGAUAACUUUAUUCAGGUUUCUCGUCACGAAAAACGCUCUCUCUUAAACUACUGAUUUUGACUUGUCUGGGACAUCCCAGUUGGACUUAACUUUGCUGUAGAGUACAUUCCACCCUUAAUUGCUUCAUCACAUUCCUGAUCCAUGAUUCGAAUCAUUACUCUCUGAUCCAUAUCGAAUUGGGGUUAACCGCUCUGCACAGGGUAAUUUCGAAUUCGAUGUUGGAUUCUCCCAAUUGUUGUCCAAAAAGCAAAAUCCAUUUCAUCUAUUUUAGCCUUAUUGGAUCUGACGUCUUUUUCUACAAUAUCUACACGUCGUGCGACUUUUACCCAUGCAUCAUCUAUUCUCAUUCGUUCAGUUGUUUUUUCUUUCAUCAGAACUUUGAUCAUAGCAUUCUUAAAUUCCAGCUCUAAUAUCUUAUACUCUGCCAAAGAGUGCUUCUGUUCGAGCAUCGUACAUCGGGUAACACAAUUUUGAAUUGCUACAUCUCUUUGCUCCACGACCGCCUGUCGUUCUUCAGCCUGCUCUUCUAGCUCAUGAAUACAAUUUUGUAAUUCUAAAUUUCGAUCAUAAAAUUCUUCUAAUAAAUUCACCUCAGGUUCCUCUUCUUCCUCACUCUCAGCUGCUACCUCUGCAACUAGCUCGAGUGCAACUAUUAGUUCUUCACUCACCAUGUAGAUAUCUCUAAUUUCUUCUUCGUUUGACAUCACAUUAACCUGGUUAGUGAUUAAAGGUGUCUCAACGAUCUCAUUCACUGCAUUGUUAAUAUUUUUAGCCGCCAUUUUUAAAUACUGUCAUAAAACAAGGGUGAAUUAACAUAUCACAUAUUAUCAAUAUAUUAUGACCGACCAAUUAAAUACCAAAUAAACUUAGGUAGGUCAUACUAGCAAAGGAAUUCCCCGUCUCUCCCCUCCUAGUUCUUGUCUCACAUCUCAGCCAGGGAUCAUAUCCCUAAGCUUUGAUACCAACUGUGACGCCCCCAAAACAGGUAUUCAUCACCCAUCUUGAGUCGCCAAAUACAUAGUACAAAAUUUAAAUACAACUUAAUUAUACAACAGUCGUGUAAAAUACGACAAAACAUAAUUUAAGAGUUUUAAUAAGAAUAUUGUCAUCUAGACAAUAUCCACACUCAAUGGAGUCCUCAUUACAUUUACUGUCACACUAUUUAACAGAAUAGUGAGGACUACUAAUGCUAACAUCUGGACCGUCACUCUGUUCCCCGACUCGUCCCAGCUAUAUUCUCAUUUUCUGAAGAGAACAGUGAAAGAAAGGGUGAGCUCAACUAGCCCAGUAAGAAAUAUUAUGACUAAGAUAAUGCAAAAUAAAUUAUCAUUAGCCUUCAAUAGUAUAACAACUGAUAGAAUAUAAUAGACAACAAGUUUUAGAUCAAAAACUGCAGCGGAAUAAGCAAUCCAUUAGAAGAGUCAAGUAGAGCAUAAAAUCUACUAUCUUCUAUGAUUUAAAAAGUUUUUCAUCAUUUUUAUCGCUAAGACUCAACUUAAUAAAUAAAAUUGAAUCAUCCCUGCACCACAGCGAAGUUUAUUCAUGUAAUCAUCAAUGGUCAUGACUAUACCGAAUAAUCCCUAGUCAUAAUCAUACCAACAACUGUCCACCAAUGAAUUACAUGCCAAUGAUGACUUUUACCACAUCAUUCGUCACAUUACAGUCAUGAUUAUACCGAAUAAUCCCUGGUCAUAAUCAUACCAAGUCCAUCUAUGCACGUAAGUCAAAGAUGACUAUCAUCACAAUAUAAGCAUGAAGAUGAUAACAAUGACAUAAUAAUUCAAUAAAACAAGUUCAAGGAUAAAUUUUAAAGAUUUAUAAUUUAAUUUAUCCAGGAAUCAAUAACGUCUAAUUUGUCAACAUGAUACUGCUUUGUGGAGUAAAAUUCAAGAAUGCUCAGAAGAAUAUUUCUAUGAAAAGAUACUGGAUGAAGUGCAAAUAUCUAGGAUAUUCUACUAAUUUUAUGGAGUAUAGAAGCCAAAACUUUAACCAACUGAGUAUAAUAGAAUAUAUGAAGCUGUAAAUGGAUUUUCGCCCGCCAUGCGGUAAUCCAUGUAGACAGAUCAUUUCCACAUUUUAAUAAGGAAUGAAUACGAAGGAUCAUUCACCAUGCAUGCGAUAAUCCACAUAGACAUGUUAUUCCAACAGAAUAACAAAGUAUGGAAUAACAGAAGAAUUCACCAUGCAUGCGAUAGACCACACAGACAGGUUAUUCCAACAGAAUAAUAAAGAAUGAAAUACUAAAAGAAUUCACCAGGUGUGCGUAGUCCGCACAGACAGGUUAUUCCAGCAGAAUAAUAAAGAAUAGAAUAACAGAAGAAUUUACCAGGCGUGCUUAAUCCGCACAGACAAGUUAUUCCAACAGAAUAAUAAAGAAUGGAAUAACAGAAGAAUUCUCCAGGCGUGCGUAAUCUGCACAGACAGGUUAUUCAACCAGAAUAAUAAAGAAUGGAAUAAUAGAAGAAUUUUGCCACGCAUACGGUAAUCCGUGUAUACAGGUUAUUCCAACAGAAUAAUAAAGAAUAGAAUAACAGAAGAAUUUCACCACACAUACGGUAAUCCGCGUAUACAUGUUAUUCCAACAGAAUAAUAAAGAAUGGAAUAACAACCCUGACAAGUAUUGAAAGAAAUAACUCUCUUAAUAAAUACGAAAGAAAUAAUACCCCUUACCUUAGAAGAAAACUAGAAUAGUGAGGUAGCAGACUUCUCUUCUUCUUUCUCUCUAUAAUUUCUCUCUAUAAUAAUUUCUCUAUAGCUUUAGUGAAUUGGUGAACAAUAAUGAAGGAAUGAGCUUCUAUUUAUAGAAAAAUAUAGUUUCAACAAUUGCACAUUUUGGGGCUCAAAAAAUUACAGUAUAAUAUCUUCUUCUUUUUCUUCAUUUUUAAUUUAGUCCUGCAAGUAUUAUCAAACUUGCACCACCUCCUCUUGGAAGUCCUUGAAUCAAUCAGCUCGAAACAAUCCUUCUUGGACUCAAAUUCUAGUUAAAAUUACCUUUUCUACGCGUACCCAAGCCCCAGCUUGGGUAUUGCCUUGUAAAUAGUAAGCCCCGGCUUGCUAUGCUUCUGAUUUUGAACUCAGGACCCCAAGCCCCGGCUUGGGUAUAAAGCUUAAAAGAGCAAGCCCCGACUUGGGUGCAAGCUGCUAAUAGUUUUUUCUGCUGCAGUGUCCUCAGGUAAAAUGGCCAUAACUUUUGAUCCGGGAGGAGUUACGGGGCCUGCCACCUAUCAAAUCAAAGAUAUCGACGAGAUCUACAACUUUCAUUCUUUGAGAAUUGAGUAAUAACGAACGAAUGAAGGUAGAAAUUGGACUAGAAAUGACUGUUAUGCAAAUGGCCACCCAAAAUAGCGAAGUUAUUCAACAGUCUCCUGUGCUCCAUUGAUAUUCUCAACAUUCUCGGUUGUCAUUUUCAAAUACUGCCACAAAACAAGGGUUAAAUAACAUCACAUAUUAUCUCUAUACUCUGACCGACCAAUUAAAUACCAAAUAAACUUAGGUAGGUCAUACUAGUUCCCCGUCUCUCCCCACCUAGUUCUUAUCUUACAUUUUAGUCAUGGAUCAUAUCCCUAAGCUUUGAUACCAACUGUGACGCCCCCAAAAUAAGUAUACAUCACCUAUUCUGAGUCGCCAAAUACAUGAUAUAAAAUACAAAUACAAUCUUAAAUAUACAACAUAAGUUGUGAGUUUUAAUACAAACAUUGUCUUCUAGACAGUAUUAAAACUCAAAAUAAGUCAUCAAUACAUUUAUUAACACACUAUUUCACAGAAUAGUGAGGACUACUAAUGCUAUCCUCUGGACCAUUACUCCAUUCCCCGACUCGUCCCAGCUAUAUUCUCAUUUCCUGAAGAGAACAAUGAAAGAAAGGGUGAGCUCAACUAGCCCAAUAAGAAAUAUUAUGACUAAGAUAAUGCAGAAUAAAUUAUCAUUAGUCUUCAACAAUGUUAAACUGAUAAAAUACAAUAACUGCAGCGAAAUAAGUAAUCCAUUAAAAGAGUCAAGUAGAGAAUAAAAUCUACUAUCUUUUAUGAUUUAAAAGGAUUUUCAUCACUUUUAUCGCUGAGACUCAGUUUAAUAAAUAAUCCACAUCAUCGAAUCACCCCUGCACUACGGCCAAGGAUAUUCUUUAGUAUUACAACCAUAAAUAUCCAUGCACUACGGGCCAAGGACAUUCGUGUAUUCAUUAAUGGUCAUGAUCAUGCCAAAAACUGUCCAACAAUACACUACGGUCAAUGAGGACUUUUACCACAUCAUUUGUAACAUUACGGUCGUAAUUAUACUGAAUAAUCCCUGGUUAUAAUCAUACCAAGUCCAUCUAUACACUACAGGCCACAGAUGACUUUCAACAGAAUAUAAACAUGAGGACGAUGACAAUGAUAUAUGAAUUCAAUAAAACAAGUUCAAGAAUUUAUUUGUCCAGGAACCAAUAACGUCCAAAUUGUCAACAAGAUACUGUUUUGUGGGAUAAAAUUCAAGAAUGCUCAGAAGAAUAUUUUCAUAAAAAGAUAUUGGAUGAAGCGCAAAUAUCAAGGAUAUUCCACUAAUUUCAUGGAGUAUAGAAGUCAAAACUUUAACCAACUGAGUAUAAUAAAGAAUGAAAUAACAAAAGAAAUCACCAUGCACGUGGUACUUCGCAUAGACUGGUUAUUCCAACAGAAUAAUAAAUAACGGAACCAGGUUAGGCAAAAUUCGCACCGAUAGGAUGUUCCAACUGAAUAAUAAAGAAUGGAAUAACAACAGAAAUCACCAUGCAUACGGUACUUCGCAUAGACAGGUUAUUCCAACAGAAUACUAAAUAACAGAACCAGGUCCGGCGUAAAACGCACAGACAGGAUAUUCCAACACAAUAAUAAAGGCGGAACCAGGUCCGGCGUAAAAGUCACAGACAUGAUAUUCCAACAGAAUAAUAAAUACGGAACCAGGUCCGGCGUAAAACGCACAGACAGGAUAUUCCAACAGAAUAAUAAAGAAGAAAAUAACAGAAGAAUUUCAUCAAAUAUAGGGUAGCCCGCGUAUACAGGUUAUUCCAACAGAAUAAUAAAGAAUGGAAUAACAGAAGUUCUCUUCAUGAAUACAAAAGAAAUAAUACCCCUUACAGUUACAACAAAUAAUAUCCAUUACCGUAAAAGAAACUGGAUAUAGGAAAAUAAAGUUAGCAGACUUCUCUUCUUCUUUCUCUCUAUAAUUUUCUCUCUUUAAAGUUUCAGUGAAUUCGUAAGAAAUAAUGAAGGAAUGAACUUCUAUUUAUAGAAGAAUGGACUGCAUAGUAACUAAUUCAUGAACGGUCCAGAUUGAUUUACUUUUAAUCGAACGAUCCAUAAUUAAAGCAAAGUUUUUUAAAUAAAAUAUAAUAUAUUAUAUAUAUAACAUGUGCAAGAAAAGAAAAAUCACGGGUGGAAGACCCGUGAAUUCAUCUUACUCCCUCUGUCCAUUUUUUCAAACUUACAUAUAUAUAAUAUAAUAUAAUAUAAUAUACAUAAUAAUACUCCUCCCGUCCAUUUCAUCCAUACCCCCCCACCCAAGACUUUUCAUCACAUAUAUAAUAUAAAACAUAUAUAUAUAUAUAUAUAUAUAUAUAUAUAUAAUACUCCCACUAACUUUUCCUUCAACCAACCCGUGACAAACAUAACAUUUCACCCAAGACUUUCCUCCACAAAUGGGCCCCACCCGUGGCCCUCCUAAAAUAACUUCUAUCGAUUAUUUUGAAAACUGGAUAAAUAGGGAUCCAUAAAAUACGUCAAAAUUCACAACAAUUACUAUAACAAUAAUUGAACAAAACUGAGUAGUUCAACAGUAUUAACGGUAAAACUUCCGCCGUUACUUUCAAUAAAAUAUUUUUGUCGUUUUCUCAAUCCGACAAUAAUUCUGUUGUGGGGUCCACCAAUGAUUGUACCGUCGUACGGAUAUUCCCUGACAAAAAGAAUAUUUCCCGACCAAUCGAAUAUAAUAUGACAACUUGCAUACUUUGCAAAAUUUAUAAAUAUUACCCACAAUUAUAAUAUUAUAUCAAAUUAUUCCAUAAUAUUCAAAAAUGAUAUUUAUUGAAAAUUCAUUUUUAUUCAUAAAAGUUGGGGUCUUACAGUAGUUAAAUUCUUAUUUUUGACAUUUUUCAAAUAUUUCAUCCAUGCUUUUACAAUAGACAUCUUUCACUUUGAUGGCGUUUGACAUGCUUACAACAAGUAAUAGAAAUCAUUUUACAGUCAUUAUUUGCAUUAAUCAAGCAUGUUAGUCACAUAGUCAAGUCGUAGUUUCAAUGGUAAUGAAUAGAUUUCUUAUAUGUAAUACAUUUUUCAAAUAUCUCAUCCAUGCUUUUAUCAUCACCAUUUUUCUCUUUGAUGGGGUGUAGUAUGAUAAUAACAUGCAACCAUACAUAUGUAUAGUUACACCAUAUUAAGAACUUAGUUACAUGAAGUUUUCAUGCUUUGCUUAGAGACUUCUAGCAUACAAGGUGCUUUUGUAACUUAUUUUAUGCCUUUGAAAAUAUUCACAACUUGGUUGAGUAAUUUAUAGUUCUUAUAACACUUUUUAGCUUUAUUCUUGUAUACAAAAGUGUAUCAUUCUUGAUUUUCCUCUCUUUCCCAAAAUAGUCCUAACAUGAUCUAUUUGGGGCAAUCAAGCUAGCUUCUCUUGACCAUUUGGGCUUAGUCAGGCUUGGGGUAGCCUAGAUUGGCCUUGCAGUCCCAAUUGGCCUCUAUCUAUGGCAUGAUUUUAUUAAUACCCUCUUCUAUUAAGGUUUACUCUCACCUAUAUCACCAUUUGAUUCUGUUAUUUAUAGGUGAGGAUUUCUUUGAACUGCUACAUGUUUGCUACUUACUUGAUUUUGUUUUCUUUCCGUUUGUAGCUAACUACUCACUAGUAGCAGCUCUCUACUUUAGAUACUAAAUUUACUAGCUUUUAAUCUCCCACUAAACUUUUGGGUCAGCAGCUAGGGGACACAACUCCCUAAUAAUAGAGCAUAUUGGUUAAUUAUCUUAAGCAAUAUAGUUGUAUUGUCUGAAGGUCUAAAGGACAAGUUCAUUACCCAGCUCAGCUACUGUUGCUAUUAGUUGUUAUUUUUCAGUAAUAGAUUGACAGUCUUCAAACUUACCAUGUUUCUUCUUUAAUAACUUUUGUCUAGAAAAUUUCUAUUGCACUAUGUGCACCUUUGAAUACUUGCUUAAAUAAGUAACAAUUACACUCUAUUUAAUUCUGCAGUUUGCAUUUCAAAUCCAAACUACGUUGCCUAUAGCAGUUUAUUGAGGAUGUUUAUUAUUGCCUUAUAGCAACAACCCCCCCUAUUUUGUAAAAUUUCCCAAAUCACAAUUUUAGAUUAACCUAGACUGCCCAAAACCAUUUUAGUAAUGGCUCAUAGCUACAGUUUUAAGCCAACUGUUGCUGCUCCUAGGUAGCAGCUACAUUUGAUUUUGUUUCAUGCCUUGAACUCUCCCUAAUUUUGGUUUACUUGCACUUUAUUUGAAAGUUAUAUAACUAACAUUUUCAACUAAUAGGGAAACUUUAAAUCAAUAGUGAAAUUAUAAUCUAUAUGAUCCAACAUGUUAGCUAAACUGACCCUAGCGAGUCCAGAACAAUGGUCUACAGUCUUCUUUUGUUUUUCUAUGCCAGCAACCAAGCUUGGCUUGGCCCUGUAAGGCUGAUCACCUAAGCUUGGUGUGGCCCUGCUUGGCCUCACGGUCCCUAAGUCAAAUCCAAAGUUGUUAUAGCAGCUGCUAUCUUGGCAACUGCUGCCAUCAAGGAAUAACAGCCCUGCCACUCUUCUUUAAUUCUUAUACUUGCAAACCCCAGAGGAAUGUUUAUACACUAACUUCAACCAUACAUCCUAGUUAGCUCUUAUAAAGUUAUAUUAAUUUGUUAAACAGACUGCCCAAAACUGCUUUAGCAGUCAUUCACUUGUCGACUGUCGCUGCUUGUUUCUAUAACCAGUAGGCAGCCGUCCCAAGUCUUAUGCCACUAAAAGCUUUUACCUCUUAGAUUGAUAUGAAAUCUUGGCAUGUUAUAGGUGAUUCAAAUUCUGAUUAUUUUUAGCUACCAACUAGACUAGGAGAAAAGCUUGCUAGUGCCACUAAAGGUUAAUAUUUCUGCUGCUGCGACAUGCUUUUUGCUGCUGCUUGCAGCUAAUUGCUGCUGCCAAUGGGCAGCUGCGCCCCUUACUUCAGGCCAUUUUUGGCUUCACAUCAAUUAGCCUAUUCACAACCCACUUUCAUUGAUCAAUAAAUGGUACACCUGCCUUCUAAGCUAACUUAGCAACUGUGGCCCAAAUGUACUAUAUGUAAAUCAAAAUGGUGUGCUAACCUUCCUGCUCGGCUCUGCAGAGCAGUGCAGCACAACGCUGGGCGUUUACUGCCAAUGCCUGCAGUAGCCUCAGCUAGCUUUGCCCAAGCUCAAACAUUUUUUUUUCUUAAAAUUUGUUUUUCUUUCCAUUAAUAUGUCAAAACAUAUUUCCUAAUCUUAUAUAAGACGUCCAUAUAUAACCCCAACUUUAAUUCCCUCUAGAAUUCUCUUUUUAGCCAAAACAGUCCACUUGGGACUUUUAACAAAUAUAUGGUGUGCACAGUUUUAAUUUACUCUUUCCAUAGCCAUUUACUUGUGUUAUAAUCUCAUGUUAGCCUCCUUAUUACUCCACAGCCACCUAUCUCCUUGUGCCUAAAUUACAUACAUCUAGCAUGCUAGUGAAUAACCUUUACAACAAUAAAAAAGUAAAAUAAAUGCUAUGUGACUUUACCAGGCCAUUCGGCCAUAACAGUCCAUCACAACUUGCACGAAAUAGUGUUAAACAAGAUAGUUUAUUACUUGAUAACUUUUCCUUAAAAGUUUGAUAUCACAACUUUUACAGAAGAUUACAAUUACCCAUGACAAGUAUAAUUUACUAACACAUCUACAUUACAACAUUAAUAAUACUAACAAUAUAGCAGCCCCUUCUUUUUUCUUUUCAGGCCAUUCGGCCACUGUAGAUUACUAGCAGCAAGAAACUAAAGUGGAAAAGGAUUGGAAAUCUUACCUUAUUGAUUCGAAGGAAACAAAGAAGUUAUACUGCCCAGCUUCUCCACCUACUCUUAGCCGAACUCUUCCACCCUCUCUCUAUAUGACCGAAUUGCUAUAGCUAUUUUGUCUCUACUAAGUGAUGAAGCUAAACUAGUUAAUAAGCUUGGCCCCUUUUUUAUGGCUGAGCUUGGUUCCUUCUACUGUUAACUGCAUCACCUCCUAGUUGGCCCCUACACAGUCAUCAUUCCUAACCUAGCUUCACAGCCACCCUAGCAGACUCUACUUACCUGCUAAGCCUUAUCUUCUGCAAGCUUAUCUAACAUAUUCUUUGUCUGUUAUACAAACUAACCUACCUGUUAACUAGAACCAACUUAGAAACCAUAUGCUUACAGCCUGACUAUGUACUCACGUUAUGCCACUGCUUUUCUUAUUUAGUCUGAAACAGUUAGCUUGUUAUACACCACUGGGUUUACAGGAUUGGUUUAGGUAGGAGUUUGAUAAAUACUUAAUUUGGGCUUAAACCAAUCCUCAAUGGUGGCUGCCGAAAUUGGGCUAGAAAAUGAGUUAGAAUUGGCUUUAUAUUAGACCCAAUACCAUAACCCUUAUUCCUACAUUAAUUAAAGGAGACUUGCAAACAUACAAUUGCAAAAAUUUAUUAUGGCCUAAUAUUUUAAUAUGGACUCUUGUUAAAUUAACACAUGGACUUUUAUAUAUUAUUUUCUCUAGCAACAAUAGUUAACACAUAUAUCAUUAAAAUGUCUAUUCCAUGUAAUCUUAAAUAAUUCAUGGUGGUACAAUAUUUCUUUAUCCUUCAUAAUUUAAGAUGUUUAAUAACCUAUUAAAUAAAUAAUAGUUUUGUCACAAUGAGAAAUAACAUAAUUAAAAUAAAAUAAAAAAUAUACUCACAAAUUGACAUUAUAAUAAUUAAAUAUUACAUAGGAUUUUUUGAGUCAUUACAUACGCGAUAACUCUGCCGUUCUGCAAAAGCACACAGCCUUGUCCUUUAUGCGAUGCAUCAUUGUAUACCACAAAAUUCCCUGUAUCAUCAGGCAAUGACAACACAGGUGUUGAACUCAACCUUUUCAUUAAUUCUUGAAAACUUUCCUCCCACUUCUCUGUCCAAACAAACUUAACCGUUUUCUAGUUAAAUUCGUCAACGGAGUUGCGAUCUUGAAAAAGUCUUGAAUGAAACGCCUAUAGUAACCCGCCAAUCCUAAGAAACUCCUUACUUCUGACGGUAUCUUCGGCUGAUCCCAGUUUAUUACAGCUUCAACCUUUGAUGGAUCUACCGAAAUUUCGUCCUUAUCAAUAACGUGUCCGAGAAACUGUACACGUUCCAACCAAAACUCACAUUUUGAAAAUUUUGCGUACAACUUUUCUUUUUUCAACGUCUCUAACGUCAAUCUCAAGUGUUCAACAUGUUCCUCUUUGGUCUUGGAAUAUACCAAUAUAUCAUCGAAUCAAAUCCAUGAUAUAUUGGUAUGAACAGGGUGUUUAUAUCAUUUGUCUAAGAAUGGUUUAAACACCUUGUUCAUCAAAUCCAUGAACGCUGCAGGUGCAUUGGUUAAACCAAAAGACAUAACCAGAAACUCAUAAUGACCAUACCGAGUUCUGAACGCUAUUUUUGGUACAUCCUCUGGCCUCACCUUUAACUGAUGAUAACCACUCCUCAAGUCUAUCUUUGAGAAAUAGCUUGUUCCCUUCAGUUGAUCGAACAUGUCAUCGAUUCUAGGUAAUGGAUACUUAUCUUUAAUCGUGAUCUUAUUCAAUUCUCGAUAGCAAUGCAGAGCCGUAUCGAUCCAUCUUUCUUCUUAACAAACAACAUCGGCGCUCCCCAUGGCGACACACUCAGUUGAAUAUACUUUUUGUCGAGUAAUUCUUGCAAUUAUACCAUCAACUCCUUCAUCUCUACUGGGGCCAUUCUAUAUGGUGCAUUAGAUAUCGGGGUCGUUCCUGGUAAUAAGUCAAUUACGAACUCGAUUUGUAGAUCCGGCGGAAGACUCGGCAAAUCGUCUGGAAAUACGUCUGCAAAAUCUCUUAUGAUUGGUAUCUCUUCUAACUUCGCACUCUUCUUUUGUGUAUCGACUAUGUAGGCUAAGUAUCCUACACAUUCUUGUCUCAACAACUUCUUGGCUUGCAUCACCGUUAGACAACUUGCUUGUCGAGGUGACUUGCUGCCGUAGAACACAACCUUUGAUGGAGUCAUAAGGUUAACACAUUUCCUUUCGCAAUCAAUUACUGCUCCGUAAUUGAAUAACCAAUCCAUUCCCAGUAUAACAUCAAACUCACAAAGUCUAAUUGGUAUCAAAUCUACCAUCAUCUCGUGACCUUUUAUAACCACCCUACAAUUCCUAUAUAUAAAUCUAACAGGAAUCACUUCCUUAUUCGCAAUCUCUAUGCUUAAGGGAAAUUCUAAUUCUUCCUGAGGCAAAUCUAAAUUUUGAGCAAAUUCAUUGGAUAUAAAUGAAUAAGUAGCACCCGAAUCAAAUAGUACAUAAGCAUUAAUACCAUUAAUCUAAAUGAUACCUGAGACCACAUCCUUAGACUAUAUAACAUCCUGCACGGUCAUAUUAAAAGUCCUCGCAGUAGGUCGACUUUGUGACGCCCCCAAAAUUAGGUAUACAUCACCCAUCUUGGGUCGCCACUUACAUGGUACAAAAUACAAAUACAACUUAAUUAUACAACAGUCGUGUAAGCUACGACAAAAUAUAAACAAUGAGUUUUAACUCGAAUAUUGUCAUCUAGACAUUAUUCAAACACAAAUAAGUCCUCAAUACAUUUAUUGUCACACUAUUUAACAAAAUAGUGAGGACUACUAAUGCUAUCAUCUGGACUGUCACUCCGUUCCCCGACUCGUCCCCGUUACGUUCUCAAUUCCUGAAGAGAAUAGUGAAAGAAAGGGUGAGCUCAACUAGCCCAACAAGAAAUAUUAUGACUAAGAUAAUGCAGAAUAAAUUAUCAUUAGUCUCCAACAAUGUUAAACUGAUAAAAUACAAUAGACAUCAAGUUUAACUGCAGCGGAACAAGCAAUCCAUUAAAAGAGUCAAGUAGAGAAUAAAACCUACUAUNNNNNNNNNNNNNNNNNNNNNNNNNNNNNNNNNNNNNNNNNNNNNNNNNNNNNNNNNNNNNNNNNNNNNNNNNNNNNNNNNNNNNNNNNNNNNNNNNNNNNNNNNNNNNNNNNNNNNNNNNNNNNNNNNNNNNNNNNNNNNNNNNNNNNNNNNNNNNNNNNNNNNNNNNNNNNNNNNNNNNNNNNNNNNNNNNNNNNNNNNNNNNNNNNNNNNNNNNNNNNNNNNNNNNNNNNNNNNNNNNNNNNNNNNNNNNNNNNNNNNNNNNNNNAAUAAUUAAAACGGAACCAGGUCCGGCGUAUAGCACAGACAGGAUAUUCCAACAGAAUAACUGAAUAAUUAAAACGGAACCAGGUCCGGCGUAGCACAGACAGGAUAUUCUAACAGAAUAACCGAAUAAUUAAAACGGAACCAGGUCCGGCGUAUAGCACAGACAGGAUAUUCCAACAAAAUAACUGAAUAAUUAAAACGGAACCAGGUCCGACGUAUAGCACAGACAGGAUAUUCCAACAGAAUAAUAAAGACAGAAUAAUAGAAGAAUGUCACCAAGUAUAGGGUUGCCCGCGUAUACAGGUUAUUCCAACAGAAUAAUAAAGAAAUGGAAUAACAGAAGUUCUCUUCUUGAAUACAAAAGAAUAAUAUUCCUUACCAGAAAAGAACUUAAUAUAAGAGUAGUUUCAGUAGCAGAAUACUUUUCUUCUUUCUCUCUUACAAUUUAUCUCUCUAGAGUUUCAAUGAAUUUGUAAGAAAAUAAUGAAGGAAUGAGCUUCUAUUUAUAGAAAAAUGGAAUGCAUAGUAACUAAUUCAUGAACGGUCCAGAUUGAUUUACUUUUAAUCGGACGGUCCAUAAAAUAUAUUAUAUAUAUAUAAUAUAUAUAUAUAUAUAUAAUAACAAUAAUACUCCCUCCGUAUAAACCAAAAAAAUAAUUUGACAACUUUGAAAAAAACUCCCAACCUUUCAAUUUUCAAUACCGUGGGCCCCACAUGUUCCCCUCCCCCCAACAUGUCAAUAUCACAAGGGUCUCAUUAUAUGUAAAUAACUUUCUAUCAAUAAUAUUGAAAAAUAGGUAAAUGGGGGUCUAAAUAAUACGCCAAAUUUACAACAACUACCUCAUAAAAAUCCCUUCAAUAUUUUUAACAAUAUUUAUCAUCUUUAUUACAAUUCACAAUAUUAAUCGACCAGGUCGUUCCCAGGAUAGAGGGGGCUUUCCAAUAAGGAUUUCUCUCUAUUGGCGCGCAAUUAGAUUAUCUAACCUCUCCUUGACAGAACUUCUAGACAUCGUUAAUAUUGCAAAUAAUAACAUUAAUAACUUUGUCGUCUCAAUUAUUGAUUUAAUAAUAUAAAGAAUAUCAACAAUAAUUGAAUCAAAUAACGUGAGAUACUAUGCAACAAUUACUAUAACAAUAAUUGAAUAAAACUGAAUGACUUCUCACGUAAGCAUAAAUAAUCAAUACCGUGUGCUACUAUGCAACCACGCGUAUUACUGUACUUUUACUACUGAGUAGUUCAACAGUAUCAACGGUAAAACUUCCGUCGUUAUUUUCAUAAAAAUAUUUUUGUCGUUUUCUCAAUCCGACAAUAAUUCUGUUGUGGGGUCCACUAAUGAUUGCGCCGUUGUACGAAUAUUUCCUGCUAAAACGAAUAUUCCCCAACCAAUCGAAUAUAAUAUAGCAACUUGCAUACUUUGCAAAACUUAUAAAUACUACCUUCAACUAUAACAUUAUAUUAAAUUUAUUGCAUAAUAUUCAAAAAUGAUAAUUAUAGAAAAUUUAUCUUUAUUCAAAAAGUUGGGGUCUUACAACCCCCCCUUCUUAAGAAAUUUCGCCCUCGAAAUUAGGGUACGUACCUGGUAUAUCGAAGAGGUAAGGAUACCUUGAUUUCAUUUUAGAUUCUAACUCCCAGGUCAUUUCCUCAACAUCGUGGUUUCUCCACAAAACUUUGACUUGAGGUAUAACCUUGGAGCGUAAAAUAUGUUCCUUGUUAUCCAAGAUUUGAACAGGAACCUCUUUAUACGUUAAAUCUUCCGCUAUUUCGUCUGGUUCUAGCUCAAUAAUGUGGUUCGGGUCUUCCACAUAUUUACGUAACAUGGAUAUGUGAAAAAUGUUAUGAACACCAGACAUACUAGGCGGUAAAGCGAGUCUAUAGGCCACAGUUCCUACUCGAUUGAGGAUUAAAAAUGGGCCAAUGAAUCGAGGAUUGAGCUUUCUUAUCUUUCCAAAUCUCGUAACACCUUUCCAUGGAGCAACAUGUAACAACACAUGAUCUCCAAUAUCGAAUUCCACGUCCUUUCGAUGAAGAUCAGCAUAACUCUUUUGUCGAUCUUGUGAGGUUUUUAUACGUUGUCGAAUCGUUUGAAUCUUUUCCGUAGUCAUACGUACCAACUCCGGUCCCAACAACGUUGCUUCACCCACCUCAUCCCAGCAUACUGGAGAACAACACUUUCUCCCAUACAACGCCUCAAAUGGAGCCAUGCCAAUACUUGCUUGAUAACUAUUGUUAUAGGAAAACUCCACCAAUGAUAAGAACUUAUCCCAACUUCCAUUGAAGUUAAGGACACAGAGUCUUAAUAAAUCUUCUAGAGUUUGAAUAGUCCUCUCUGAUUGUCCGUCCGUCUGAGGAUGAUAUGCUGAACUAAAUCGUAAAUCUGUGCCCAUAGCUUUUUGCAAACUAACCCAAAAUCAUGAAGUGAAUCUUGGGUCUCGAUCAGAAACUAUGGAUACUGGCAUACCAUGCAGUCUUACAAUCUCGUUUAUGUACAUACGAGCAAGACGUUCAAGUGUAUAAGUUUCUCGUAUAGGUAAGAAAUGAGCAGACUUGGUCAAUCUAUCAACAAUGACCCAAAUUGCAUCUAUGCCUUGAGAAACCUUGGGAAGACCAGUAACGAAAUCCAUGGUAAUGUGCUCCCACUUCCAUUCUGGAAUUUCAAGUGGUUGCAAUGGACCUUUUGGUACUUGAUGCUCCGCCUUGACUCGUUGACAAGUUAGACACCUUGAGAUAAACACCGCUAUCUCUCUCUUCAUAUUGCUCCACCAAAAUGUAUGUCGAAGAUCAUGAUACAUUUUGGUACUCCCAGGAUGGAUUGCAAACGGUGUGUUGUGCGCCUCCAUCAUGAUUUUAUACUUUAAAUCAGGGUCGUUAGGAACACAAAGUCUGGAGUUGACUCGAAGUAUUCCUUCUUCAUCGAUUCUUGCUUCCGACAUAACACCUUCUUGCACUUUCUUCCUCAUACGCAUCAGCUCCAGGUUUGUAGUUUGAGCAGCUUUAACUUUAUCAAUUAAAGUCGAUUAUACUCGUAUGUUCGCCAUCAUCACAUGGGUCCCUGGAGUCUUUAACUCCAUCUCCAUCCUUUGCAAGUCAUACAAAAUGGGCCUUUGUGUUGACAAUAUUGCACUCGUACCCACAUAUGAUCUUCUACUCAAUGCGUCAGCUACCACGUUCGUUUUUCUAGGAUGGUAUUGGAUGGUAUGAUCAUAAUCUUUCAACAGUUCAAGCCAACGUCGUUGUCGCAUGUUGAGUUCCUUUUGAGUGAAGAAAUAUUUAAGGCUUUUAUGAUCCGUAAAGAUCUCCACUUUCUCCCCAUACAAGUAAUGCCUCCAAAUCUUUAGUGCGAAGANNNNNNNNNNNNNNNNNNNNNNNNNNNNNNNNNNNNNNNNNNNNNNNNNNNNNNNNNNNNNNNNNNNNNNNNNNNNNNNNNNNNNNNNNNNNNNNNNNNNNNNNNNNNNNNNNNNNNNNNNNNNNNNNNNNNNNNNNNNNNNNNNNNNNNNNNNNNNNNNNNNNNNNNNNNNNNNNNNNNNNNNNNNNNNNNNNNNNNNNNNNNNNNNNNNNNNNNNNNNNNNNNNNNNNNNNNNNNNNNNNNNNNNNNNNNNNNNNNNNNNNNNNNNNNNNNNNNNNNNNNNNNNNNNNNNNNNNNNNNNNNNNNNNNNNNNNNNNNNNNNNNNNNNNNNNNNNNNNNNNNNNNNNNNNNNNNNNNNNNNNNNNNNNNNNNNNNNNNNNNNNNNNNNNNNNNNNNNNNNNNNNNNNNNNNNNNNNNNNNNNNNNNNNNNNNNNNNNNNNNNNNNNNNNNNNNNNNNNNNNNNNNNNNNNNNNNNNNNNNNNNNNNNNNNNNNNNNNNNNNNNNNNNNNNNNNNNNNNNNNNNNNNNNNNNNNNNNNNNNNNNNNNNNNNNNNNNNNNNNNNNNNNNNNNNNNNNNNNNNNNNNNNNNNNNNNNNNNNNNNNNNNNNNNNNNNNNNNNNNNNNNNNNNNNNNNNNNNNNNNNNNNNNNNNNNNNNNNNNNNNNNNNNNNNNNNNNNNNNNNNNNNNNNNNNNNNNNNNNNNNNNNUCAAAAUCCAAUUUCUCCGGAGUCAAAUUUAAACGUUGAGCGCAAGUAGGAGAAAUGAAAGAGUGGGUAGAACCAGUAUCAAAUAAAGUAUAAACUUCGCUAGAGUUUAUGAUAAGCUUACCCGUGAUGACCUCGUUCGGGUUCUUUACUUUUUGGGAGGUUACAACAAAUGCUCUUCCUUGCACUACCGACUUUGACUUUUCUGGGAUGGCCUUUGGUGACUCUAUCCUAACUGAACUUGUCUUCGGUGCACGACAAAAUCGAGCCAGGUGACCUUCUCUUCCACAGUUGUAACAUGCUUUGGAUGGCAUCGCACAGUUGGGACUGAUGUGUCCCUCUCCUCCACACUUGAAACAUAUGAUAGGUGGUCGUUCCCCUUCCUUAACGACAGGUGCUGAUGUUGACGUCUUUCCAUCAUUGUUGAAUCUCCUCUUUUUGAAAUGUCCAUUUUUAUUGUUUUGGCCAUGAUUACCACCGAAGUGGUUACCAUUUCUGGCCUUUUGAUUUCCUCCACGCUUGUUGUCACCGCUUUGAUGACUGUUCUCACUGGUAUUAUCAUUUUAUUGGCUGCUCUCUUUUGGUUGGCUUAACUCGUUAUCACGCUCCAAUAACUGAGCCCUAUUAACAACAUCCGAAUACAAACACAGUUUAUGAGAGAUAAGAUAUUGACGUAUCUCAGGUUUCAAACCUCUUAAAAACAUUCGCGUCAUUCUCUCCUCAUUAUCAACCAAAUGGGACGCAAACUGGGACAACUCGGCAAACUUGGCUUUGUACUGCGAUACUGUCAUGUUGUUUUGUUCCAGCCUGAUGAACUCUACCUCUUUCAUGUGACGAAUACUUUUGGGAAAGUACUUGUCGUUGAACAAUUCUUUGAACUUCUCCCAAGUCAUCUUCAGUGCGGCAGGUUGAGUACGCUUUACAGAUUCCCACCAGUAAUCUGCCUCUCCUCGCAACAUGAAGGUGGCAAAGGAAAUCUUUUGUUCCUCGGAGCAUCCCAAGACAUCAAAUAUCUUGGUAAUCUACUUUAUCCAUGUCUCCGCCUUAAGUGGUUUUGGUUCUCCAAUAAACUUCGGUGGUCCCAGCUCCUUGAACUGUUUGGCGGUGACCAUCCGAGAGUUGCUAGUGUUUUCACCUGCAUUUUGGACAGGAGCCGCUCCUGCCUGAUGUUGUAUGAAUUGCAUGAAUCCUCGAAACAUUUUGUUGUUCAAUAUUUGGUCAGUGUUGUUGUUUGCAUGAGGAUUUUUGCCUUCCUGAUGCACAUUGUCCUGAUUGUUGAUCUGUGGAGACUCAACGGUCUCCUGUGCUCCAUUGAUGUUCUCAACGUUCUCGGAUGCCAUUUUCAAAUACUGCCACAAAACAAGAGUUAAUUAACACAUCACAUAUUAUCCCUAUACUCUAACCAACCAAUUAAAUAACAAAUAAACUUAGGUAGGUCAUACUAGCGAAGGAAUUCCCCGUCUCUCCCCUCCUAGUUCUUAUCUCACAUCUUAGCCAGGGAUCAUAUCCCUAACCUCUGAUACCAACUGUGACGCCCCCAAUAUUAGGUAUACAUCACCCAUCUUGGGUAGCCACUUAUAUGGUACAAAAUACAAAUACAACUUAAUUAUACAACAGUCGUGUAAGAUACGACAAAAUAUAAACAAUGAGUUUUAACUCGAAUAUUGUCAUCUAGACAGUAUUCAAACACAAAUAAGUCCUCAAUACAUUUAUUGUCACACUAUCUAACAGAAUAGUGAGGACUACUAAUGCUAUCAUCUGGACUGUCACUCCAUUCCCCGACUCAUCCCCGCUACGUUCUCAAUUCCUGAAGAGAACAGUGAAAGAAAGGGUGAGCUCGACUAGCCCAGUAAGAAAUAUUAUGACUGAGAUAAUGCAGAAUAAAUUAUCAUUAGUCUCCAACAAUGUUAAACUGAUAAAAUACAAUAGACAUCAAGUUUAACUGCAGCGGAACAAGCAAUCCAUUAAAAGAGUCAAGUAGAGAAUAAAAUCUACUAUCUUUUAUGAUUUAAAAGGUUUUUCAUCACUUUUAUCGCUGGGACUCAGCUUAAUAAAUAAUCCACAUCAUCGAAUCACCCCUGCACUACGGCCAAGGAUAUUCUUUAGUAUCACGACCACAAUUAUCCAUGCACUACGGGCCAAGAAUAUUUGUGUAUUCAUUAAUGGUCAUGAUCAUGCCAACAACUGUCCAUCAAUGCACUACGGGCCAAUGAGGACUUUUUCCACAUCAUUUGUAACAUUACGGUCAUGAUUACACCGAAUAAUCCCUGGUCAUAAUCAUACCAAGUCCAUCUAUGCACUACAGGCCACAGAUGACUUUCAACAAAAUAAUAACAUGAGGAUGAUGACAAUGAUAUAAGAAUUCAAUAAAAUAACUUUCAAGAAUUAAUUUGUCCAGGAAUCAAUAACGUCCAAAUUGUCAAUAAGAUAUUGUUUUGUGGUGUAAAUUAUUCAAGAAUGCUCAGAAGAAUAUUUUCAUGAAAAGAUAUUGGAUGAAGUGCAAAUAUCAAGGAUAUUCCAUUAAUUUCAUGGAGUAUAAAAGUCAAAAUUUUAACCAACUGAGUAUAAUAACGAAUGGAAUAACAAAAGAAAUCACCACGCAUGCGGUACUUCGCAUAGACAGGUUAUUCCAACAGAAUAAUAAUAACGGAACUAGGUCAGGUGAGAUUCACACCGACAGGAUGUUCCAACAGAAUAAUAAAUAAUUAAAACGGAACCAGGUUCGGCGUUUAGCACAGACAGGAUAUUCCAACAGAAUAACUGAAUAAUUAAAACGGAACCAGGUCUAGCGUAUAGCACAGACAGGAUAUUCCAAAAAAAUAACUAAAUAAUUAAAACGGAACCAGGUCCGGCGUAUAGCACAAACAGGAUAUUCAAACAAAAUAAUAAAGACAGAAAAAUUGAAGAAUGUCACCAAGUAUAGGGUUGCCCGCGUAUACAGGUUAUUCCAACAGAAUAAUAAAGAAAUGGAAUAACAGAAGUUCUCUUUUUGAAUACAAAAGAAUAAUAUUCCUUACCGUAAAAGAACUUAAUAUAAGAGUAGUUUCAGUAGUAGAAUAAUUUUCUUCUUUCUCUCUUACAGUUUAUCUCUCUAGAGUUUCAAUGAAUUCGUAAGAAAAUAAUGAAGGAAUGAGCUUCUAUUUAUAGAAAAAUGGAAUGCAUAGUAACUAACUGAUGAACGGUCCAGAUUGAUUUACUUUUAAUCGGACGGUCCAUAUUUAAAGUAAAAUCUUUUAAAUAAAAUAUAUUAUAUAUAUAUAUAUAUAUAUAAACAAUAAUACUCCCUCCGUAUAAACCAAAAAAAUAAUUUGACAACUUUGAAAAAAACUCCCAACCUUUCAAUUUUCAAUACCGUGGGCCCCACAUGUUCCCCUCCCCCAACAUGUCAAUAUCACAAGGGUCCCAUUAUAUUUAAAUAACUUUCUAUCAAUAAUGUUGAAAAAUAGGUAAAUGGGGGUCUAAAUAAUACGCCAAAUUUACAACAACUACCUCAUAAAAAUCUCUUCAAUAUUUUUAACAACAUUUAUCAUCUUUAUUAAAAUUCACAAUAUUAAUCGACCAGGUCGUUCCCAGGAUAGAGGGGAUUUUCCAAUAAGGAUUUCUCCCUAUUGGCGCGCAAUUAGAUUAUCUAACCUCUCCUUGACAGAACUUCUAGACAUCAUUAAUAUUGCAAAUAAUAACAUUAAUAACAUUGUCGUCUCAAUUAUUGAUUUAAUAAUAUAAAGAAUAUCAACAAUAAUUGAAUCAAAUAACGUGAGAUACUAUGCAACAAUUACUAUAACAAUAAUUGAAUAAAACUGAAUGACUUCUCAUGUAAGCAUCAAUAAUCAAUAUCGUGUGCUACUAUGCAACCACGCGUAUUACUGUACUUUUACUACCGAGUAGUUCAACAGUAUCAACCGUAAAACUUCCGCCGUUAUUUUCAUAAAAAUAUUUUUGUCGUUUUCUCAAUCCAACAAUAAUUCUGUUGUGGGUUCCACCAAUGAUUGCGUCGUUGUACGAAUAUUCCCCGCUAAAACGAAUAUUCUCCGACCAAUCGAAUAUAAUAUAGCAACUUGCAUACUUUACAAAACUUAUAAAUACUACCCACAACUAUAACAUUAUAUUAAAUUUAUUCCAUAAUAUUCAAAAAUGAUAAUUAUAGAAAAUUCAUCUUUAUUCAAAAAGUUGGGGUCUUACAGACUUGACUGUGCUGAUCCAGAGAUAGUUAAUGUACCACCAACGUUGUUGUUUCCUUUUCCACCACUUGCACUUCCUGCUGGCUUCUUAGGGCAAUCACGAGCCAUGUGAUCCUACGAACCGCAGGUAAAACAUGCUCCUUUAUUUGGACUAAAACAGUUCAGUGUAAUGUGUCCCUCCUGACCACAGUUGAAACACACCCGCUUUCCCUUCAAACAUACUCCAUUAUGAUUGUUUCCAUAAGUCGCAUAAGCUUCAAACUUUUUCUUCUGCUGAUUUCCUUGUUGUCCUCCCGCAGUCGAAUUUUCACUCCACUUCCUCUUCUGAUUGUUAUUUCCAACGUUACUUCCACCAGCCUUAUUUUCAUUCUCAGUCUUCCUCUUCUUAUAUUCUUGGUUGUACUUGGUCAAGGCAUCGCUUUCACCUUCUGCGAUAAUUGCCUUUUCCAGUAUAACCGCAAAUGUAUUUAACUGAAAUAUUGAAACCUUGCUAUACAGCCAGGGUUUCAAUCCAUGUUCGAACCUUAUCGCCUUUCGUUCAUCAGUAUUGACUUAAUAAGUGGCAAACCUUGCCAAUUCAUUAAACUUCGCAGCAUAUUCUGGCACCGUCAUAGUUCCUUGUUUCAGUUCCAGAAAUUGCAUUUCCAACUUAUUCUGAGAACUCGCUGGAAAGUACAUUUCAAAAAAUAUCUCCUUAAAUCUAUCCCACGCUAUCACUCCUUGUCCCCCACGAACCUUAUUUGCCUGCCACCAGUAGCUAGCUUCAGACUUCAGCAUGAACGUUGUGAACGCAGUCUUCUGAUCCUCGUUGACUCUAGAAACGUUGAACACUUUCUCCAUUUCCAUGAUCUAGGUUUGGGCUUCUACUGGAUUCAUAGACCCUUGAAACUCUGGCGGUCCAACCGCUUUGAAUUCCUUAAAGGUCAUGACUUGAGCUUGCGGUUGAUUCGCAAGUGCACCUGUUAACAAGGUUACCAACUGCUGAACCGGGUUAGCAUUGGCCUCGUUAUUAUUUUUAGUAGACCCCUCAGGAGGUGGUUGUUGACGUGUUUUUCUUCUUCUAGGAGGCAUUUUCUGUUAAGAUAUACGCUCAUUAGUUCAUUACUCAACUUCUUGAUUAUUUGAAGUUUAACUUAAAUAUUCUAAGAUUAAAGUUAUAACACAUAACAUUUCAAAUAAACUCUGGUAUUUUAUUCAUUCAUAAUGUUUUAAAACAUAUUAAAGAUAGCAUAACCGCUAUUAACAUUCACUUUCCUGAACUAAGCAAGUUUUAGGAUUACAUAUUCAUACUACCCCUUUAUUUAUCUCAAAAUAAGGGAUUCACAGUUUAUAUACUCACUUACUUAACCACGUAUUAUUAUUCUCAUUCUUUCUAUCUAGACAUAUUAAGAUGUCGUAAGGCUUCUCUAUGUUCUUCCUCCAUAAUUCGAUACAUCGUUCUACGAUCCAUCAUGAACUACAACGAAUCUUCAAAUUGAGGUGGAUAAUAAAAGACUCGAUCCUGGGCCCUAUCAAUUGCAGAAUUAAAGGCAUAAUCCAUCCCAUUCAUCUUGGCCUUCUUCACUUGAACUUUAUCCUCGGCACGGUCUGCACGUUAAGUCACCUUUAUCCAAGCGUCCUCUGCUCUCGUACGUUUAGUUGAAUCCUCUUUCAAGUCAUCUUUUAACUUCUCCACAUCAGUCUUCAUCUUCUUGUUCACUGCCAACAAAUCUUCAUGCUGACCCUUGGUAUGAAAUAGGUCCCACUCCGUGUUUCCAAGUCUUGAGUCGAGUUCUUGAAUCUCCGCAUCCUUCUGCUCUAUCGUAGCGUGAUGCAUCUCAACCAACUCCUUCAGCUCCUGAACUUUGUCUUGUAAUUCUAUGUUACGAUCGUACAGAGCAUCAUACAUCUCAGCUGAUAUGGAGCUUUGUGGAAACGCCACAGGAUCCUCUUCCUCAUCAUCCAACUCUAUCUCUUCAGAACUAUCCUCCUCGGGAUCGGUCACAGGUUCAUCCUCCUGGAUCAACUGUUCACGCAUAACAUGAAUAUCCCGGGGUUCCUCAUCUCUAGGUAUCUGAGGUAUUACUUCCCUAGCUGGAAUGGAUCCUCCUUCAUUAGACAUCCUAACAACAAAAUAUUUUAAGUUUACUUAACAUUUUUCGAUACUCGCGAGCACAUAAGUUAUUACACAUAGCACAUAAUGUCUUUUAUUAUUUAUCUUCAAUGGAUAGCUUAAUCCAUUCAUUAAAACUCGAUAAGAGUUAGACACCUCUAUAUUUUCUGUCUUCUUAAAGGUUACUUCCUAAGGUUUCCCCACCUAAGGUUCAUAACCUAAAGCUCUGAUACCAACAUGUGACACCCCCAAAUCUGGGUAUUCCUUUUCCACAGGAUUUGGUGCUCACUAUCCAAAACCAUUACAUCUAACUACCCAUAACAAAGGAUAAAGACAUAAUUUAAAUAACUUAACAAUAAUCUUCCCAUUAAAGGGUUACAUCGUCAUAAAACAAUCCCAAAUAAUUUAAUCUUAAAUUAUUACAUAAGUUUGCGGAAUACAUCAUAAAAUAAAACAAGUCUUAUAACAUAAACAUUUAAAUAAACUUUCAUAAAUCUUCAACACUUGGACAUCUUUCCCUUUUCUUUGCUAGUAGAUGGCUCAUCGACUUUCUCAACUUUAGCUGCAGUGUUAAAUGCAAGAGUGAGCAAACAAUUGCUCACUGAUAUAGAGAGUAGUAAUGAUAACAACAUAAGAUUAAACAACGAAUGCUGAACAAUAAUGAAAUUGUUCUAUGAAUAAAAAAUAGAAAACAAGUUCAAAUUUAAUAUCUGAGGGUCUUAAGACCACGAACUAUGUCCCCGAUAUUUAGGUAUUAUUACCCAACCUUAACAGUCAUUUAGACUAUACAAACCCUUCUUAACGUACUUAGGGGGAUCAGCCCUUUGUACCAUGUAUUGUGCACAAACAUCUAAACGUUACACGUACAAAAUCCCCUAUGUUAGGGUUGUUCGUCUCAGCUUGAAUUUAGAAUUUCUGCACUAAAGAGAGUUUAGCUCGGAACUAACUUAUCAAUGGUUCUAGAAUUUUAGAACACUACUCAAUUAUAGACUAAUUCAAUCAAUAAGAGUUUGCUUGCUACUUGAAGAUUUAAUAUAACAAAAAUAGAAUUGAACAAGGCUAUCAAAGUCAAAGAUCGAAUAUCAACAAUAUACAGUUGAGCACUACAACAAAAAAGCUUAUCAGCGACCGCCUAUCAGCGACCGCCUGUGGUCGCUGAUAUCUAUCUGCGACCGUCUACUCGAGUAAACAUGAUAUACAUGCAAAGUACUAUAUCCAAAAGAGUUAGAAUAAUCUCCUUUGAAUCAAUGUAUUAGAACAAUAUAUUCUUUUGAAUAACAAUAUCAAGAUUUAGGAAAGUGAAACUCGCUCAAUGUAACAAACUAGAUUACAAGAGAUUGUACGAUACACGAGAUAGAAUCAAUAGGCUUGCUGAACUUUAAUGUAAAAUUUAGAAUUAGAAAGCUUGUUUGACAUAAAAGAUAACAUAGCUAUGAAACUUGCAUUCAUUAAUAAAAGAAUGAAGUUAGAAAACUUGCUCAAUAAAAGUUUAGGAUAAGAAACUUGCCUUGUAUGUAAGCUACACAAGUGUAAUAAUGUUCGCCAAUUACCCUACACAUAUCAUUGGAAUCGCAAUAACAAUUAGUUGUAUUAUUAUUAGCUUUAAGGGUUUAAACCACCAUUUAGGUCAUAACCUUAACUUAACAUCUAACCAUGUUGGUUAACACCUUUAACAAAUCUAAAAUCCCUCUAUAAACUAACAUAAACUUUAUCAUUCAUUUCUUACUUUCAUAAACAUUAUUUUUUUAUUCAUUACAUAACUUAAUUAAAUAAUCACUUAAAAUCUUCAUACUUUAUAUUACAUCACGUUGAAAUAUGUUAUUGUAGUUCACGUUAACAUGUAUGCCAAACUAGAUUAAGUCCAUUAAUCAUAACCUAUAAAUAAGCAGAAGUCAUUGCCUAGGCUCAGGGCACGGCGCAGCUGCGCUGUCCCAAGCCUUGGCAUCGGCACAGCUGCGCCGUACACGGACAGGAACUGCAGCAGCAGCUCUGUUACACAGCACACACCAAAACUCAAUCAAAUUUCACAGAAAUCAUAAAACUCAACAUCUAAAACUUUGUGAUAACAUUAAUAAUGAUGUUAUUCAUCAUUCUCACUACCUAAACAUUAUAUAUAUUAAAUUUUAAAAGAUCAAAACCCCAAUUUUUCCAAUUUCAUCAUUUUUUUACGCUUUUAGCGAAUUCGAUUGCUACGAAUUCAUUUCUUAAUCAAUUGACACAAUUCAAACUACGUUGUUUUCGUUUCUUAACAUACUAACACAUUCUAACAUCAAAUUACAGAUUAUAGCAAGUAUUGAUCAUGAAAUUUCGUACUUUCUAAAGCCAUUUUUCAAAAAUAAACACUAUUAUUAUAACUUCUUCCUUACAAAGCCAAUUCUCACAUGUUUGGAAAUCAAAUAGCACUCACAUAUAAUGAUUAACAGAUUAUAAACCAUAUAUACAUGUAUUUGUAUUAAUCCAUCGUAAUUAUCAAUAGAAAUUUCAAACAUAAAAGUUAGAAUUAGAGUUAUACCUUACUCCUUUGAUUGUUUGCUAGCAAAAAGAUGGUGACUAGGUUUAGAAAUCCCUCUCCUUGACAAUCAUAAAGAAUUCAAACUCACUGUGUUUUCCUCUCUUGCUCUCUCUCCAAGCUCUCUGUUCUUCACUAAUAUCUAGCCUUAGGGAAAGGAAUAAUACGCGUAAAAAAAUAUACUAACUCCCACUUUCCCCACUAAUGUCAGGUCACAAACCCAAAAGUUUGUGUCAGUUAGAAAUAAGCCAAAGGCCACAGGGCCUUGUUUGGCUAACCACAAUUUCUCCUCUACUAGAUUAUUUUUAUAUUAUUUUUAUUAUAUAGUUUUUAUUUGUCACACUUGCCACCAAUUUAAAUAGCUUACAAUAAUAAUUAUAAUAAUUAUAAUUUUUAUUAUAAUUAUUCUGAUGAUUAAUAAAUAAUUAUAUAUAUAUAAUUUAAUUAAUAAAUUUGACUUAAACAUUACUUUAUUUAAUUUACCUAUUUUCUUUAAUAUAAAAAAAAAUUUAAUUUAAUUUAAUUAUUUCAUUAAAUUAAAUCUUUCAAAUAAAAAAUAGCAUUAUUCAAUUUAAUUAACAUUAAUCAAUUUAGUCACUAAAUUAAUGCACCACAAUUCAUCAAUUAUUUAUUUUUCUCAAUAAAUAAAUUAUUUAAAAUAUUUAUUUAAUUCAAUAAAUAUUUAAAUUAAAUUACAAAUUUCUCGAUCGUUACACUAUUCAUUCGGUUAGUAUUUACCCGGGGUACUAUUCAUGACAAAAAUUGAUUUCUUUUAUGUCCAAAUUAUUUUUGAUACAAUAUUAUUCUUGAAUUUUACUCCACAAUUGGUGAUCAUGUUGACAAUUUAGAUAUUCUUAAACUCUGGAUAAAUUUAAUUAUAAAUAUUUAAUAUUUAUCCUUUAUCUCGUUUGAUUGAUUCUUUAUAUCAUUGUCAUGAUCCUCAUGCUUAUAUUGUGAUAAAAGUCAUCUUUGGCCCGUAGUGCAUAGAUGGACUAUUGGUUAUUGGUUUUACAGUUGUUUUUCUUUGGCCCGUAGUGCAAAGAAGAACUGUUGAUUGAUAUCUUUGGUCGUAGUGCAAAGAUGAAUUGUUGAUUGAUAGCUUUGGCUCGUAGUGCAAAGUUGGACAGGUGUAUGACAUGAUCAUGACCACUGGUGAUACUAACGAAUAUCCUUGGCCGUAGUGUAUGGAUAAUUCAAUGAUGUGAUUGGCAGGAUCAUGACCAUUAGUUAACAGUUGAAUGUCUUCGGCCGUAGUGCACUGACAGACAAUUGAUUGGUAUGAUCAUUGUUAUUACACUUGAAUGUCUUAGCCUUUGGGGUAAGGAUAUUGAGUAAACGUUCUAUUAAGCCUUUGUGGCAAGGAGAAACUGUUGAUUCACAUUAUUAUAAACAUGAAUUGUGAAUUUAUCUAAAAUCUUUGGUGGUUCAGGUGAAGACAGGUGAUGAAAUUUCUCUUUGUCUUGGUAUAAUAAAGAACUGUUAAUGGGUAUUAUAGGGAUAAAAUUGAUGAUAAACUUUUAAAUCAUAGAAGAUAGUAGAUAUCAUGCUCUACUUGACUCUUCUAAUAGAUUGCUUAUUCCACUGCAGUUGUUGAUCUAAAACUUGUUGUCUAUUAUAUUCUAGCAGUUGUUAUACUGUUGAAGGCUAAUGAUAAUUUAUUCUGCAUUAUCUUAGUCAUAAUAUUUCUUACUGGGCUAGUUGAGCUCACCCUUUUCUUUCAUUAUUCUCUUCAGAAAAUGAGAAUAUAGCUGGGACGAGUCGGGGAAUGGAGUGAUGAUCCAAGAUAAGUGGCUUUAGUAGUCUUCACUAUUCUGUGAAAUAGUGUGAUAAUAAUUGUAAUGAGGACUCCAUUGAGUUUGGAUAUUGUCUAGAAGACAAUAUUUGUGUUAAAACUCUCAGCUUAUAUUUUCUCGUAUUCUACACGACAGUUGUAUAAUUAAGUAGUAUUUGUAUUCUGUACCAUGUAUCUGGCGACCCAAGAUGGGUGAUGUAUACAUAUUUUGGGGGCGUCACAUCAACAACCACCACAAAUAUAAAACCUUUGAAGCCAAGCCUGUGAGACCCCAAAUUUUAUGAAUAAAGAUUUAAAUUUCUCGAAAUAUUUUUUUUGAAUAUUACGGUGUGGAUUUGAUAUAAUGUUAUAGUUGUGGGUAAUAUUUAUAAAUUUUACAAAGUAAACAAGUUGUUACAUAAUAUUCGUUUGGUCGGGGAAUAUUCUUUUUGUUGGGGAAUAUCCGUACGAUGGUGCAAUCAUUGGUGGACCCCACAACGGAAGUAUUGUCGUAGUAAGAAAAUGACAAAAUUAUCUUUUUAUAAAAAUAAUGGCGAAAGUGUUACCGUUAAAACUAUUGAACUACUCCGUAGUAAAAGUACAGUAAUACGUGUGGUUGCAUAGUAGCACACGAUAUUGAUUAUUAAUACUUACGUAAGAAGUCACUCAGUUAUACUUAAUUAUUGUUAUAGUAAUUGCUGCAUCUAUCUCUCAUAUUAUUGAUUCAAUUAUUGUCACAGUAUCAUCUGCAUAAUAUGUUAUAUUAUUAAAUCAAUAAUUGAGACGACAAAGUUAUUUAUAUUAUUAUUUGCAAUAUUGAGAAUGUCUAGAAGUUCUAUCAAGGAGAGGUUAGAUAAUCUAAUUGCGCGCCAAUAGGGAGAAAUCCUUAUCGGAAAGCCCCCUCUUUCUUGGAAACUACCUGGUUGUUAAAUAUUGUGAGUUAUAAUAUUAAUGAUGUAUAAGUUUGUGUUGAUUAAAGAUGAAAUUGAUAGUUCCAUUGUGUUGGGAUUAUUAGUGUUAGUGGAAAUCGACAUUUAUUUCGAUAAUAAUUGAUGUUUGGAAGUUAUAUUGACCAAUCGGGUAAUUAACCGGAUAAAUGAGCAAUUAAUUGCUAUUAAUUCACAUGCUUAUAACUAUGUGUUCACAUGUGUGUACUAUUGAUUCACAUGAUUUACUAUUAGGGGAGUUGGUGCAAGAUUGAUAAUACUUGCAUGACUAAAUUAAAAAUAGAGGUAUAGAUGAAGGUACUAUACUGUAAUUAUUUUUUUCACAUGUUUAGAACUAUUGAGUCACAUGAUUUACUAUUGAUUCACAUGAUUUACUAUUAGGGGAGGUGGUGCAAGUUUGAUAAUACUUGCAGGACUAAAUUAAAAAUGAAGAAAAAGAGGAAGGUAUUAUACUGUAAUAUUUCGAGCCCCAAAACGUGCAAUUAUCGAAACUAUAUUUUCCUAUAAAUAGAAGCUCAUUCUUCCUUCAUUUCUCACCAAUUCACUAAAGCUUUAGAGCAAUUAUUAUAGAGAGAAAUUAUAGAGAGAAAGAAGAAGAGAAGUCUGCUACCUCACUAUUUUAGUAUGCAGUUUCUUCUAAGGUAAGGGUAUUAUUUCUUUCGUAUUCAUGAAGAGAGUUAUUUCUUUCAAUACUCGUAAGGGUUGUUAUUCCAUUCUUUAUUAUUCUGUUGGAAUAACCUGUCUGUGCGGACUACACACGCCUGGUGAAUUCUUUUGUUAUUACAUUCUUUAUUAUUCUGUUGGAAUAACCUGUCUGUGCGGACUACGCACGCAUGGUGAAUUUUUUUUUAUUCUAUUCUUUAUUAUUCUGUUGGAAUAACCUGUCUACGCAGACUACCGCAUGCAUGGUGAAUGACCCUUCGUAUUCAUUCUUUAUUAAAUUAUGUAAAUGAUCUGUCUACGUAGAUUACCGCAUGACGGGUAAAAAUCCAUUUGCAGUUUCAUAUAUUCUAUUAUACUCAUAUGCGAUAUCAUUUCUUUUGUACUCGUCAUAUAAUAUCAUUUUCUUUGGAAUUUUUCUUUUACGAGUUACUAUUGACAGAUUACUAUUCACCUGAUUAUUAUUCACUCUAGUAUUAUUCACUCAGGUAUUCGGGGCACUUUUCGUGUCAGAGUAUUAUUCACGGGUUACUAUUCACCCGAUUACUAUUCACUCUAGUAUUAUUCACUCGGAUAUUUGGGACACUUUUCGUGUCGAGGUACUAUUCACGGAGUACUAUUCCUGAAGUACUAUUCAUGAAAUACUAUUCACCCAAAAAAUAUAUUUCUUUUCAGUCCAAAUUAUUUUUGGGUACAAUAUUAUUCUUGAAUUUUACUCCACAAAACAAUAUCAUGUUGACAAAUUGGACGUUAUUGAUUCUUGGAUAAAUUAAAUUAUAAAUCUUUAAAAUUUAUCCUUGAACUUUUUUUAUUGAAUUAUUAUGUCAUUGUCAUCAUCCUCAUGCUUAUAUUGUGAUGAAAGUCAUCUUUGGCUUACGUGCAUAGAUGGACUUGGUAUGAUUAUGACCAGGGAUUAUUCGGUAUAAUCAUGACCGUAAUGUGACGAAUGAUAUGGUGAAAGUCCUCAUUGGCCUGUAGUUCAUUGAUGGACAGUUGUUGGUAUGAUUAUGACCAGGGAUUAUUUGGUAUAAUCAUGAACAUUGAUGAUUACAUGAGUAUCAUUGGCCGAGAUGCAGGGAUGAUUCGAUUUUAUUUAUUAAGUUGAGUCUCAGCGAUAAAGUUGAUGAAAAACUUUUUAAAUCAUAGAAGAUAGUAGAUUUUAUGCUCUACUUGACUCUUCUAAUGGCUUGCUUAUUCCGCUGCAGUUGUUGAUCUAAAACUUGUUGUCUAUUAUAUUCUGUCAGUUGUUAUACUAUUGAAGGCUAAGGAUAAUUUAUUCUGCAUUAUCUUAGUCAUAAUAUUUCUUACUGGGCUAGUUGAGCUCACCCUUUCUUUCACUGUUCUCCUCAAGAAAUGAGAAUAUAGCUGGGACGAUUCGGGGAACGGAUUGACGGUCCAGAUGGUUGUUUUAGUUGUCCUCACUAUUCUGUGAAAUAAUAUGAUAAUAAUUGUAAUGAGGACUCCAUUGGGAGUGGAUAUUGUCUAGAAGGCAAUAUUCUUGUUUAAACUCUCAGUUAUGUUUUGUCGUAUAUUACCCGACAGUUGUAUAAUUAAGUUUGUAUUUGAUUUAUGUACCAUAUAGUUGGCGACUCAAGAUGGGUGAUGUAUACCUGUUUUUGGGGUGUCAAAGUUGGUAUCAAAGCUUAGGGAUAUGAUCUCUGGCUGAGAUAUGAGACAAGAACUAGGAGGGGAGAGACUGGGAAUUCCUUCGCUAGUAUAUAUGACCUACCUAAGUUUAUUUGGUAUUUAAUUGGUCGAUCAGAGUAUAGGAAUAAUAUGUGAUAUGUCAAUUAACCCUUGUUUUGUGACAGUGUUUGAAAAUAGCAUCUAAAAAUGUUGAGAUCAGCAAUGAAGCACAUGAGACCGUUGAGUCACCAACGAUUAAUACCUAGGAUAAUGUGCAACAGGAAGAUAAUAAUCCUCAGGUAAAUAACAACACCGAUUAGAUGAUGAACGAUGGGAUGUUCAGAGGCUUUAUGCAAUUCAUGCAACAUCAGACGAGAGAGACUCUUGUUCAAAAUGCAGGUGGAAACACUGUCAACUCUCGGAUGGUCACCGCUAAGCAGUUUAAGGAGUUGGGACCACCAGAGUUUUUGAGAGAGCCAGAACCACUUAAGGCGGAGACGUGGAUAAACAGAUCACCAAGAUAUUUGAUGUCUUGGAAUGCUCAGAGGAGCAAAAGGUUCCCUUUGCCACCUUCAUGUUGCGAGGAGAGGCAGAUUACUAGUGGGAAUCAGUAAAACGUACUCAGCCUGCCGCACUGAAGAUGUCUUGGGAGAUGUUCCAAGAACUGUUCAACAACAAGUACUUUCCUGAAAGUAUUCGUCAUGUGAAAGAGGUAGAGUUCAUCAAGCUUGAGUAAAACAAUAUGACCGUGGCGCAGUACGAAGCUAAGUUUGCCGAGUUAUCUCAGUUUGCGUCCCACUUGGUUGAUAAUGAAGAGAGAAUGACGCGGAUGUUUCUAAGAGGUUUGAAACCCGAGAUACGUCAAUAUCUAAUUUCUCACAAACUGUGUUUGUAUUCAGAUGUUAUGAAUAGGGCUCAAUUAUUGGAGUGUGAUAAUGAGUCAGCACAACCAAAAGGCAACGACCAACAACACGAUAAUAAUCAUACCGGUGGCAACGGCCAUCGGAACAAUGAUAACCAUCGUGGGGGAAAUUAUUAUGCCAAGAAUGGUAACCACUUCGGUGGUAAUCAUGGCCAAGUUAAUAGAAGCGGAAAUUUCAAGAAGAGAAGGUUCAAUAAUGAUGGAAAGACGUCAUCACCAGCACCCGUUGUUAAGGAAGGAGAACGACCGCCGGUCGUAUGUUACAAAUGCGGAGGGGAGGGACACAUAAGUCCAAACUAUUCACAGCCUUCCAAGGUAUGUUUUAGUUGUGGAAAAGAUGGUCACAUAGCUCGAUUUUUUUCUUGUAGCGAAAUCAAGUCCAGUUGGGACAGUGGCACCAAAGGCGGAUACGGACAAAACAAAGUCGGUGGUUUCAGGAAGAGCGGUUUUUAUGACUUCUCAAAAAGUGAGUAACCCGAACGAAGUUAACACGGGUUAGUUAAUUAUAAAUUCUUGCGAAGUCUAUACCUUAUUAGAUAUCGAUUCUACCCAUUCUUUUAUUUCUCUUGCUUGCGCUCAGCGUUUAAAUUUGACUCCAGAGAAAUUAGACUUUGACUUAUUGGUUGAAACUCUGUUAGGAGAAACCUUCGUUACACCCACUGUUUAUAAAUCUUGUUUUAUUCAAAUCGACACUUUCACGUUACCUGUCGAUCUUAUCUCUUUGAAAAUACUUGCCUUUGAUGUGAUUUUAGGAAUCGAUUGGUUAACUACUCAUCAUGCCAAAAUUGAUUAUUUUUGUAAGGUUGUUAGCUUUCAUAUUCCUAACCAACUUGUUAUGCGAAUUCAAGCAACCAAACCACUAAAGUCAAUCACUGUCAUAUCAAGCCAUAAGUAAAGAGCCCCGAGCCUUUCGUUGGUGACUUCCUUGUGUGGAAUGCAUCGAAGCCGAACUUUCUGUAGGGGACGUCGUGAAUAACAGUGGCAAGUUGAUAGGUAUCAAUGUGACGUGUUAUCCAAGUCUUGGGAUGAGAGUCACAGUUUUGAAUGAUAUUUCUAUUGUUAAUAAAUUUCCUAGCGUAUUCUUGAAGACUUCUUAGCCUACCCCUAGAGCGUGAAAUCGAAUUUUUUAUUGACCCCAAUACAAAACUCAUUUAUAAAACCCUCAAAUAUUUUCUUUACCCAAAACGAACGUAUAAUGUGCCAAUGACGUUGGCUCGAGCUGUUGAAGGUUACGACUAUACCAUUAAAUUCCAUCGUGGGAAAAGCGAACGUGGUAGCUGACACAUUAAGUAGAAGAUCGUAUGCGUUUACGAAGUGUGACGUUGUUAACACAAAAACCCAUUUCGUAUAACUUAUAAAUAAUGAAGAUGGAGUUAAUGACUCUAGAGACCCACGUGAAGAUAACGAAUAUACGAGUAAAAUCGACUUUAAUCGAUAAAGUUAAAGCCGCUCAAACUACACACUCGGAGCUAGUGAAUACGAAGAAGAAGGUUCAAGAAGGCGUUAUUCUAGAAGCAAGAGUCGAUGAAGAGAGAAAAUCUCAAUCCUCGAUUUAAUUGGGCCAUUUGAAAUCCUCGAUGGAGUAGGAACUGUGGCCUAUAGACUUGUUUUACCGCCAAGUAUGUCGCGUGUUCAUAACAUUUUUCAUGUAUCGAUGUUACGUAAAUAUGUGGACGACCCGAACCACAUUAUUAAAUUGGAACUAGACGAGAUAGCAGAAGAUUUAACAUAUGAGGAUAUACGUGUUAAAAUCUUGGAUAAGAAGGAUCGUAUUCGACACUCAAAUUUUAUACCUCAAGAGUUAGAAUCUGAAAUAAAGUCAAGGUAUCCUUAUCUCUUCGGCAUACCAGGUACGUACUUAAAUUUUGAGGGCGAAAUUUCAUAAGAAGGGAAGAUUGUGAGAUCCCAAAUUUUAUGAAUAAAGAUUUAAAUUUCUUGAAAUAUAUUUUUUGAAUAUUACGGUGUGGAUUUGAUAUAAUGUUAUAGUUGUGGGUAAUAUUUAUAAAUUUUGCAAAGUAAGCAAGUUGUUAUAUAAUAUUCGUUUGGUCGGGGAAUAUUCUUUUUGUCGGGGAAUAUCCGAACGACGACACGAUUAUUGGUGGACCCCACAACGGAAGUAUUGUCGUAGUAAGAUAAUGACAAAAUUAUCUUUUUAUAAAAAUAACGGCGAAAGUGUUACCGUUAAAACUGUUGAACUACUCGGUAGUAAAAGUAUAGUAAUACGCGAGGUUGUAUAGUAGCACACGGUAUUGAUUAUUGAUGCUUACGUAAGAAGUUACUCAGUUAUACUCAAUUAUUGCUACAGUAAUUGUUGCAUCAUAUCUCUCAUAUUAUUGAUUCAAUUAUUGUCACAGUAUCAUCUGCAUAAUAUGUUAUAUUAUUAAAUCAAUAAUUGAGAUGACAAAGUUAUUCAUAUUAUUAUUUGCAAUAUUGACAAUGUCUAGAAGUUCUAUCAAUGAGAGGUUAGAUAAUCUAAUUGUGCGCCAAUAGGGAGAAAUCCUUAUCGGAAAGCCCCCUCUUUCCUGGGAACGACCUGGUUGUUAAAUAUUAUGAGUUAUAAUACUACUGAUGAAUAAGUUUGUGUUGAUUAAAGAUGAAAUUAAUAGUUCCAUUGUGUUGAGAUUAUUAGUGUUAGUGGAAAUUGACAUUUAUUUUGAUAAUAAUUGAUGUCUGGAAGUUAUAUUGACCAAUCGGGUAAUUAACCGGAUAAAUGAGUAAUUAAUUGCUAUUAACUCACAUGCUUAUAACUAUGUGUUCACAUGUGUGUACUAUUGAUUCACAUAAUUUACUAUUAGGGGAGUUGCUACAAGAUUGAUAAUACUUGCAUGACUAAAUUAAAAAUGGAGGUAUAGAUGAAGGUACUAUACUAUAAUUAAUUUUUUCACAUGUUUAGAACUUUUAAGUCACAUGAUUUACUAUUGAUUCACAUGAUUUACUAUUAGGGGAGGUGGUGCAAGUUUGAUAAUACUUGCAAUUAAAAAUGAAGAAAAAGAGGAAGGUAUUAUACUGUAAUAUUUUGAGCCCCAAAACGUAUAAUUAUUGAAACUAUAUUUUUCUAUAAAUAGAAGCUCAUUCUUCUUUCAUUAUCACCAAUUCACUAAGCUAUAGAGCAAUUAUUAUAGGGAGAAAUUAUAGAGAGAAAGAAGAAGAUAAGUCUACUACUUCACUAUUCCAGUAUCCAGUUUCUUCUAAGGUAAUGGGUAUUAUUUCUUUCGUAUUCAUGAAGAGAGUUAUUUCUUUCAAUACUCGUAAGGGUUGUUAUUCCAUUCUUUAUUAUUCUGUUGGAAUAACCUGUCUGUGCGGACUACACACGCCUGGUGAAUUCUUUUGUUAUUAUAUUCUUUAUUAUUCUGUUGGAAUAACUUGUCUGUGCGGACUACGCACGCCUGAUGAAUUCUUCUAUUAUUCCAUUCUUUACUAUUCUGUUGGAAUAACCUGUCUACGCGGACUACCACAUGAUUGGUGAAUUCUUCUGUUAUUCCAUUCUUUAUUAUUCUGUUGGAAUAACCUGUCUACGCGGACUACCGCAUGCAUGGUGAAUGACCCUUCGUAUUCAUUCUUUAUUAAAUUAUAGAAAUGAUCUGUCUACGUAGAUUACCGCAUGGCGGGUGAAAAUCUAUUUGCAGUUUCGUAUAUUCUAUUAUACUCGUAUGAGAUAUCAUUUCUUUUGUAUUUGUCAUGGAAUAUCAUUUUUUUUGGUAUUUUUCUUUUACGAGUUACUAUUCACGGGUUAGUAUUCACCUGGUUACUAUUCACUGUAGUAUUGUUCACUCGGGUAUUCGGGACACUUUUUGUGUCGGAGUACUAUUCAUGGGUUAUACUAUUCACGGGUUACUAUUCACCCGAUUACUAUUCACUCUAGUAUUAUUCACUCGGGUAUUUGGGACACUUUUUGUGUCGGGGUAUUAUUCACAGGGUACUAUUCUCGAAGUACUAUUCACGGAGUACUAUUCACCAAAAAAAUAUAUUUCUUUUCGAUCCAAAUCAUUUUUGGGUACAAUAUUAUUCUUGAAUUUUACUCCACAAAAUAGUAUCAUGUUGACAAAUUGGACGUUAUUGAUUCCUAGAUAAAUUAAAUUAUAAAUCUUUAAAAUUUAUCCUUGACUUGGUAUGAUUAUGACCAGGAAUUAUUCGGUAUAAUCAUGACCGUAAUGUGACGAAUGAUGUGGUGAAAGUCCUCAUUGGCCUGUAGUUAAUUGAUGGACAGUUGUUGGUAUGAUUAUGACCAGGGAUUAUUCGGUAUAAUCAUGACCAUUGAUGAUUACAUGAGUAUCCUUGGCCGUGAUGCAGGGAUGAUUCGAUUUUAUUUAUUAAGUUGAGUCUCAGCGAUAAAGUUGAUGAAAAACUUUUUAAAUCAUAGAAGAUAGUAGAUUUUAUGCUCUACUUGACUCUUCUAAUGGAUUGCUUAUUCCGCUGCAGUUGUUGAUCUAAAACUGUUGUCUAUUAUAUUCUAUCAGUUGUUAUACUGUUGAAGGCUAAGGAUAAUUUAUUCUGUAUUAUCUUAUUCAUAAUAUUUUUUGCUGGGCUAGUUGAGCUCACCCUUUCUUUCACUGUUCUCUUCAGGAAAUGAGAAUAUAGCUGGGACGAGUCGGGGAACGGAUUGACGGUCCAAAUGGUUGUUUUUGUAGUCCUCACUAUUCUGUGAAAUAAUGUGAUAAUAAUUGUAAUGAGGACUCCAUUGGGAGUGGAUAUUGUCUAGAAAGCAAUAUUCUUGUUUAAACUCUCAAUUAUGUUUUGUCGUAUAUUACCCGACAGUUGUAUAAUUAAGUUUGUAUUUGAUUUAUGUACCAUAUAUUUGGCGACUCAAGAUGGGUGAUGUAUACCUAUUUUGGGGCCGUCACAAAGCCCAUACACUCCCAUUUUAGAUCAUAGCUCCUAUGCCCAGACCCAUUAAGAGCAUACCCAGCCCCUACUAAUAUGCACAAUCUAAGCUCCCAUGAUCUAAAGCCCCUGACUUUGCAAAUAUAGAUCGAUAGAUAGAUUUUCGGGAAGGAUCACAUUUUGGUAGAUAGAUGGUUUAAUUUGUUUAACUAUUUAUUAUAAAAUUGAGUAUAAUUUAAUAUAAUUAAUUAUUUAGCUUACCUUCUCUCUCCUUGUCUGCAUUGACACAUAGAUUUAUUGAUUGCCACGUCCUUCUUCUGUUAAAUGGUUAACAGACAUAGACGACAAAAUUAAUUUUUGUAAAUAAAGUAUAGUUCAAUGAGUUGACCGUAAAAAAAUUUAGUUUAGUGAUGCAUUUGUAAACCGAUGUUGAGUAGAGUGGAGAAAAGUGUAUUUAAUCCGCUCCAAAAGUCACCACUUUACAAGUCUCGUCAACAAUCAGCACCAUGUAAACACUCACCCUCUUUGGUGAACUUGAAGAGUUUGAAAAUCAACUUAGGAGGUAUGAUGAUGAAAAUGAGGCACCAAUAAAGAAGACAUUGACACUUCAAGCUGAGAGUAACAAUGAAUGUGAUAACGAAGAUUUUGAUAAAGAAAUUGAAAUGCUCUCAAGAAACUUGAGAGACUAUUUCAAAAGAAAAUAAAAAAGGUAGCUCAACUCCAGUGGGUAAGUUCAAAACAGAACAAGAAGAAGAAAUUGUCCAACUCUAUUUCAUAGGACUAGAAGAUGAUGAUCAACUUGAGGUAACAAAUUUUCAUGAAGCUUUUGAAAUAUCUAUGCCUGAUUAUAUUGCUUUACAAAAUGAAAAUCAACAACUCAAAAAAAAAACUGUUUAUUUUAAGAAUUGCGUAAAUGCUAAUGAAUGAAGUUAAGUCAUUUAUUAAAGAGAGAAAAGAAAAUGAAUAUCUUAAAAAUGAAAAUGAAGUUUUAAAAGAAAAUUUAAAAAUGAGAGAUGAAUGCAUAAAUGCUUUUAAUGAUGGAAAAAUGAUGAAUGUGCAACAUGAUGAUAAUGUCACAAAUGCAAAAAUAACAUCUUUAAAAAAUGAUCUUGCUAAAUUUGUGCAAUGAGAAGAGAACCUAAAUGUUAUGUUAGGGGCACAAAGGUCUAGUCUUGAUAAAUAAGAAAUUGGGUAUAAUCCUAUUAAAAUGUGAAAAAUAGAACUAAUAAUAAUAUUAUAAUGAUUAAUAGAAAACCAAUGCAUAAACCACUUUAUUGUUCACCGUUUGUUACUUGUAAAAAAUAUGGUUUUAAAGGUCAUUUUAAAAUGUGGCUUUAUUAGAAUAAAGCAAAUUUGGGUAAAGAAAUGUGAUUUAUAUGCUACUAACCUAAUAGGACCCAAGAAGAUUUGGGUACCAAAAUGGUAGAGACUAUUUGUUCAUUUUGUAGAUGUCUCAAGGUCAAAAAGGAGACAGAUAAUACUUAUAAAUUAUUUGGCAAAAUUCGCAAGUACCUUAUUUUUUUAAAUAGAUUUUUAAUUAGAUAUAUUAUGAAAACUCUAUGGAUUUCGUAUCAUAUGGCUUCAUAACAUCAUUUAUUAUAAAGUUUUUAUUGUGCUAAAUGCUCCAUAUUUAAUACAAACGACAAUCUUGAUGAGGAAUAAGUGAAUAUUAUUUUUGAUGAACUUAACCAUGAUCUGUUAAAGGAAGAGAAUGAGGUUUCUGCUGGAAAUGACUAUCUGAAUUGUGGAACCCAAACAGUUCAAUCCGGAUAGUCUAAGCCGUCUCUAUCAGAAGGAAAGAUAGAUGAAAUCAGACAAUUUGACCCGUCUGUUUUAGAAGAAAACUCAAAUUUACAAACACCUAAAUCCAAACAGAUCGAGUCGUCUACUUUAGAAGACAAAACAUAUGAAUAUUCGGAUGCAGUAACUUAUAUUCCAGAGGAUGAAUCUCAAAAGCAAAUGACUACUGCCAGGCUUCCUAAAUCUUCUAGAACUAUGGGAAAUCAUCAUCCAAGUCUGAUCAUCAGAAAUUUCAACAUUAGGAUGUCCACAAGAAGAGGUUUUGAAGAAAUUUGUUUGCUACACUAAGGAGCUUAUCUAUUAAGCUUAUUGUUGGUAACAAAAUUGUGGAUAUAUAGGUAACAAAUCACAAAGGUAUGGUCAUUUUAUUUAAUUGCUAUAUGUGAUAUUGUUAUAAGCUUGCUCCCGUGUCUUUAUUUUAUGAAUUAUUUUUUGUUUGUCACAAAUGGGAUAGAGAUAUAACUAAAUUGAUGAUUUUUUUUUUUUUGAUAAUAACAAAGGGGAGAAAUGUUUAGAAAAAUUGAUGAUUAUGAUAUCUGAUGGUUAUAUUGAUUAUAAUAUGUUUAGAUUUUUUUGAUAUCAUAUUGAUGAUAAUGGUUGGAUAUUUUGAUUCAUUAUCUGUUAUAGCUUAUCAUUAUGCAUUAUUUAUCAUAACAGUUAUGUGAUCUUUAUAUCUCCUAUAGGCAUAAAUUUAUGGGGAGCAUGAUUGCAAGGAAUAAUAUAUUGUCAUCAUCAAAAAAGAGGGAAAUUGUUAGUUUUAUUAUUUGUGAUUUUAAUAAUGACAAUAUAUUUGUAAAUAUAAUUUAUUUAAUGUAUUGAAUUAAUUUUGUAAUGGUUUGUUGAAUAUGAUAUAUAGUAAGUUUGGUUCAUGAUAAUUUAAUUUGGUUAUAAUUCAAAUUGUUAUUACGUGCAGGAUUGAAUUGAAAUAUUUUCUUCCAGGUUGUUAUUUUGUUAAAACAGGUUGUUUCAAUUUUGAAUUGGAAUAUGUUAAGGAGUUUGUUUAGCAGUGUAAUCUAUCUAUUAAAUAUAUUAAAAUGCAGUACAUGAUAUCAUAGCUUGACAUAUGUCAUUCUCACAAUUCAACACGUGUCCUGUCUAAUUAAUAUUCCUUAAGACCCUUAACAAAAGUGCCCAGCUAACAUAACAAAUGAGGAUGAAAACAAACUUUAAUUCAUUCCCCUAAAUUUUAGAUUUAUAAUCCCCUAAAUCAUGCUACAAAUCUAAACUAUUUUGAUAAUAUCAACUGUUUUGAUAUUAUCCUUUGUAAUUUAAUUAUUAUUUAAUAAAAUUACUUUUUUAUGCUAUUAAUUAAUUUUUUAGAUUUAUAAUCUUCUAAAUAACUACAAAUCUAAACAGUUAAUAACAUAAUGUCAUUCUCUUAAUUUUUUAAAUUUACAAUCCUCUAAAUCACUACAAAUCUAAACUGUUUUGAUAAUAUCAACUGUUUUGAUAUUAUCCUUUGUAAUUUAAUUAUUAUUUAAUAAAAUCAUUACUUUAUCUCAACACCACCCCCUACAAUGUAUAUUCAUUUGUUUUUCUGUGUAAAAUUUGAUCAUCGCACAACAAUCUACCAUCUUCUUAUUAUAUUUUAAUUUAUUAAUUAUACAUACAUAUUUAUUGAAUAAUUCCGCCCGCAACGCACGAGUUUGUAUCUAGUGUGGUCUAAUUUGGAGUCUUUAAAUUAACUGGUUUAGAUAUUUGUGUAGAGUAUGGGCUCUAUCUACUCGUUAAUUUUAGCCUAUGUUGAUUACGUAUCUUUGAUUUUCUAAUUUUGAGAAUAUUUUAAGCUGUUAGCUAUAUCUAUAGUUCUGAAAUAUCAAAUUCUCGAAAUGAAAGACCAAGUCAUGCUAACCAUUUCAUAUAGUCGUUGGACUGAGUUCUAUAUAUUUUCUUCAUGUUUGUCUAUAGUGAGCAGGACUCUUGAAGCUUAUAGCAGCCAUAUUACACAGAUUAAUCAAGAGCUUUUCAAAGUUAUUUUCAGCUACUCAUUAUAUUGUUAAUUUAUUUCAGUUAAAAAUUAAGAGUCUAUUAUAAUCUAUAUUUAUUGUAUUAAAUUUUAGUUCAAGUCUUGUUUGGCUUGAUCGAUCCAAUAGUGGAUAGGUUUGUUCGAAGAAAACUUUUAAGGUUGCAGAGGUGCAAAUGUCUCAGUGGUGAGAAAGGUUGCAAUGAUGCAAAGGGGCAGAGGUGUUCAUCGCAGUGGAAAAUUUUAUUUGAACAGGGAGUUCUUUUUAUUAUACUUAAUGGAGUCUUAAAAGUUUAAUAAAAAGAGUCCAAUACCGGUUGGUUUUGAACGUGGAUUAAGCCGUUAGAGUUUAAGGGCAGAACCACGUAAAAAUUCUUGUCUGUGGUUUGUUAAUUCUUCUGGGUUGAUAAUUUAUUUCUCACGUUGCAUCUAAUCUCAUUCAUAUUACAUUUUAUUGUUGGUAGGAAAAGUAUACUAAUCUAGACACUAUCUUCUGUCUUUAUAACAAAAGUAAAAUUGACUCUAAAGCAGACACUUUUAUUUGUCUGUUUUAAGUUUAGCAGCAAGUUCAGCAGCAGGAAAAUAAAAUUAGUCAUUGUUAGUGUGCUUAUUUAUAGAAUUACAUCCACAUCUGUAAUUCUACUGAGAUUUAAUGAAUGUUUAUUUUGCCGAUUAAAAAACAAAGGAAAAAGAAUAAAAGUAAUAAGAUGUUCGAAACAUUUGAUUGUAUUAUUAUAUUUUUGUGAGCCAAGGUGAAAGCAAAGCCACCUAGUGGUAGUUGUUUUAUUUAUAAUAUGGUAAUAACAACCAUGAACUGAUAGUUGAUUUAUUUAUUAUAUGCUAAUAACAGCUAUCAGCUAGUGGUUGAUUUAUUUAUUAUAUUCUAAUAAACAGCCAUCAACUAGUAUAUAGUUUCUUGAUCAACUGUUCAUAGGAAGAUUACUGAUCGUUCAUUUAGGCGUUGGGGGGACUAAUUUGAACACCAUAGAUAACUAAACCCGUCUCCAUAGUCGUGUUUUCACUCCCGUCGAGAGCAAAUUUGAAAUCUCCAGAGUCAAAGCUAUUCAAGAAUUCCCCAGCUUUGAGUGAAAUCGGUGUGUUCCUCGGACAAUCCAUCAACCUAUAUCCAUUCACUUGCGUGGACCCAUCCGGAGGAGUAAGUGUAAGACUCACCGGACUUUCUAUGUUAAGGUUGUCUUUCAGCAGCACCACAAAAGACACCUCAUAAGUUCAUUUUUCAAGAGUUUCUGUCGGAUAUUUUCCAUCAACAUGUAGGACUAAGCUACCAAUUAAUUCAGCACUGGCAUCACUGAAAAAAAAUGAUAGUAGAAUUAAAGUCAGAAACUUUUGAUAUAAGGAGCUUAAAUUCAUUAAGGUGAUUUUAUUGAUUUUUUUUUCUGGAAAAUUUUUAAUGUUAAGUCCUUCUAUCUGACUAGAGUCUAGACUUCAAUAAAAUUUCUAUAGUCCUUCUAUCACUUUAAUUUAAUGACAUAGUUGCUUAUAUAUCCCUAUUUUUAACUGAAUAAAAUUCAGGUGUUUAAACACAAAUCUUGACCUUUGACAUCAAUUAAGUUAACUAAGUCUUAUUUCUACUUACGUAAACUUCCAGCCUGAAGGGUUGGCAUAAUUGAGUUCCUUUGCAUGCACAAAAGCCCAACUGCUCUGAAUAAGUCAACAGAAAUUUACAUUAUUAUAUGGAUAGAUAAGGCAAACCAGCGGUGACCAAUAAAUGAUAUGUCGAUGCCUUUAUAAAUAUAUAUAUAUAUAUAUAUAUAUAUAUAUAUAUAUAUAGAAUAUUGACGGUUGACAUUGUCAAAAUAACAAUUAUAAAAGUGUUGCCAAAUGUAUAUUUACUCUGAUAGCGAUGACAUUAUCAACCACCUAUAUAUAAAUAGCAAAUGUUUCAUAGCAAAAGUUUAUUACAGAAUAUGUAUCACUCAAACCAUCUUAUAUCAAUCAUGCAUUACAACAUCAGAUAGAUGAGAUCUUAAAAUUUUUGAACACUCCGCGACAUUAUGUUGCAAAUGGUACCAAAUUUUAAAAAUCCCAAAGGUGUAAGAUGGUCUAAAUUUUGCAAAAAUGUAUCACUUGCAAAAUUUACAAAUAUUAAGGAUUAUUUUUGUUCUGUAGACAACUUUAGUGUGUAUAUAUAUUUGAUGUUUGUUUCCAAUUUCAGUGGACUUACCUUCUGGCCCGGGUCCUUUUUGAGCAACGCAUUUUCCUUAGCUUGAGACAACAAUGUCUUGAGGUCAACCUUGUGAUACCUCACUACUUGUGCCAUUUCGCCUUUAAUUCUGCUAUAUAUAUUUUUUGUUUUUGUUCUUGAUGUCUAUAUAUCUCUCUUCCAAAGGCUAGCUCUAUUUAUAGAUAGCACAAAAGAGGGUAUAUUCAAUAAUAACCUAUCUUCAAAUAUUCCUUCCUUUUUCACAGUGGGGAUCCUGAUAAGUUUAACAUCAUCAUCAUCAUCGCCAAGGAUAUAGAGCAUCAGAUUCUGUUUAAUAAUUUUGUUGGAAUAUUUCUUUUCCAUUUCUCAGUUCAAUAAUUCUUUCUUUAGCUUGUUGCGCUGGCAAAAUUCGAUGAAGGCGAAAGGUACGUAGGCAUUCAAGUAAGUGAUGAUUUUCUUCUAACCAGAAGUAUGAGCAGGUUGAUGAUACAUAUGUCAUGCCAACAUAACAAACUUUAGAGGAGCCGAGUUCGAAAAAGAGAGGGUACUGGUAUAAUUGCCUUAAUUCGAUCUUAUCACCCAAGCACGGGUGCCAUCUAUUUUGGUUCAAUAUAAUGGAGUAUAUAUUCAAAUCAACAAAACAAGGCAAGAACAAAAAAUAAAUUUAAAGUGCAUAUUUUAAUAGGAAUAUCUAUUAAUAUAUAUAGGUAUGUUACUCAAAUAUCUAUACCAUCUAUACCAAUUUAUAGCAAGAUAAAUACGAGUUAUUUAAGUUGGUCUUGAGCCAAUUUAGUAAUCCAAUUUUGGUGACUCCGUAACUCAAAAUGUUUUUUUUUUGUUUUUUUGUUUGAUUUUUAUGUAUUCUUGGUCAUAAAUUUUGAUAUUCCCAAAAGUCAACUAAAACACUCAAAAGUUAUAUAUUUUCACAAAAUUUUAGUACACAUUUAUUAUUAAAGAUGGAAUAUAUUAUCUAUCAUUAAGAAUUGAGUAAAUAUAUAAAAAUAAAAUAAAAUUAAUGAAAUAACUUUUGAGCUAUCAAGUCAUCAAAUUUGGAGAGCUGAGUUGACUUGAGUUAUAUUAAAAUGUCAUUCAAAAAUAUUAUAUAUAUAAUUUACCAAAUAAAUCGUUUUUAAACUUAUCCGUACUUCGUACGGAUUAUUAAUUUUGUUUGUAUUAAAAGUAGAAGUAUAAGCAUCUCGCAGGCCAAAAAUAAAAAAAGAAAAAAAAAAAGAAAAGAAGAGCAAGACUACUUCUUUUUCUUCCUUUUUAUCUCCUUUCUUUCUUUGUUUCUUUUUAGACGGAGGACUUCAUUUCAUCUUUGAAAAUAAACAUAAGAAUUUAUCAAAGGAAAUACAAGAUAGACGAUACAAAUAUUGAGAUCUAAUGGAACUUUUGUUGUCUAAUUAUUAUUAUUUUUUAUUUUCAAAUAUACGCAUACAUGAUAAAGAUUCACAAUUAUAUAUAAUAGGCUAAAAUCAACAAUCCGCUAAAAAAUUUGCGGUCUGUCAAAAUGUUUAGUUGUCGAGCUAGUAUAAAUUACCGUCUACCAAAUCGUUAUUAGUUAACAAACUAGUGUAAAAAUUUCACUUUGGAAGCUAAUAUAAACUAUCAUCUAUCAAAUUGUUAUUAAAUGGGGAGCUACGAAUGUAAACUAUCGUCUAACAAACUUUAUUAGCUGAUGAGCUAGUGUAAAAUAUCAUUUAUCAAACUGUUAGAUAGAGUGUUGGUUACAGUUAAAUGUGUCUUUGGAUCAAUUCCUAUACAGUCCGCUUCUCCAACGGACCGGUUUGUCAGCGAACCAACUAUAGUGACGGUUCAAUCCGUCGUUAUAGCAUAGAAAAAUGUUAACGCCAAGAUUCGUCCACGUGCAAAAACGAAAUCACACAGAGGAACUUGUCGGCUUGGGCCGCCAGGGGAUAGCUCUGGUAUAAGAAUAAGUACUGACUGAAUAAAGUUAACAAUGGAGGCUUAUAAUUUUAGUGCUGAAAAAAUAAUAAGAUAUUGUGUGCAUGUGAACCAGGGUAUAUAUAGCCUUGUAUUUAUAGUGAUCACACCUCUUUAAAACGCAUCAUCUCGUAUAGGAGUAGAAUUCCUCAUUAAGAUGGAUACCUUAAUGGGACAUGAUUGAAUCUCCUUAAAAAAAGAAAGUCGGAUACUAUCCUGACUCUUUCCUUAGAAGUUAGAAAUUAAAUAUAAUUAGGAAUCCUAGAUUCCUUAAAAUUCUCCCACUGCCCGUGGGGAGACUUCCUCCACGUGGACUAUGGCCCACCGAAUUCUGUGGUCCCAAAUAAUCAUGUUCCAACAUUGUCCCCCAUUGUAAUACCUAGAAAAAUAAUUAAAAAAAUAAAAAACAUUUAAGUUUAUAUUUUAAAAUAUAUUAGUUGGAUUUUAUUAUUUAUUUGGGUCAAAGUGGUCAUUAAUUUAUGUGGGCUAAUAAAUAUUAAUAAAUUAGGGAUAAAUUAAUUUGAUAAAAUUGAGCCUUAAAACUAAUUGGGUCUAAUUUAUAUUUGUGUAAUAAUAAAUCUUAUUAAAAUUUUAUUAAAAUUAAAAGAAUUAAUAAAACAUAUUAAUUAAUGAAUAAAUAACAAACCUAAUCUUACUUUUAUUAUACAAACUGAGGGAAAGAAAAAGAAGAGAAGUAGGUGAGGCGACUUAAGAGUGAAGAAUGAAAAUUUGUCACUCUUGAUAUUUGGCAAGACACAUUUAGUAAGUUGUUACUAUUUGUUUUUUAAAUUGUUAGAUCCAUCAUGUAGAAAGCCAGUGAUUCAUAAGAAAGUUAAAAUACAUUAUAUAUGAAGUAUACUUUUAGAAGUUUGAUACAUUAUUGGUUAAUGUGGAUAGCCUUUAAGGCAGAGUAUCCAUGUGAAUUGGAUAUCGUGAAUGGCAUACUAAAAUAAUAUACGCUUAGUAUAUGGCGUGAAUCAGAUAAGAUCAAAAGGUAUUUACUGAUUAAAUGUAUCUGAAUAUAUCUAAAUAUAUCUGAAUGUAUCUGAAUUGUAUGUUCUCCAAAAUCCUAGCACCCAUAUUUAUAGGCCAUAGAAAAAUCCAUAACCAAUUAAAUAGGAUUUUUAAUAUAAAAUUGAGUAUAGAUAGAAACGAUAACUUUUCUAAAACAGAUUCUAGGUAAUACCUAAACCCAAAUCCAAUAAGGAUUCAUGUUAUACCCAACAAAUGUCCACCUUGACUUGAAUCCUCCGAAUAUUGCACAAACAGUAAACUUUUUCCUCUUCUCAAAAUGCACAACUCAAGUGCAUCGAACACUAACCACGUCCAAGCAAUGUUUGAACUUGGUAUGUGUUAACGGCUUCGUUAACAUGUCAUAUGGAUUUUCUGCUGUACCAAUCUUCAAGACCUUAUUGUCACCAUCUUCAACAAUGUCUCGAACAAAAUGAUACCUGACAUCAAUAUGUUUCCCCCGAGGACAAUACUCACAGAAGUCAAACUUUAUUAUUUUUUGUAUAGACAACUCGCUAGAUUUCUUCGUCUCCUAAUCCGUAUCAGACAUAUCUACAGGCUUCAUUGGCUUCCCUACAAUGGCUUUCUUCAAGCCUUGCUGAGUAAAAACAGCCUUCAUCCGAACCUGCCAAAGACUGAAACUAAUUUUCCCAUCGAAUUUGUCAAUAGAAAAUUUUGUUGAUGAAGUCGAACUCAACGUCAUAGUAUAUAUCGAUAAUAACCAAGCUCUGAUACCAAUUUAUUAUGACAAACUAUGACAAACACAAUAAAUCAAUGCAGAAAGAUAAAGACAAUAACACAAGGUUUUACAUGAAAACUCAAAUUGGAAAAAAACUACGGAGAAGGCAAAAGAAAUCCACUAAAUAAAUAUCUGAAGAGUACAAGAUAAAAAAAGAGAAUACUAAAUUGAGUAUAGGUAAAAAAGAUAACUUUUCUAAACCAAAACAGAUUCUAGGUAAUACCUAAAUCCAAAUUCAAUAAGGAUUCAUGUUAUACCCAACAAAUCUCCACCUUGACUUGAUCAUUCCUCCAAAUAUUGCACAAAUAUUGAACUUUCUCUUCUUCUCAAAAUGCACAACUCAAGUGCAUCGAACACUAACCACAUCCAAGCAAUGUUUGAACUUGGUAUGUGUUAAUGGCUUCGUUAACAUGUCAUCUGGAUUGUCUACAGUACCAAUCUUCAAGAUAUUAAUGUUACCAUCUUCAACAAUUUCUUGAAAAAAAUGAUACCUGACAUCAAUAUGUUUUCCCCGGGACAAUGCUCACAGAAGUACAACUUUCUUACUUUCUGUCCAGAUAACUCGCUAGUUUUCUUCGUCUCCCAAUCCGUAUCAGAGAUAUUUACAGGAUUUAUUAGUUUCCAUACAAUGGCUUUCUUCAAGCCUUACUGAGUAAAAACAGCCUUCAUCCGAACCUACCAAAGACUGAAACUAAUAUUCCCAUCGAAUUUGUCAAUAUCAAAUUUCGUUGAUGAACUCGAACUCAACGCCAUAGUUUGGAUCGAUAAUAACCAAGCUUUGAUGUGACGCCCCCAAAACAGGUAUACAUCACCCAUCUUGGGUCGUCAAAUACAUGGUACAUAAUACAACUACAAACUUCUUUUAUACAACUGUCGUGUAAAAUACGACAAAACAUAGCUGAGAGCUCUCAAUGGAGUCCUCAGUACAUUUAUUAUCACACUAUUUCACAGAAUAGUGAGGACUACUAAAACAACCAUCUGGACCGUCAAUCCGUUUCCCAAUCAGUCCCAGCUAUAUUCUCAUUUCCUGAAGAGAACAGUGAAAGAAAAUGAUGAGCUCAACUAGCCCAGUAAGAAAUAUUAUGACUAAGAUAAUGCAGAAUAAAUUAUCCUUAGCCUUCAACAGUAUAACAACUGAUAGAAUACAAUAGACAACAAGUUCUAGAUCAACAAAUACAGCGGAAUAAGCAAUCCAUUAGAAAAGUCAAGUAGAACAUAAUGUCUACAAUCUUCUAUGAUUAAAAAGUUUAUCAUCAAUUUUAUCGCUGUAAUACCCAUCAACAGUUCUUUAUACCAAAGACAAAGAGAACUUUCAUCACCUGUCUUCACCUGAACCACCAAAGAUUUUAUUUAAAUUCACAAUUCAUGUUUAUAAUAAUGUGAAUCAACAGUUCCUCCCUGCCACAAAGGCUUAAUAGAACGUUUACUCAAUAUCCUUACCCAAAGGAUAAAGAUAUUCAAAUGUAAUAACAAUGAUCAUACCAAUCAGUUGUCUAUCUUUGCACUACGGGCCAAAGAUAUUCAACUAUAAAACCAUUAGUCAUGAUCAUACCAAUCAAUUGCAUGUCGGUGCACUACGACCAAAGACAUUCAACUGUUAACUAAUGAUCAUGAUCCUGCCAAUCACAUCAUCGAAUUAUCCCUGCACUACGGCCAAGGAUAUUCUUUAGUAUCACCAGUGGUCAUGAUCAUGUCAUACAGCUGUCCAUCUUUGCACUACGGGCCAAAGCUAUCAAUCAAUAGUUCAUCUUUGGAUUACGACCAAAGAUAUCAAUCAACAGUUCUUCUUUGCACUACAGGCCAAAGUCAUACAACUGUAAAACCAAUAACCAACAGUCCAUCUAUGCACUACGGGCCAAAGAUGACUUUUAACGCAAUAUAAGCAUGAGGAUCAUGACAAUGAUAUAAAGAAUCAGUCAAAUGAGAUAAAGGAUAAAUAUUAAACAUUUAUAAUAUAAUUUAUCCAGAGUUCAAGAAUAUCCAAAUGUUAUCAAUCACUUAAUAAUCUCAUAAUCUAAUAUCAUUAAUAUUAUAACAAUAUUUUAAUCAUUUCUUAAACUUAAUUAUAAACAAUUUAUUUUAAUUGUUUACACUUUACUAAUUAAUGCAUUUAAUCAGCCUAAAAUGCCAAACUCAUAAGAUUUCAUCACCAAUAACCAAAACUCUCAUAAAAAAUCUGCAUAUACCUUAUAUAGGAUUUUCAAGCCAUAAAAUCCUAUUUAUCAAUUUUUUAACUUCACAUAACUUAUUUAAUUUAUAUGUUCGUAACUAAACUAUUUUCAUGAAAAAUAUCAAAUCAGUCUAAAAAAGUUUUCUUUUCUGAGAUUUAGCAGAAUAUAGUCCCAUAUUGAACAUAUAUUUUUCUCGAAAUUUUUAAAAUUCAUUUACUAUUUUUCAUAUGGCCAAAAUUACCGAAUAUUUAAACAUUUAUCAUAAACUAUACUUUUGUCCAAAAAUUCCAAAAUUUACAGGGUAUACUCCUUUGAUAUAUAUGUACGCCCAAUAAAUUUUUUAUCAAUUUUGGAGUUAACCACAAGGAUUUAUAAAGGUUUACUUUUAAAAUAGUCUUUUCCCAUAAAAUUCAUAACUUCUAAUCUAUACAUCCAAAAAUCACCAUUUUUGGACACAAUCUAGAAAACUCAUCAAAUUAUCAUUUCAAAUUUUUCCAGAAUUUUUGACGGUUAGAAAAAUUACGAAACUGCAAAUGGAUUUUCACCCACCAUGCGGUAAUCCACGUAGACAGAUCAUUUCCACAAUUUAAUAAAGAAUGAAUACGAAGGGUAAUUCACCAUGCAUGCGGUAGUCUGCGUAGACAGGUUAUUCCAACAGAAUAAUAAAGAAUGGAAUAACAGAAGAAUUCACCAUGCAUGCGGUAGUCCGCGUAAACAGGUUAUUAAUUCCAAUAGAAUAAUAAAAAAUGGAAUAACAGAAGAAUUCACCAUGCAUGCGGUAGUCCGCGUAGACAUGUUAUUCCAAUAGAAUUAUAAAGAAUGGAACAACAGAAGAAUUCACCAUGCAUACGGUACUCCGCGUAGACAGGUUAUUCCAACAGAAUAAUAAAGAAUGGAAUAGCAAAAGAAUUCACCAUGCAUGCGGCAGUACGCGUAGACAAUUUAUUCCAACAGAAUAAUAAAGAAUGGAAUAACAACCCUUACGAGUAUUAAAAGAAAAUAACUCUUUUCAUGAAUACGAAAGAAAUAAUACCCCUUACCUUAGAAGAAAACUGGAUAAUAGUAAGGUAGCAGACUUCUCUUCUUCUUUCUCUCUAUAAUUUCUCUAUAUAAUAAUUGCUCUUGUGAGACUUAGUGAAUUAGUGAGAAAUGAAGGAAGAAUGAGCUUCUAUUUAUAGGAAAAUAUAGUUUCAAUAAUUGCACAUUUUGUGGCUUGAAAUAUUACAGUAUAAUACCUUCCUUUUUUUCUUCAUUUUAAUUUAGUCCUACAAGUAUUAUCAAACUUGCACCACCUCCCUAAUAGUAAAUCAUGUGAAUUAAUAGUUCAUUCAUGUGACUCAAUAGUAUAAUCAUGUGAAAAAAAAACUAAUUAUAGUAUAGUACCUCCAUCUAUACCUCCAUUUUUAAUUUAGUCAUGCAAGUAUUAUCAAUCUUGCACCACCUCCCCUAAUAGUACUUGCAUGUGAAUCAAUAGUACACACAUGUGAACAAAUAGUUAUAAGCAUGUGAAUUAAUAGCAAUUAAUUGCUCAUUUAUCCGAUUAAUAAUCCGAUUGGUCAAUAUAACAUCCAGACAUCAAUUAUUAUCGAAAUAAUUGUCGAUUUCCACUAACACUAACAAUCCCAACACAAUGGAAAUAUUUUUAUCAACAAAUUUAUUUUUGAAAUUUUGAAGUUUGACUUUUUCUGCAAAAGUCAAAUGUUGACUUUUUGACCAAAAAGUCAACCCCAGUAAAUUUUGUGUUUAUAGUCUAUUUUUACUAAUUUUAUCGUUCUGGACUCAAAUAUCACGUUCGCGUCUCCAAAUUUAAUUCUGAACUCAAAUUCUAGUUUUUAAUAACAUUCAUAAUUAAUAUUAUAACUCACAAUAUUAACAACCAGAUCGUUCCCAAGAAAGAGGGGGCUUUCCGAUAAGGAUUUCUCCCUAUUAGCGCGCAAUUAUAUUACCUAUCCUCUCCUUGACAGAACUUCUAGACAUCGUCAAUAUUGCAAAUAAUAAUAUGAAUAACUUUGACGUCUCAAUUAUUGAUUUAAUAAUAUAAAAUAUUAUACAUAUGAUACUGUGACAAUAAUUGAAUCAAUAAUAUGAGAGAUAUGAUGCAGCAAUUACUGUAGCAAUAAUUGAGUUUAACUAAGUGACUUCUUACAUAAGCAUCAAUAAUCAAUACCAUAUGGUACUAUGCAACCACGCGUAUUACUGUAUUUUUACCACCAAUUAUUAUAUGACAACUUACUUACUUUGAAAAAUUUUCACAUAUCACCCUUAACUUUAACAUUUUAUCAAUUUAACUAUUUACUAAAUAGAAUAAUAAUUAUAAAAAUUGAAUACUUUCAUUUCGUAAAAUUCGGGGUCUUACAAUCUCAUCUCCUUAUGAAAUUUUGUCCUCGAAAUUUACGUACCUAGUAGUUCGAAGAGAUGAGAAUACCUUGCUUUCUUUUUCGUUUUGUACCUUCCCGGUUAUUUCCUCUCUAUCAUGAUUUUCCCAUUUCUCAUCUCCUGUAUUUCAGAUAUCAUUCUAGAAUAUAGAUUCAAAAUAAGGGUUAAUUAACAUGCCACAUAUUAUCUCUAUAUUCUGACCAACCAAUUAAAUAACAAAUAAACUUAGGUAGGUCAUACUAGCGAAUGAAUUACCCGUCUCUCCCCUCCUAGUUCUAGCCUCACAUCUUAGCCAGGGAUCAUAUCCCUAAGCUUUGAUACUAAUUGUGACGCCCCCAAAACAGGUAUACAUCACCUAUUUUGAGUCGCCAAAUAUAUGGUACAUAAUACAACUACAAACUUCUUUUAUACAAUUGUCGUGUAAAAUACGACAAAACAUAGCUGAGAGUUUAAACAAGAAUAUUGCCUUCUAGACAAUAUCCACUCUCAAUGGAGUUCUCAUUACAUUUAUUAUCACACAAUUUCACAGAAUAGUGAGGACUACUAAAACAACCAUCUGGACCGUCAAUCUGUUUCCCGACCAGUCCCAGCUAUAUUCUCAUUUCCUGAAGAGAACAGUGAAAGAAAAGGGUGAGCUCAACUAGCCCAGUAAGAAAUAUUAUGACUAAGAUAAUGCAGAAUAAAUUAUUCUUAGCCUUCAACAGUAUAACAACUGAUAGAAUACAAUAGACAACAAGUUUUAGAUCAACAACUGCAGCGGAAUAAGCAAUCCAUUAGAAGAGUCAAGUAGAACAUAAUGUCUACUAUCUUCUAUGAUUAAAAAGUUUAUCAUCAAUUUUAUCGCUGUAAUAUCCAUCAACAGUUCUUUAUUAUACCAAAGACAAAGAGAACUUUCAUCACCUGUCUUCACCUGAACCACCAAAGAUUUUAUUUAAAUUCACAAUUCAUGUUUAUAAUAAUGUGAAUCAACAGUUCGUCCUUGCCACAAAGGAUUAAUAGAACGUUUACUCAAUAUCCUUACCCAUAAGGAUAAAGAUAUUCAAAUGUAAUAACAAUGAUCAUACCAAUCAGUUGUCUAUCUUUGCACUACGGGCCAAAGAUAUUCAACUAUAAAACCAAUGGUCAUGAUCAUACCAAUCAAUUGUAUGUCAGUGCACUACGGCCAAAGACAUUCAAUUUUUACCUAAUGGUCAUGAUCCUGCCACUCACAUCAUCGAAUUAUCCCUGCACUACGGCCAAGGAUAUUCUUUAGUAUCACCAGUGGUCAUGAUCAUGUCAUACACCUGUCCAUCUUUGCACUACGGGCCAAAGCUAUCAAUCAACAGUUCAUCUUUGGAUUACGACCAAAGAUAUCAAUUAACAGUUCUUCUUUGCACUACAGGUCAAAGACAUACAACUUUAAAACCAAUAUCCAACAGUCCAUCUAUGCACUACGGACCAAAGAUGACUUUUAACGCAAUAUAAGCAUGAGGAUCAUGACAAUGAUAUAAAGAAUCAGUCAAAUGAGAUAAAGGAUAAUUAUUAAAUAUUUAUAAUAUAAUUUAUCCAGAGUUCAAGAAUAUCUAAAUGUUAUCAAUCACUUAAUAAUCUCAUAAUCUAAUAACGUCCAAGUUGUCAACAUGAUACUUCUUUGUAGAGUAAAAUUCAAGAAUGCUCAGAAGAAUAUUUUCAUGAAAACAUACUAGAUGAAGCGCAAAUAUUAAGGAUAUUCCACUAAUUUCAUGGAGUAUAGAAGUCAAAACUUUAACCAAUGGAGUAUAAUAAAGAAUGAAAUAACAAAAAAAAUCACCAUGCAUGCGGUACUUCGCAUAAACAGGUAAUUCCAACAGAAUAAUAAUAACGGAACCAGGUCAGGCAUAAUACGCACCGACAGGAUAUUCUAACAGAAUAAUAAAGAAUGGAAUAACAACAAAAAUCACCAUGCAUGCGGUACGUCGCAUAGACAGGUUAUUCCAACAGAAUAACAAAUAAUGGAACCAGGUCUGACGUAAAACGCACAGACAGGAUAUUCCAACAGAAUAAUAAAGACGAAACCAGGUUCGACGUAAAACGCACAGACAAGAUAUUCCAACAAAAUAAUAAAGACGGAACCAGGUCUGACAUAAAAUGCACAGACAAGAUAUUCAAACAGAAUAAUAAAGAAUGGAAUAAUAACAGAAUUUCACCAUGUAUGCGGUACUUCGCAUAGACAUGUUAUUCCAGCAGAAUAAUAAAUAAUGGAAUAACAAAAGAAUUUCACCAAGUAUAGGGUAGUCCGCGUAUACAGGUUAUUCCAACAGAAUAAUAAAGAAUGGAAUAAUAGAAGUUCUCUUCAUGAAUACAAAAGAAAUAAUACCCCUUACAGGUACAACAAAUAAUAUCCCUUACCGUAAAAGAAACUUGAUAUCGGAGUAGUGAAGUAGCAGAAUACUUUUCUUCUUUCUCUCUAUAGUUUCUNNNNNNNNNNNNNNNNNNNNNNNNNNNNNNNNNNNNNNNNNNNNNNNNNNNNNNNNNNNNNNNNNNNNNNNNNNNNNNNNNNNNNNNNNNNNNNNNNNNNUAACUUUAUAAAAGUAUUCUGUUUUAUAUAAAAAGAUUUUACUAUUAGCCUAAUAAAACGAAUAACUUUAUAAAAGUAUUCUGUUUUAUAUAAAAAAAAAUUCUAUUUUAUUACAUUAAUAAUACUAAUAAAACAAAACUUAUAUAUAUAUAAUAUAUAUAACAAUCAACAAUAAUUGAAUCAAAUAACGUGAGAUACUAUGCAGCAACUACUGUAGCAAUAAUUGAACAAAACUGAGUGACUUCUCACGUAAACAUCAAUAAUUAAUAUCGUGUGCUACUAUGCAACCACGCGUAUUACUGUACUUUUACUACCGAGUAGUUCAACAGGUUUAAUGGUAAAACUUCCGCUGUUAUUUUCAUAAAAAUAUUUUUGUCGUUUUCUCAAUCCGACAAUAAUUCUGUUGUGGGGUCCACCAAUGAUUGUGCCGUCGUACGAAUAUUCCCUGUUAAAACAAAUAUUUCCCGACCAAUCGAAUAUUAUAUAACAACUUGCAUACUUUGCAAAAUUUAUAAAUACUACCCACAACUAUAACAUUAUCUCAAAUUCACACCAUAAUAUUCAAAAAAAUAUUUCGAGAAAAUUAAAUCUUUAUUCGUAAAAUUUGGGAUUUUACAUUGUCGGCUCACAAUCUCCAGAAGACUAAAAGCCUCCUAUAAUUUUUCAUUAUAAUGUGUUUUUACCCGGAGAUAACUUAACGAAAGAGCCAGCCAUAGUUCAGAAUACAUGGAUCAAUGAUAUUGGAUGGGGGAAGAAGGAAAGAUGCCCUGACCAUCGAUCCACUAACAUUGUGAAAUGUACAUUAUAUACAUUCUCCUUGCUAGCUUUUGUUGGUAACCAAACCUUCACACCAAGGUAACCAAACUGUCAUACCAAGGUAACCAAUCCACACCUCCAUACCAAGGUAACCAAACCUUCAUACCAAGGUAACCAAUCCACACCUGUAGUUUUUUCAUAAUGCAGUUGGUAACCAAACUUUCAUCUCAAGGUUACCAAACCUGCAGUUUUUUUAUAGUGCAGUUGGUAACAAAACUUUCAUACCAAGGUUAUCAAUCCACCUCCACACCUUCAGUUUUUCAUAGUGCAGUUGGUAACUAAACCUCCAUACCAAGGUAACCAAUCCACACUUGCAGUUUUUUCAUAGUGCAGUUGGUGACCAAAUAAACUAUCAUACCAAGGUUACCAAACCUGCAUACCAAGGUUACCAAUCCACCUCCACACCUGCAGUUUUUUCAUAGUUCAGUUGGUAACCAAACUUUCAUACCAAAGUAACUAAACUGUCAUACCAAGGUAACCAAUCCACUUCCACACCUUCAGUUUUUUCAUAGUGCAGUUGGUAACCAAACCUUCACACCAAGGUAACCAAACCUUCAUACCAAGGUAACAAACCUUCAUACCAAGGUAAUCAAACCACAUCCACACCUGCAGUUUGUUCAUAGUGCAGUAAUUGGUAGCCAAACAUUCAUACUAAGGUAACCAAUUCAGUGUUAUUAGGUUACCAAUUUAUUUUGAAUGUGAUGCAGUUGGUAGCCAAACCUUUAUGCAGUGGGUAGCCAAACAUUCAUACCAAGGUAACCAAUUCAGUUUUAUUAAGUUACUAAUUUAUUUUGAAUGUGAUGCAGUUGGUAGCCAAACCUUCAUGCAGUUGGUUGCCAAACUUUCAGUCCAAGGUAACCAAUUCAUACUGUAGGCGUUGAUGUAGAUUGGUUACCUUAGUAUAAAGGUUUGGUUACCUUGGUAUAAAAGUUUGGUUACCUUGGUACGAAGGUUUGGUUAUCAACAUUACAUUACACAUCACUCUCUUAUCUCUCUCUUUUCUAUUCAGAAAAUAAUUUUUUUUUAUAAAACUAGAACUGAAGGUGUUCCAGUACUAUUAUUAAGUAGCUAGCUAGCUUAUUACAUGAUGACACCAAUUAUGCCUUUAUCUCCGUUCAUGUCAUGAACUCUAAUUGCUCUCUGGUGCCAUGACAUUACUAAUGAUCUUCUCCUCUGCAGUAUCUCGUGAAUUUUCUUUUCUUACCGGAAAACGGUUGCUCCCGCCACCACUGCCCCACCCUCCACCUCCACCGUCUCUGUAACCACCACCUGAGCCACCACCGCCAACUCCNNNNNNNNNNNNNNNNNNNNNNNNNNNNNNNNNNNNNNNNNNNNNNNNNNNNNNNNNNNNNNNNNNNNNNNNNNNNNNNNNNNNNNNNNNNNNNNNNNNNNNNNNNNNNNNNNNNNNNNNNNNNNNNNNNNNNNNNNNNNNNNNNNNNNNNNNNNNNNNNNNNNNNNNNNNNNNNNNNNNNNNNNNNNNNNNNNNNNNNNNNNNNNNNNNNNNNNNNNNNNNNNNNNNNNNNNNNNNNNNNNNNNNNNNNNNNNNNNNNNNNNNNNNNNNNNNNNNNNNNNNNNNNNNNNNNNNNNNNNNNNNNNNNNNNNNNNNNNNNNNNNNNNNNNNNNNNNNNNNNNNNNNNNNNNNNNNNNNNNNNNNNNNNNNNNNNNNNNNNNNNNNNNNNNNNNNNNNNNNNNNNNNNNNNNNNNNNNNNNNNNNNNNNNNNNNNNNNNNNNNNNNNNNNNNNNNNNNNNNNNNNNNNNNNNNNNNNNNNNNNNNNNNNNNNNNNNNNNNNNNNNNNNNNNNNNNNNNNNNNNNNNNNNNNNNNNNNNNNNNNNNNNNNNNNNNNNNNNNNNNNNNNNNNNNNNNNNNNNNNNNNNNNNNNNNNNAGAGUGUUGGGAGAUAGCAUUAGAUAUACAUAAUAUUUUUACAUAUUUACUAAUACACAAAAUCAUUUUCUAAUUUCUCUUUCAUCUUUCAUUCUAAACUAGCUAUCAAAGCAAAACAAAAAAGAGAGAGGGAGAGCAUAGAUUUGAUAGCCUUAAGGAGGUAAAGGGGAAGAAUUUUAAUCUUCAUGCACCCUAAGUUCAUCAAUUACUUUGGUAAAAGAAGAAGAACAUCCCAAAGAACAAGGUAAAGACCCUAAAAAAUUUCAAGUUUUGUUACUUUCUUUUGAUAAGUUUUGAUGAAAUAAAGAGCUUGUGUUCUUGAACUUUAAAACUCUUGAUCUACAUGUGUAUGCUUUUUUCACAUGUAGGUCUAGUUAUUUUUGAAGUUAAAAGUUUUUAAAAAAAAGAAAAAAGAAGAAGAAAUGAAAGUAUGUUCAAAAGGGGCUAAACACCCUAAAUUAACUAUUUUUUUUAUUUAGUUUUUUUUGAUGAAAUGUAAAGAUGAUGUUUCUAAGUUCUAAAAUUUUUUAUCUUUAUGUUUUCUAGUGUUUCAUAUAAAGAUCUAACCAUUUUUUAUGUUAAAGGUUUGAUCAAAGGUAAGGAAAGGAAACUAGUUUUUUUUUAACGAAUAAAAACCCUAAAACUUUUUAUUCACUUUGAAAUGCUAUCAUUUAAAAUCUACAUCUCCUAUUUAUGAUCCGUCAAAGAUGGGUGCUAGAUAUAGGAGUUAGCUUUCAAACCUAAGUGGUAUCACUCAAAUAUGUUGAAUUUACAAGCUUUGGUGACUGUUUUAACAAAGCUAUCCAGAUUUUUAAAAGAGAAAAAUGGAACAAUCUCAUUAUACUACAAAACAAUAUUAUUAAGGUUUAUUUACACUAUUUUAAGAGAAGCUAGAAAUGAGUUGCUGUUUGUCCAUAAGCAACAGCCACAAAGGUACUGUCUGAGAGCCUAGGAAGAGCUCCCAGACACUGUUUGUAUGCCUACUGCUACUGCCGAGGCAGUAGCCCUGCACCAAGUUCACUUUUAGCAACUUCUGAUAUUCUACUUUGCUUAGGCUAAAUUUUUAGAGAUGGUAAAGGUACUAUAUUAGUCUCUUUUAGAAACCUACGAGGCUUAAAUUUCACGUUUAUUUACUGUCCAAAAACAAUUGUCAAAGUGACUUAACAUAAUAGGUUUUAAUUUUUCACUUUGGCCUAAUAAUGUAGUUUAUUUCAUUUUAGUAAUGUUAAACUUAUUAAUUAUCUUUAUAUGUGUUGUCUCAACCACACUCAAGCUGCAAUUCCUUCUAAAAUCCCAUUUUUAGUUAAAACAGUUCACCUAGGACUUUUAACAAACAGGUGGUGUGCACAGUUCCAAUUUCUUCUUUUCAUAGCCAUUUAUUUGAGUUAUAAAUCCAUUUUUAUCCUCCUUAUUAUUCCUCAGCCCAACCUAGCUCCUUAUGCCUAAAUCCAGCUCAUAACAGUUAAAUACACGAUUUAAUAUGUGUAUAAUCAAGUAAUUGACAACUAUCUAGUUAUAACUUAGUUAGCUCACUAAUUUUCUUACUUUCAACCUUAUUAACAAUACAUUUCCAGCCCCAACAGUAGGCACAAUCCAUAACAGUUCUAGGCAUAGCAAUAUAUUGUACAAUCAUAAGCAUGUGCAAUCACUUAUUACAAUUAUAGGCAUAAGCAGUCACUUAUUACAACCUAACAAUUUCAAUUCUUGACAUACAAACUUAGUAAACAAUGGUUUUAUUACUCUACAUAAACAAGGUUCACAACUUAUAACUUUAAGCAUGAUAACUAGAAACAACCUCUAUCUUGAUUAAGGUGAAUAUUAAAGCACUUGGAAUAUGUAGUCUCUAAAAGAUAUUUGCAUACAUAGCUUCAAUUGGAUAAAUUCUUAGCUUACAUGUGAUUCUCACAACACAGUUUUUUUAUUAGUUAGUAAUAUAACCAAAUCAAGUCAUGACUUUGAAAUUAUAGGUAGCUAGGGGUUGUUUUGAAUCCUAAUCCAAAACAGGCCCAGAUUUGCCCUACUCUAGGCUCUUUUGAAAACUUCCAUAAACCUUCAUGGUUAGGUUCUUUAGACCCCAUGUUAUAAAGUAUAACCCACUUCAUUUUCAAGGACAGAUAAGUUCUUAUAUAAGUUUAUCAAUCUAGUUAAAAGUGGUUUCAUUUUGCUUAUGUAUAUGAUUGUCAUGGUAUGUAAGUUAUACCAAUACAUGUUAUACUUAGGCAUAGAGGGUACUUGAAGCAUAGCUACCCUUUAAAUGAGAACUUAAACAUAAUUUUGGACUCCAUUCCCAGCCAGCCUAUUUUGACACUAUAACAGUUUUAGAGUAGCAUUUUAGGCAUGGUUUAUUACACCAAAACAGUAGCAAGCACUAACGUAUAUGCCUUUCUAACACAUGAACCUUUUAUGUACCAUAUUUUCAUGAUUUAAAGCAUCUAAAGUCAAGGUCUUUAUGCUUUAGGCCAACACAACCCUCUUUAGUAUUUAAAUUCAAAAACAAACAUGGUUUACCAACAUGUUUACGAAGAUAGCAUAAGUGUGCAACAUAGAAGCUUAUACUAUCUUUUUAUAUAGUAUUUAACAUGCAUAAUAUAUGUUUGGAUGACAUGGAAUAUGUAAGACCCCAACUUAUUAUAAAUAAAAUUGAAUUUCUCUAUUUAUUAUCUUGAAAUAAUAAGGUGAUAAUUUGAUAUAAUACUUUAGUUAUGGGUGAAAUGUGCAAAUUUUGCAAAAUAAGCAAGUGGUUAUAAAAUAUUCAUUUUUGUCGAGGAAUAUUCGUUUGGUCAUGGAAUUUUCUUGUUGUCGGGGAAUAUUCGUAUGACGACGCAGCCAUUUGUUGGACCCAUAACAGAAUAAUUGUCGGAUGAAGAAAACAAUAAGCUUGAGUUUUUAUAAAUAACGGCGUAGUUGUUACCGUUAACACUGUUGGAAUACCCGGUGGUUAAAAUACAGUAAUACGCGUGAUUGCACAGUAGCACAUGGUAUUACACAGUAUUUUUGAAUUAUUAAUUCUUACAUAAGAAGACACUACUUAAUAAUUGUUACAGUAAUUACUGUUCAAUAUUUUAUUUUAUUUAUUCAAUAAUUGUUGCGUUGAUAUUUUAUAGUAUUGUUGUUUCAAUAAUUGUCAUUGCACAGUAUUUCCCAUUAUCAGAUCAAUAAUUCAUAAUAUUUGAAUAAUAUUAUUAGAUAGCAUUAUUGGCAAUGUCUAGAAAGUUUUGUCAAGGAGAGGUUUGGUCACUUAAUUGCGCGCUAGUAAGGAGAAAUUCUUAUCGAAAAGCCCCCUCUUUCCUGGGAACGGCCUGAUUGUCAUUAUUGUGAUUCUGUAAUAUUAUUUGUGAAUAAUUAUUUAUUGAUUUAUAUGAUAAGGAAAUAAUUAUUUUAUAUGGACAUAAAUGAUAUGAGACCCCAGAUUUUAUGAAUAAAUAUUUAUUUUUCUCGAAAUAAUUUUUUAAUAUUAUGGCGUGGAUUUGAUAUAAUGUUAUAGUUGUGGGUAGUAUUUAUAAAUUUUGCAAAGUAUGCAAGUUGUCAUAUUAUAUUCGAUUGGUCGGGAAAUAUUCUUUUUGUCGGAGAAUAUCCGUACGACGGCACAAUCAUUGAUGGACCCCACAACGGAAUAAUUGUUGGAUUGAGAAAACGAUAAAAAUAUUUUAUUAAAAAUAUCGGCGGAAGUUUUACCGUUAAUACUGUUGAACUACUCGGUAGUAAAAGUACAGUAAUACACGUGAUUGCAUAGUAGCACACGGUAUUGAUUAUUGAUGUUUACGUGAGAAGUCACUCAGUUUUGUUCAAUUAUUACUACAUUAGUUGCUGCAUAAUAUCUCACGUUAUUUGAUUCAAUUAUUGUUGAUUGUUAUAUAUAUAUAUAUAUAUAUAUAUAUAAGUUUUGUUUUAUUAGUAUUAUUAAUGUAAUAAAACAGAAAAACUUUUUAUAUAAAACAGAAUACUUUUAUAAAGUUAUUCGUUUUAUUAGGCUAAUAGUAAAAUCUUUUUAUAUAAAANNNNNNNNNNNNNNNNNNNNNNNNNNNNNNNNNNNNNNNNNNNNNNNNNNNNNNNNNNNNNNNNNNNNNNNNNNNNNNNNNNNNNNNNNNNNNNNNNNNNNNNNNNNNNNNNNNNNNNNNNNNNNNNNNNNNNNNNNNNNNNNNNNNNNNNNNNNNNNNNNNNNNNNNNNNNNNNNNNNNNNNNNNNNNNNNNNNNNNNNNNNNNNNNNNNNNNNNNNNNNNNNNNNNNNNNNNNNNNNNNNNNNNNNNNNNNNNNNNNNNNNNNNNNNNNNNNNNNNNNNNNNNNNNNNNNNNNNNNNNNNNNNNNNNNNNNNNNNNNNNNNNNNNNNNNNNNNNNNNNNNNNNNNNNNNNNNNNNNNNNNNNNNNNNNNNNNNNNNNNNNNNNNNNNNNNNNNNNNNNNNNNNNNNNNNNNNNNNNNNNNNNNNNNNNNNNNNNNNNNNNNNNNNNNNNNNNNNNNNNNNNNNNNNNNNNNNNNNNNNNNNNNNNNNNNNNNNNNNNNNNNNNNNNNNNNNNNNNNNNNNNNNNNNNNNNNNNNNNNNNNNNNNNNNNNNNNNNNNNNNNNNNNNNNNNNNNNNNNNNNNNNNNNNNNNNNNNNNNNNNNNNNNNNNNNNNNNNNNNNNNNNNNNNNNNNNNNNNNNNNNNNNNNNNNNNNNNNNNNNNNNNNNNNNNNNNNNNNNNNNNNNNNNNNNNNNNNNNNNNNNNNNNNNNNNNNNNNNNNNNNNNNNNNNNNNNNNNNNNNNNNNNNNNNNNNNNNNNNNNNNNNNNNNNNNNNNNNNNNNNNNNNNNNNNNNNNNNNNNNNNNNNNNNNNNNNNNNNNNNNNNNNNNNNNNNNNNNNNNNNNNNNNNNNNNNNNNNNNNNNNNNNNNNNNNNNNNNNNNNNNNNNNNNNNNNNNNNNNNNNNNNNNNNNNNNNNNNNNNNNNNNNNNNNNNNNNNNNNNNNNNNNNNNNNNNNNNNNNNNNNNNNNNNNNNNNNNNNNNNNNNNNNNNNNNNNNNNNNNNNNNNNNNNNNNNNNNNNNNNNNNNNNNNNNNNNNNNNNNNNNNNNNNNNNNNNNNNNNNNNNNNNNNNNNNNNNNNNNNNNNNNNNNNNNNNNNNNNNNNNNNNNNNNNNNNNNNNNNNNNNNNNNNNNNNNNNNNNNNNNNNNNNNNNNNNNNNNNNNNNNNNNNNNNNNNNNNNNNNNNNNNNNNNNNNNNNNNNNNNNNNNNNNNNNNNNNNNNNNNNNNNNNNNNNNNNNNNNNNNNNNNNNNNNNNNNNNNNNNNNNNNNNNNNNNNNNNNNNNNNNNNNNNNNNNNNNNNNNNNNNNNNNNNNNNNNNNNNNNNNNNNNNNNNNNNNNNNNNNNNNNNNNNNNNNNNNNNNNNNNNNNNNNNNNNNNNNNNNNNNNNNNNNNNNNNNNNNNNNNNNNNNNNNNNNNNNNNNNNNNNNNNNNNNNNNNNNNNNNNNNNNNNNNNNNNNNNNNNNNNNNNNNNNNNNNNNNNNNNNNNNNNNNNNNNNNNNNNNNNNNNNGAUAUUGUUUAGAAGACAAUAUUUGUAUUAAAACUCACAGCUCUCUUGUUGUAUAUUAAAGAUUGUAUUUGUAUUCUGUACCAUGUAUUUGGCGACUCAGAAUAGGUGAUGUAUACCUAUUUUGGGGGCGUCACAGUUGGUAUCAAAGCUUAGGGAUAUGAUCCCUGGCUGAGAUGUGAGAUAAGAACUAGGAGGGGAGAGACGGGGAAUUCCUUCGCUAGUAUGAACUACCUAAGUUUAUUUGGUAUUUAAUUGGUCGGUUAGAGUAUAGGGAUAAUAUGUGUUAUGUUAAUUAACCCUUAUUUUGUGGCAGUAUUUAAAAAUGGCAUCCGAUAAUGUUGAGAAUAGCAAUGGAGCACAGGAGACCGUUGAGUCUCCACAGAUUAAUAAUCAGGACAAUGUGCAACCGGAUGACGAUAAUCCUCCUGUAAACAACAACACUAAUCAAUUGACGAACGACGGUACGUUUAAGAGCUUUUUAGAAUUCAUGCAACACCAAACGAGAGAGACUCCUGUUCAUAAUGCUGGAGGAAACAAUGGCAACCCACGGUUGGUCACCGCUAAGUAGUUCAAGGAGCUGGGACCACCAGAGUUUUUGGAAAAGCCAGAACCACUUAAGGCAGAGACGUGGUUAAAGCAGAUCACCAAGAUAUUUGAUGUCUUGGGAUGCUUGAAAGAGCAAAAAGUUCCAUUCGCCACCUUUAUGUUUCGUGAAGAAGCAGAUCACUGGUGGGAAUCUAUAAAACGUACCCAGCCUGACGCACUCAAGAUAUCUUGGGAGAAGUUCCAAGAGCUGUUCAACGACAAGUACUUUCCUGAAAGUAUUCGUCACAUGAAGGAGGUGGAGUUCAUCAAGCUGGAGCAAAACAAUAUGACCGUGUCGCAGUACGAGGCUAAGUUUGCCGAGUUGUUCCGAUUUGCGUUCCAUUUGGUUGAUAAUGAGGAAAGAAUGACGCGAAUGUUUCUAAGAGGUUUGAAAUCCAAUAUACGUCAAUACCUCAUUUCUCACAAACUUUAUUUAUAGUCAGAUGUUGUGAAUAGGGCUCAGUUAUUGGAGCACGAUAAUGAGUUAGCACAACCAAAAGGCAAUGACCAACAACACGAUAAUAAUUAUAUCAGUGGCAACGGUCAUCGGAACAAUGAUAACCAUCGUGGGGGAAAUUAUCAUGCCAAGAAUGGUAACCACUUCGCUGGUAAUCAUGGACAAGAUAAUAGAAGUGGAAAUUUCAAGAAGAGAAGGUUCAAUAAUGAUGGAAAGACAGUAGCACCAGCACCCGUUUCAAAGGAAGAAGAACGACCACCGAUCGUAUGUUUCAAAUGCGGACAGGAGGGACACAUCCGUCCAAACUGUAUGCAGCAAUCCAAAACGUGUUUUAAUUGCGAAAGAGAAGGUCACCUAGCUCGAUUUUAUCGUAUGGUAAAGUCAAGUCCAGCUGGGAUAGUGAUGCCAAAGGAUGUCCCAGACAAGCCAAAGCUGAUAAUUUAAGAGAGAACGUUUUUUUUCUCGUGACGAGGAACCUGAAUAAAAUUAUCAUGGGUAAGUUAAUCAUAAACUCUUGCGAAGUCUAUACCAUGUUAGAUACCGGUUUUACUCACUCUUUUAUUUCACCUAGUUGUGUUCAAUGUUUGUACUUAACUCCGGAGAAGUUAGAAUCUGAUUUAUCUAUUAAAACUCCGUUGGGAGAAACCUUCGUUACAUCUAUUAUUUAUAAAUCUUGUUUGAUUCAAAUCGACACUUUCAUGUUACCUGUCGAUCUUAUCUCUUUGAAAAUACUUAUCUUUGAUGUGAUUUUAGAAAUCGAUUGGUUAACUACUCAUCAUGCUUUUCGUAAGGUUGUUAGAUUUCAUAUUCCUAACCAACCUGUUAUGCAAAUUCAAGCAACCAAACCACUAAAUUCAAUCAUUGUCAUAUCAAGCCAUAAGUAAAGAGCCCCGAUCCUUUUGUUGUUGACUUCCUUGUGUGGAAUGCACUGAAGCCAGACUUUCUGUAUGCGACAUCAUGAAUGACGAUGGCAAGUUGAUAGGUAUUAAUAUGACGUACUAUCCAAGUCUUGGAUGAGAGUAACAGUUUUGAAUGAUAUUUCUAUCGUUAAUAAAUUUCCUGACGUAUUCCUGAAGACUUCAUAGCCUACCCCUAGAGCAUGAAAUCGAAUUUUAUAUUGACCCCAGUACAAAACCCAUUUCUUACACCCUCGAAUAUUUCUUCAACUAAAAUGAACGUAACAUACGCCAAAGACGUUGAAUCGAGCUGUUGAAGAUUACGAACGUACCAUUCAAUACCAUCGUAGGAAAAGCUAACAUGGUUGCUAACGCGUUGAGUAGAAGAUCGUAUGCGGUUACAAGUGCGAAUAUAAGAACCCACGUGAAGAUAAUGAAUAUACGAGUAGAAUUGACUUUAAUCAAUAAAGUUAAAGCCGCUCAAGCUAAAUACUCAGAGCUGAUGAAUGUGAAAAAGAAGGUUUAAGAGGGUGUUAUUCUAGAAGCAAGAAUCGAUGAAGAGAGGAAAUCUCAACCCUCGAUUUAAUUGGCCCAUUUGAAAUCCUCGAUUGAGUAGGAACUGUGGCUUACAGACUCAUUUUACCGCCAAGUAUGUCGCGUGCUCAUAACGUUUUUAACGUAUCGAUGUUACGUAAAUAUGUGGACGACCCAAACCACAUUAUUAAUUUAGAACCAGAUGAGAUAGCAGAUGAUUUAACGUAUGAGGAGAUACGUGUUAAAAUCUUGGAUAAGAAGGAUUAUAUUCGACACUCAAAGGUUAUAUCUCAAGAGUUAGAAUCUGAAAUGAAGUCAAGGUAUCCUCACCUGUUCGGCAUACCAGGUACGUACGUAAAUUUUGAGGGCGAAAUUCCAUAAGGAGGGGAGAUUGUGAGACCCCAGAUUUUAUGAAUAAAUAUUUAAUUUUCUCAAAAUAAUUUUUUAAUAUUAUGGUGUGGAUUUGAUAUAAUGUUAUAGUUGUGGGUAGUAUUUAUAAAUUUUACAAAGUAUGCAAGUUGUCAUAUUAUAUUCGAUUGGUUGGGGAAUAUUCUUUUUGUUGAGGAAUAUCCGUACGACGGCACAAUCAUUGGUGGACCCCACAACGGAAUUAUUGUCGGAUUGAGAAAACGACAAAAAUAUUUUAUUAAAAAUAACGGCGGAAGUUUUACUGUUAAUACUGUUGAACUACUCGGUAGUAAAAGUACAGUAAUACGCGUGGUUGCAUAGUAGCACACGGUAUUGAUUAUUGAUGCUUACGUGAUAAGUCACUCAGUUUUGUUAUUGGUAUUAUUAAUGUAAUAAAACAUAAAAUCUUUUUAUAUAAAACAGAAUACUUUUAUAAAGUUAUUCUAUAAAUAGAAUAUAUUAUAUUCUAUUAUGCAUAGUGUUUUGCAUAGUAAAAUCUUUUUAUAUAAAACAGAAUACUUUUAUAAAGUUAUUCUAUAAAUAGAAUAUAUUAUAUUCUAUUAUGCAUAGUGUUUUGCAUAGUAAAAUCUUUUUAUAUAAAACAGAAUACUUUUAUAAAGUUAUUCUAUAAAUAGAAUAUAUUAUAUUCUAUUAUGCAUAGUGUUUUGCAUAGUAAAAUCUUUUUAUAUAAAACAGAAUACUUUUAUAAAGUUAUUCUAUAAAUAGAAUAUAUUAUAUUCUAUUAUGCAUAGUGUUUUGCAUAGUAAAAUCUUUUUAUAUAAAACAGAAUACUUUUAUAAAGUUAUUCUAUAAAUAGAAUAUAUUAUAUUCUAUUAUGCAUAGUGUUUUGCAUAGUAAAAUCUUUUUAUAUAAAACAGAAUACUUUUAUAAAGUUAUUCUAUAAAUAGAAUAUAUUAUAUUCUAUUAUGCAUAGUGUUGCAUAGUGUCUGCAUAGUGAUUUGCAUAGUAAAAUCUUUUUAUAUAAAACAGAAUAUUUUUAUAAAGUUAUUCGUUUUAUUAGAUUAUAAAUAGAAUAUAUUAUAUUUUAUUUAAAAGAUUUUGCUUUAAAUAUGGACCGUCCGAUUAAAGUAAAUCAAUCUGGACCGUUCAUGAGUUAGUUACUAUGUAGUCCAUUCUUCUAUAAAUAGAAGCUCAUUCCUUCAUUAUUUUCUUACGAAUUCACUGAAACCCUAGAGAGAGAAAUUAUAGAGAAAAAAAAGAAAAGUAUUCUGCUACUUUACUACUCCGAUAUCAAGUUUCUUUUACGGUAAGAGAUAUUAUUUGUUGUACUCGUAAGGGGUAUUAUUUCUUUUGUAAUCAUGAAGAGAACUUCUGUUAUUCCAUUCUUUAUUAUUCUGUUGGAAUAACCUGUAUACGUGGUCUACCCUAUACUUGGUGAAAUUCUUCUGUUAUUCAAUUCUUUAUUAUUCUAUUGGAAUAUCCUGUCUGUGCGUUUUAUGCCAGACCUGGUUCCGUCUUUAUUAUUCUGUUGGAAUAUCCUGUCUGUGCGUUUUACGCCGGACCUGGUUCCGUCUUUAUUAUUCUGUUGGAAUAUCCUGUCUGUGCGUUUUACGCCGGACCUGGUUCCGUUAUUUAUUAUUCUGUUGGAAUAACCUGUCUAUUCGAAGUACCGCAUGCAUGGUGAUUUUUGUUGUUAUUCCAUUCUUUAUUAUUCUAUUGGAAUAUCAUGUCUGUGCGUUUUACGCCAGACCUAGUUCUAUCUUUAUUAUUUUGUUGGAAUAACCUGUCUAUGUGAAGUAUCGCAUGCAUGGUAAUUUCUGUUGUUAUUCCAUUCUUUAUUAUUCUGUUGGAAUAUCCUGUCGGUGUGUAUUACGCCUGACCUGGUUCCGUUAUUUAUUAUUCUAUUAGAAUAACUUGUCUAUGCGAAGUACCGUAUGUAUGGUGAUUUCUUUUCUUAUUCCAUUCUUUAUUAUACUCAGUUAGUUAAAGUUUUGACUUCUAUACUCCAUGAAAUUAGUGGAAUAUCCUUGAUAUUUAUACUUCAUCCAGUAUCUUUUCAUGAAAAUAUUCUUCUGAGCAUUCUUGAAUUUUACUCUACAAAGAAGUAUCAUGUUGAAAAUUUGGACGUUAUUGAUUCCUGGAUAAAUUAAUUCGUGAACUUGUUUUAUUGAAUUAUUAUGUCAUUGUCAUCAUCCUCAUGUUUAUUUUUUUUGAAAGUCAUCUGUGGCCUGUAGUGCAUAGAUGGACUUGGUAUGAUUAUGACCAGGGAUUAUUCGGUAUAAUCAUGACCGUAAUAUUACAAAUGAUGUGGAAAAAGUCCUCAUUGGCCCGUAAUGCAUUAAUGGACAGUUUUCGGUAUGAUUAUGGCUAUGGAUUCUCUUCGGCCAAGGGUGCAAAAAUGAAUUGUUUUAUGUCAUGAUCAGGACCGUUGAUGAAAACACGAUUUUCUUUGGCCCGUAGUGCAUGGAUAAUUCGUGGUCGUGAUACUAAAGAAUAUCCUUGGCCUGUAGUGCAGGGAUGAUUUGAUGAUGUGGAUUAUUUAUUGGGCUGAGUCUCAGCAAUAAAAGUGAUGAAAAAACUUUUUAAAUCAUAAAACAUAGUAGAUUCUAUUCUCUACUUGACUCUUUUAAUGGAUUGCUUGUUCCGCUGCAGUUAAACUUGAUGUCUAUUGUAUUUUAUCAGUUUAACAUUGUUGAAGACUAAUGAUAAUUUAUUCUGCACUAUCUUAGUCAUAAUAUUUCUUACUGGGCUAGUUGAGCUCACCCUUUCUUUCACUGUUCUAUUCAGGAAAUGAGAAUAUAGCUGGGGCGAGUCGGGGAACGGAGUGAUGGACCAGAUGAUAGUAUUAGUAGUCCUCACUAUUCUGUUAAAUAGUGUGAUAAUAAAUGUAAUGAGGACAUAUUCUGAGAGUGGAUAUUGUUUAGAAGACAGUAUUUGUAUUAAAACUCACAGCUCUCUUGUUGUAUAUUAAAGAUUGUAUUUGUAUUAUGUACCAUGUAUUUGGCGACUCAGAAUAGGUGAUGUAUACCUAUUUUGGGGGCGUCAAAAAUGAUGGGUAGAAAAAUAUUUAUUUUGUGUGGUUAUAAAUGAAGAAAUUAAUUUUGAGGUAUUUUAUAAUUAUUUUGUCAGAAUGGAUGUAUUAAAAAUCAUCCGUAUGUGGAUUUCGGACAUUUUUUGUUUAGAAUUUGGAAAAACUUUCUUCUCUAAAGUUGUAGAGAAUUUGAUUUCCUAUGGAAUGGACAUAAAAUUCAUAUUUUUCUGAUAAAAGAGCUAUUUAUUGUGAAUUAAAUGGAGUAAAGAUAAUCAAAUUGAAUUAGUUUUCAAAUUGAAUUUGAAUUCUUUUAUUUAUUUAUUUUUCAAAAAUAUGUGAUAAAUUAUUGGGGUGGGUGAGCAAAGUUGGACAAUCUUGAUUCAAGUAAGGUGUGCGUAGAAGAGAAGGAAAUAAGAAUAUUAUUUUAUUAUUUUAGUCUCCUUUGGCGUUCUAGCAUUUUUCUAUAAAUAGGUGCUUAAGUUAGAAUUGAAAAUCACACCAGAAACAUAAGCUUUCUCUCUCUAGAUUAUCGAGCGUAUUAUUGUGAGUAUUUUUCUUGAGUAUAGGAAUACUUUGAGCGUAGUUUUCUGCAAGAUUUUCUCAGAAUAAUAUCCAAUAUUCCAGGCAAAUCCAGUUUCUACUAAGGUAAAGGAUAUUAUUUUAUUGCUUUUAUAAUUCCUGAAAUGAUUAGAAAUUUCACUUCAUCUAAUAUCCUUUUAUAGGAAUAUUGGUCUGAACUUUUUAUCAAAUUUAGAACUUUUCAUGACGGGUACUGUUCACCGGUACUGUUCACGGGUACUGUUCAAAAAAGAAAAAAAAAUUUCUCCUUCCCAGUUAUCUGUUGUGACCUUUAAUCCUGAAAUUGAAUCCAUGUUUUUGAUCUUUAUUCUUGAAUUUUACUCCAUUAUGGUUUAUUAUGGAGUAUUUUUAAACUUGAGUUAUCUAAAGUACAAAUCUCUAAACUUUAUCCUUUUAUCUCACUUGAUUCGUUCUCUAAAAUGUUUUUCAUCAUCCUCAGUCCUUAAUGGUGAUACUUGAUAAAUAUCUUUGGCCUGUAGUGCAAAGAUGUAUGAUUACCUGAUGAAUAUCUUUGGCCUGUAGUGCAAAGAUGAACAGGUGUUGAGAUGAACAUGACCAACUGGUGAUACAAAUGAAUAUCUUUGGCCCGUAGUGUAAAGAUGAAUAUUUGAUUCAAGAUGUAUAUUGAUUGAUGUUACAGGGAUAAAAUAUUGAUGAUGGACUUUUAAAUUCAUAGAUGAUAGUAGAUUUCAUUCUCUACUUAACUCUUCUAAUGAAUUGUUGUUUCCGCUGCAGUUGUUGAUCUAAAACUUGUUGUCUAUUGUAUUCUAUCAGAUUUUUCCCUGUUGAAGACUAAGGAUAAUUUGUUGUAUAUUAUCUUAGUCAUAAUAUUCUUUACUGGGCUAGUUGAGCUCACCCUUUUCCUUUUUGUUCCAUUUUUCUUCUCAGGAAGCGAGAACAUAGCAGGAACCAGUCGGGGUAUAGAGUGAUGGUCCUAGACAGUUGUUUUAGAAGUCCUCACUAUUUUUGUAAAAUAGUGCAUCAAUAAUUGUAAUGAAGACUUUAUUUGAGUGUGGAUAUUGUCUAGAAGACAAUAUUUGUAUUUAAACUCACAGUAUGUGUUGUCGUAUUUUGCACGACAAUUGUAAUAAUAAAGUUGUAGUUAUUUUCUGUACCAUAUAUUUGGCGACUCAGAAUGGGUGAUGUAUACCUAUUUUAGGGGCGUCGCAGAAUAGCUUAUACCAUAUCAGUCAUUAUCAAAUCCUCUAGUCUAGCAUACAAAAUCCUUAAAACGGUGGCUAAGUCUUAGUUAAAUGCUUAGCUCAUAUAUAGACCGGUAUACACCAAGUUAUAAUCAUCUUAUGCUCAUGCAAAACUAACCUUUUAAGCACAUUUGCAUCUUUAGAAUUUUAAUAUAGAAUAUUGGCAUAGGAUUAGACUUGGCUGUACUCAUUUUCAACACAGUUGACUCCAAUAGUCUAUUAACAGACAUUUUACCAAACAGUUGGGAUGCGGUUCAUAUCUAUCCAUACAAUACAUAUAUUCUUAGCUUAGUGAUCCCAGCCUUAUGGCUUAAACAAUAACAAGCAUAAGAUGAUACAUAACAACUCCAAUCACGGUAAUCCAAAUAGCAUUGAAACAGGCAUCCUAUUGUACCAAUUCCAAUAUAACAGCCAUACAUGUUACCUAAACUCUAACAGUCCAGUUGCUAUCAUUUAAAGAAACAGGAACGAAUGGAAAAGGAUUGGAAAGGUCAGAAUUGGCUUACCUUGUUGAUUUGAAGGUUACAAGUGGGUUGAGCUGCCCAGUUUCUCCUCCUUCUCUAGCCGAAGCUUUUCCUCUCUUACUCUAUAUGACUGAUACCGUUACUUCUUCCCUUUUUCUUUUAACUUUGCUAAGUGGUGAGCUAAUCGGUUCUAGGCCAUAAGCUUGGCCUUUUAUGGUUGAGUUUAUCUCCUCUUUUCUGGCAGUACUAUCACCUUUAGUUGGCCUCUACACAACCACCCUAUCAAGCUCCCAUCCAUCAUUCCUAUUCUAGUUCACUUGGCCCCUAUAGGGCCUGUCAGACCAUAGCUAUUCUGCUUCCUCUUAUCCACUGCAAGUUUAUCCCACCUGCUAGCUGACUGUUAACUGAACUAACAUGCUAACUAGAAACCAACUUAGAAUUCGUAUAACUUGCUACUUGACUUGGUGCUCAAGCCAUGUUAUUGUUUUUCUUAAUUGGUUUGAAGCAGUUAUCUUGCUAUACAUCACUGGGUUUACAGGAUUGGGCUGGGGGAACAAUGUGACAAUUUUAAUUUGGGUUUAAACUAACCCUCCCUCUUUAACCAUGUAGCUGCCAAAUUGCACUAAGAAAAUAGGUUAAAAUUGGCCCUUUUAAUUUUGUUAUAGACCUAAUACAACAACCCAUACCCUAAAAUAGUUGAAAGGGGCAUACAAGCAUACAUAGCAAAAUUUAAUAUGGCCCAAUGUUUUAGAAUGGACUCAUUUUAAACACAAAAUUUUUUCUAUCUUAUUAAAUUCCUUUUAGGCUAGCAACAAUAGUUGGUACAUAUAUCAUUAACUCUUUUUUUUUACCAUUCAUGAUCUAAGAUACUUAAUAAAAUAUUAAGUAACAAAUAAUUAUAAGGUCAGGAUACAAAAAUAAAAUAAAAUUUAUACACAAAAUUGACAUUAUAACAACUGAAUAUUUUAUAGAAUUUCUGAGUCAUUACAUUUACUUUGUUAAGGACUAAUGAUAAUUUAUUUUACAUUAUCUUAGUCAUAAUAUUCUUUACUAGGCUAGUUGAGCUCACCAUUUUCUUUCAUUGUUCUUUUCAGGAAAUGAGAAUAUAGUUGUGACUAGUCGGAGAAUGGAGUGAUGGUCCAAGAUGGUUGCUAUAGUAGUCCUCACUAUUCUAUAAAAUAGUGUGAUAAUAAUUGUAAUGAGAACUUCAUUUGAGUUUGGAUAUUGUCUACGAAAUAAUAUUUGUAUUAAAACUCACAACUUACGUUUUGUCGUAUUUUACACGACAAUUAAUAAUUGUAUAAAUGCAGUUUGUAUUUGAAUUUUGUACCAUGUAUUUGGUGACUCAGAAUGAGUUGUAUGGACCUAUUUUGGGGGAGUCACGAAUAGGACCCAAGAAGAUUUGGGUACGAAAAAGGUAGACUAUUUGUUCAUUUUGUCAAUGUCUUAAGUUCAAAAAGGAGACGAAUAGUACUUAUAAAUUAUUUGGCAAAAUCUGUAAGUACCUUAUAUUUUUUUCUAAAAUAGUGUUUUAAUUAGAUAUAUUAUGAAAAAUCUAUGGAUUUCGUAUUACAUGGGUUCAUAACAUCAUUUAUUAUAAAGUAUAUAUUGUGCUAAAUGCUCCAUAUUUAAUACAAAUGACAAUCUUGAUGAGGAAUAAGUGAAUAUUAUUUUUGAUUAACUUAACCAUGAUCUGCUAAAGGAAGAGAAUGAGGUUUCUGUUGGAAAUGACUAUUUGAAUUGUGGAACCCAAACAGUUCAAUCCGGACAGUCUAAGAUGUGAGACCCCGAAUUUUAUGAAAUAAAAGUAUUAAAUUUUUCUAUUUUGGUAAAUAGUUAAAUUGAUAAAAGUUUAAAGUUAAGGGUCAUAUUUGAAAAUUUUGCAAAGUAUGCAAGUUGUUAUAAAUAUUCGAUUGGUCGGAGAAUAUUCUUUUUGUCGGGGAAUAUUCGUACGACGGCACAAUCUUUGGUGAACCCACAACGGAAGUACUGUCGUAGUUAGAAAAAGACAAAAAUAUUUUAUGAAAAUAACGACGAAGGUUUUACCGUUAAAAUUGUUGAACUACCCGGUAGUAAAAGUACAAUAAUACUCGUGGUUGCAUAGUAGCACACGGUAUUGAUUAUUGAUACUUAUGUGAGAAGUCACUGAGUUAUACUCAAUUAUUGCUACAGUAAUUGUUGCAUCAUAUCUCUCAUAUUAUUGAUUCGAUUAUUGUCAGUAUCAUCUGCAUUAUAUGUUAUUUUAUUAAAUCAAUAAUUGAGACGACAAAGUUAUUCAUAUUAUUAAAUUGCAAUAUUUAUAAUGUCUAGAAGUUCUGUCAAGGAGAGGUUAGAUAAUCUAAUUACGCGCCAAUAGGGAGAAAUCUUUAUCGGAAAGCCCCCUCUUUCCUGGGAACAACCUGGUUGUUAAAUAUUGUGAGUUAUGAUAUUAAUGAUGGAUAAGUUCGUGUUGAUUAAAGAUGAAUUUUAUAGUUUUAUUGUGUUGGGAUUAUUUGUGUUAGUAGAAAUUGACAUCUAUUCCGAUGAUUAUUGAUGUCUGGAGGUUAUAUUGUUCAAUCGGGUAUUCGGGACACUUUUCAUGUCAGAGUUAUUAUUCAUGAGUUACUAUUCACGAGUUACUAUUCAUGAGUUACUAUUCACUAGUUACUAUUCACAAGUUACUAUUCACCUAAUUACUAUUCACUCUAGUAUUGUGCAUUCGGGUAUUUGGGUACAAUAUUAUUCCAUGAGGAGAUGUGUUAAUUUUUCUGACCGUUGGUUGAAAUUAUAAUAGUAAAUCAAUAUGGAUCGUUGAUUUAAAGUCUUAAUAGUAACUUGUCCCUUCAAUAUUACCAAGAGUUAAUUGCCCCUUCGUAAAUAGUAGUUGUCCCUUCAAUAUUACCAAGAGUUAUUUGCCUCUUCGGUGUUCCAAGAGUUAAUUACCCCUUCGCAAACAGUAGUUGUCUCUUCAAUAUUACCAAGAGUCAUUUUGACCCUUCGUUAAGACCAAGAGCCACUCUCAGUUUUUCUAUAAAUAGAAGCUCAUUCCUUCAUUAUUUCUUACGAAUUCACUGAAACUCUAGAGAGAGAAAUUAUAGAGAGAAAGAAGAAGAGUAUUCUGUUACUUCACUACUUCGAUAUCCAGUGUCUUUUACGGUAAGGGAUAUUAUUUGUUGUACCCGUAAGGGGUGUUAUUCUUUCUUAGUCAUGAAGAGAACUUCUGUUAUUCCAUUCUUUAUUAUUCUGUUGGAAUAACCUGUAUAAGCGGCAUACCCUAUACAUAACCUGUAUAUGCGGCAUACCCUAUACUUGGUGAAAUCCCUUUGUUAUUCCAUUCUAUAUUAUUAUGUUGGAAUAACCUGUUUAUGCCAAGUACCGUAUGCAUAGUGAAAUUCUUCUAUUAUUUCAUUCUAUAUUAUUAUGUUGGAAUAACCUGUUUAUGCGAAGUACCGCAUACAUGGUGAAAUUCUUCUAUUAUUCCAUUCUUUAAUAUUCUGUCAGAAUAUCCUGUCGGUGUGAAUUUCGGCUGACCUGGUUCCAUUUAUUAUUCUGUUGGAAUAACCUGUAUACGCGUAUUACCGUAUACUUGGUGAUGUCUGUUGUUCUUCCAUUCUUUACUAUUCUGCUGGAAUAUCCUGUCUGUGCGUUUUACGCCAGACCUGGUUCCGUCUUUAUUAUUCUGUUGGGAAUAACUUGUCUGUGUGGUCUCUAUCGCAUGCAUGAUGAAUCCUUCUGUUAUUCCAUUCUUUAUUAUUCUGUUAGAAUAACCUGUCUAUGUGGAUUACCACAUGCAUGGUGAAUGAUCCUUUAUAUUCAUUCCUUAUUAAAUUGUGGAAAUGAUCCGGUUACGUUGAUUAUGAUGAGAGUCAUAAUAAAAGUAUUGGACUAAUGAAAAUCAUGGGUAUAUGUGGUAUUAGUAAGUGUUAUGAUGAGUUAUGUUGGUUAUUAUGUGAAAACAUGAAAGUUUCUUAGAAAUCACAAAGGGUUGAAAAUCAGAUUUUGGUGAAAAUAGAACAUGAAAUUCAAUUGACCAUAUCUCCUAUUAUAUUUCAAAUUUUUGGGUGUGGUUAAGUUCUAGAGUUAGGUCUAUGAGUUAUGUAACUUAUCCAAGUGGAAUCACUGGAAAAGGUGUUGUAGAUUUUCGUGUGGACUGAUUUUAGCAAAGGAGUGCAAAGCUGCAAAAACCCAAAACUCUACUGCCCAGAAACUUUAAGGGGCUGUUUCGGCUACUUAAUUUGUGAGAACAAUUCUGGCCUUUUGGGACAUGAAAUUAUAUGAUAUAAAGUACCUCCUGUCCAAAAAUGAGCUCAUUCUGACUUAAAAUGAGCAAGUUAUGACCAUUUCAAUAUUUAGGUUUUUCCGACGAAAAACGCUAUAACCGGAGUUCUAUAACUCCGAUGACCAUGAAAUUUAAAUUGGAAGCUCAUGUUAACAUGUGUAAGAUUAUGCCAAGAUUUGGGAAUUUUUGGAGUUAACCUUGAGGUAGCUAACUUCUUAAGGAAUUAAUUAGAAAUUGAUUUUUGAAAAAUAGUAAAUGAAUUUUAAAAAUUCCGAGAAAAAUAUAUGUUCAUUAUGGGACUAUAUUCUGCUAAAUACCAGAAAAGAAAUAUUUUUGGGACUGAUUUGGUAUUUUUCAUGAAAAUAGUUUAGUUACGAACUUAUGAGUUAAAUAUGUUAUGUGAAGUAACAAAAUUGGAAAAAUAGGAUUUAUGGUUUGGAAGGUAUAUGCAGAUUUUUGAUAAAGAAUUUGAUUAUUGGUGAUGAGAUCUUAUGAGUAUGGCAUUUUGAAUGAUUAAAUACAUUAUAUGGUAAAGUGUAAGCAAUUGAAAUAAAUUAUUUAUAAGUUUGAGAAGCGAUUAAAAUAUUGUUAUAAUAUUAAUAAUAUUAGAUUAUGAGUUAUUGAUAAUAUUUGGAUAAGUUUAAAGUCUUUAGUAUUUAUCCUUGUUUUCGUAUGAUUAAUGCUUAUAUCAUUGUCAUCAUCCUCAUGCUUAUAUGGUGAUGAAAGUUAUCUUUGGCUUACGUGCAAAAAUGGACUUUUGAUUAUUGAAUUGUAUAUCUUUGGCUCACGUGCAGAGCUAGUUUGUUGAUUAUUGGUUUUAUUGUUGUAUAUCUUUGGCUUACGUGCAGAGAUGAAUUUGGUAUGAUUAUGACCAAGGAUUAUUCGGUAUAGUCAUGACUAUUGAUGAUUUAAUGAAUAUCCUUGGCCCGUAGUGUAGGGGUGAUUCGAUGAUGUGGUUUAUUUAUUAAGCUGAGUCUCAAUGAUAAAAAUGGAUGAAAACAUUUUUAAAUCAUAGAAGAUAGUAGAUUUUAUUCUCUACUUGACUCUUUUAAUGGAUUGCUUGUUCCGCUGCAGUUAAACUUGAUGUCUAUUGUAUUUUAUCAGUUUAACAUUGUUGAAGACUAUUGAUAAUUUAUUCUGCAUUAUCUAGUCAUAAUAUUUCUUACUGGGCUAGUUGAGCUCACCCUUUCUUCACUGUUCUCUUCAAGAAAUGAGAAUAUAGCUGGGACGAGUCGGGGAACAGAUUGACAGUCCAGAUGAUAGCAUUAGUAGUCCUCACCAUUCUGUUAAAUAAUGUGAUAAUAAAUGUAAUGAGGACUGAAUUUGAGUUUGUAUACUGUCUAUGAGGACUCCAUUGAGAAUUGAUAUUGUCUAGAAGGCAAUAUUCUUGUUUAAACUCUCAGUUUAUGUUUUACACGACAGUUGUAUAAUUAUGUUGUAUUUGAUUUAUGUACCAUGUAUUUGGCGACUCAAGAUGGGUGAUGUAUACCUAUUUUGGGGGCGUCACAUAAGACGUCUGCAUCAGAAGGAAAUAUAGAUGAAAUCAGACAGUUUGACCUGUCUGUUUUAGAAGAAAACUCAAAUUUACAAACACCUAAAUCUAGAAAAAUCGAGAGGUCUGCUUUAGAAUAAAAAACAUAUGAAUAUUCGGAUGCAGUAACUUAUAUUCCAGAGGAUGAAUCUGAAAAGCAAAUGACUUCUUCCAGGCUUCCUAAAUCUUCUAGAACUAUGGGAAAUCAUCCUCCAAGUCUGAUCAUCAGAAAUUUCAACAUUAGGAUGUCCACAAGAAGAGGUUUUGAAGAAAUUUGUUUGCUACACUAAAGGAGCUCAUCUAUCAAGCUUAUUGUUGGUAACAAAAUUGUGGAUAUAUAGGUAACAAAUCACAAAGGUAUGGUUAUUUUAUUUAAGUGCUAUAUGUGAUAUUGUUACAAGCUUGAUGUCGUGUCUUUAUUUUAUGAAUUAUUUUUUGUUAGUGACAAAUGGGGAGAGAUAUAGCUAAAUUGAUGAUUUAUUUCUUUUUGAUAAUGAUAAGGGGAGAAAUGUUUAAAAAUAUUGAUGAUUAUGAUAUUUGAUGGUUAUAUUGAUUAUAAUAUGUUUGGAUUUUUUGGAUAUCAUAUUGAUGAUAAUGGUUGGAUAUUUUGAUUCAUUAUCUGUUAUAUACAGCUUAUCAUUAUGCAUUAUUUAUCAUAACAGUUAUGUGAUCUUUAUAUCUCCUAUAGGCAAAAUUUAGGGGGAGCCAUAUAGUUAGGGAGAGCAUGAUUGUAAGGAAUAAUAUAUUGUCAUCAUCAAAAGGUGGAGAUUAUUAGUUUUAUUAUUUGUAAUUUUAAUAAUGACAAUAUAUUUGCAAAUAUAAGUUAUUUAAUGGUCUGAAUAUAUUUGCAAAUAUAAGUUUGGUUCAUGAUAAUUUAAUUUGGUUAUAAGUCAAAUUGAUAUUACGUGCAGGAUUGAAUUGGAAUAUUUUCUUUCAGGUCUAAUUUGGAGUCUCUAAAUUAACUGGUUUAGAUAUUUGUGUAGAGUAUGGACUCUAUCUAUAAUAUAUUGUUACUCCUUAAUUUUAGCCAUUGUUAGAUUACAUAUCUUUGACUUUCUAAUUUUGAGAAUAUUUUAUAGCUGUUAGCUAUAUCUAUGUGCUGAAAUCUCUAAUUCUCGAAAUCCAAGACCAAGUCAUUGACGAGCCUACUAAGUUUACACAGCAACCACGAUUUGUUUGUAGACUUGUAGUUAUUCAUUUUAUACCCGAAGUUAACAAAUUGUAUGAAAGGUUCAUCCUUUCAAUUAUCUACAUAAUUUAUUUUUUCCUACUCUAUGCAUUCCUAAGUAUCAGAUCGGAUCAGAUCAUAAACAUCACAAUAAACCAUCUAGUGGUAAUUGUUUUAUUUAUAAUACGGUAAUAACAACCACCUAGUGGUAGUUGAUUUAUUUAUUACAUGCUAAUAACAACCAUGAGCUGAUUGUUGAUUUAUUUAUUAAAUGCUAAUAACAGCUAUCAGCUAGUGGUUGAUUUAUUUAUUAUAUUCUAAUAACAGCCAUCAACUAGUAUAUAGUUUCUUGAUCAACUGUUCAUAGGAAGAUUACUGAUCGUUCAUUUAGGCGCUGGGGGGACUAAUUUGAACACCAUAGAUAACUAAACCCGUCUUCAUAGUCGCGCUUUCACUCCCGUCAAGAGCAAAUUUUAAAUCUCCAGAGUCAAAGCUAUUCAAGAAUUCCCCAGCUUUGAGCGAAAAUGGUGUGUUUCUCGGAUAAUUCAUCAAUCCAUAUCCGUUCACUUGCGAGGAUCCAUUCGGAAGAGUAAGUGUAAGACUCACCGGACUUGCUAUGUUAAAGUUGUCUUUCAGCAACACCACAAAAGAUACCUCAUAAGAUAAUUUUUCAAGCUUUUCUGUCAUAUAGUUUCCGUCAACAUGUAGGACUAAGCUACCAAUUAAUUCAGCACUGGCAUCACUGAAAAAAAAUGAUAGUAGAAUUAAAGUCAGAAACUUUUGAUAUAAGGAGCUUAAAUUCAUUAAGGUGAUUUUAUUGAUUUUUUUUUUCUGGAACAUUUUUAAUGUAAGUCCUUCUAUCUACCUAGAGUCUAGACUUCAAUAAAAUUUCUAUAGUCCUUCUAUCACUUUAAUUUAAUGACAUAGUUGCUUAUAUAUCCCUAUUUUUAACUGAAUAAAAUUCAGGUGUUUAAACACAAAUCUUAACCUUUGACGUCAAUUAAGUUAACUAAAUCUUAUUUCUACUUACGUAAACUUCCAGCCUGAAGGGUUGGCAUAAUUGAGUUCCUUUGCAUACACAAAAGCCCAACUGCUCUGAAUAAGUCAACAGAAAUUUACAUUAUUAUAAGGAUAGAUAAGGCAAACCAGCGGUGACCGAUCGAAUGAUAUGUCGAUGCCUUUAUAUAUAUAUAUAUAUAUAUAUAUAUAUAUAUAUAUAUAUAUAUAUAUAUAUAUAUAUAUAUAUAUAUAUAUAUAUAUAUAUAUAUAUAUAUAUAUAUAUAUAUAUAUAUAUAUAUAUAUAUAUUGACGGUUGACAUUUCAAAAUAACAAUUAUAAAAGUGUUGCCAAAUGUAUAUUUACUCUGAUAGCGAUGACAUUAUCAAUCACCUAUAUAUAAAUAGCAAAUGUUUCAUCGCAAAAGUUUAUUACGGAAUAUGUAUCACUCAAUCCAUCUUAUAUCAUCCAUACAUUACAACAUCAGAUAGAUGUGAUCUUAAAAUUUUUGAACACUCGGCGACAUUAUGUUGCAAAUGGUACCAAAUUUUAAAAAUCCCAAAGGUGUAAGAUGGUCUAAAUUUUGCAAAAAUGUAUCACUUGCAAAAUUUACAAAUAUUAAGGAUUAUUUUUGUUCUGUAGACAACUUUAGUGUGUAUAUAUAUUUGAUGUUUGUUUCCAAUUUCAGUGGACUUACCUUCUGGCCCGGGUCCUUUUUGAGCAACGCAUUUUCCUUAGCUUGAGACAACAAUGUCUUGAGGUCAACCUUGUGAUACCUCACUACUUGUGCCAUUUCGCCUUUAAUUCUGCUAUAUAUAUUUUUUGUUUUUGUUCUUG
rnacentral:lncRNA from 1 species